rnacentral:lncRNA from 1 species
ACCACGACCCGCCGCCUGCGCCGCUCUUCGACCCGGCUGAGCUCGCCAAAUGGUCCUUCUACAGAGCUCUCAUAGCUGAGUUCGUAGCCACUCUUCUCUUUCUCUACGUCACUGUGCUCACUGUGAUUGGCUACAAGAGCCAGACCGAACUAGACAAUUGCGGUGGGGUUGGGACCCUGGGGAUUGCUUGGGCCUUUGGGGGCAUGAUCUUUGUCCUUGUUUACUGCACUGCUGGGAUUUCAGGUCUGUUUUCUCUUCUGGGUCUCUCUGGUUUUAUCUCUACGUAUAUAAACUAGUAAAAAGUUGAAGUCUUUGAUGUUGGUUUUGCUUGUAAAAUACAGAAAUUACCUAAAAAGUACAUUUUGGAUGUGGGUUUGUGAUUCUGCUUGUAAAAUACAGAAGUUAGCUAAACAGUUUAUCUUUAGAACAAUACUUGGGUCAAAGAAGAGUAGGACAACUCUUAGUGUUUGAAUCACAUAGCUUUGUGCUUAUGUUUACAACUGUUCAUAUUAUGAAUCAUAUUAUAAAGAUCAUCUCUGCAAAAAAUAAAUUAAAACUAAGAUUAUUUAAUUAAUGUAUUAUAGCAAAUACAUAGACUGAUUGUAAUGCUUUUAUCAAUACCAUCAAUUUGUUUUUAAAGAAUUUGAUAACUAAACGACUUUAGUUUUGAUUGAUUUUUUGCAGAAGCAAUCUUUAUAGGGUGAUUUAUAAUAUGAACGGUUCUGAUUAUAAACAUAAAUAAAUAACGAACAAUUUUGAGAAAUUUUGAGUAGGAGUUUCUAAUCAUCUUUAAGCAAUAAGUAUUUAUCUUUAAGUGAGUUUUCUGUAUUUUUCUUGUAUAUAUAUAUGUAGAAUUUAGCUAAAAAGAUGAAGUCUUUGACGUGGGGUGUGUCUGAAUUCGCUGCUACAUGUAGAACUUGUUGAAAAAGCAGCUUUAUUUUUAAAUGUGGGUUUAAUUUGUGGGAUUUAGUGUUGCUUAUACGUGUAAAAUUGUCGAAAAAGGUGCUUUCUAAAAUGGGUUUUGUAACUUUUUAUUGAACAGGGGGUCACAUUAACCCGGCAGUGACAUUUGGGCUGUGCCUGGCUCGGAAGGUGUCGCCGGUGAGAGCUGUGCUGUACAUGGUGGCUCAGUCGUUGGGGGCCAUAGCCGGUGUUGCGCUGGUGAAGGCUAUCCAGAAGAGCUACUACACCAAGUACGGCGGCGGUGCCAACUCACUUAGCGAUGGGUACAGCAUCGGAGUUGGAUUGGCUGCUGAGAUUAUUGGCACCUUUGUGCUCGUUUACACCGUUUUCUCUGCCACUGACCCCAAGAGGAGUGCUAGAGACUCCCAUGUUCCGGUACAUCUACACCUUUCAUCUAUAAUUUGCAAUUACCAUUUCCUUGUACUAAUCUUUAUAUUAUAUGCAUCUAAUGGCUUUGUUUGUCUCUCGUAUUGGUGGCUUUCAUACAUGGGAGUUUUUUUUUAACCAGAAUGGUUAUUCAAUACUCUAGUUUCUGAUAUAAACGUUGCGAUUCGAGUUUAAUAAUACUUAUUUUUUGAAAAAAAAAAAACAAGGGAGCUGAGAAAAUUAGAGAAAAUCUAGUGUCUUCAGAAAUUUUGAAUAAGAAUCCACCAGCAUGUCUCUUUGGGAUUCUAAUCUUUGUUUGCUUUUAUUUUUCUUGAAACCAUUUUAAUUUAGGAAACUUUUUUAUUUGAAUUCAUCACAUGUUUAUUAUUAUUAUUUUUUAAAUUUAAAUACUUUCUGAAAAUGCAUUAUUUAAUCACAUGUCCUAGUUUUUGAAAAUUUUGACUCCUUCUCAAAAUGCAUUAUUUUUUGAACGAGCUAGUAAAUGCAUUAAUUUAUAUAUAUAUAUAUAUAUAUAUAUAUAUAUAUAUAUAUAUUGUAAACCAUCAUUUAACCUUUGGACAAGUUUAGGUGUCCCACACACUACUGCUAAUUCUUUAGGGGGCGUUUUUGUUUGCCCUCACUAAGUGGGACUGGACUGGACUAUCUGUUAGUCCAAUACUGUGUUUGUUUCAUGCUGGGACUAACAUUAAUGAGACUAAAGGGGACUAGCAUGGACAAAACUCUUCACUAAGAGGUCUUAGCGAGACCCCCCAAUAACCAUGGGACUAGCUAAGACUAUCCUCUCUCGUCCUCGUCAUGCUCAACAAUCACUCCCGAUAGACUCCUCGUCAUCUCCGGUCACCGAGAUUAUAAUAAAAUAUUAAUAAUUUAUAUAUUAAAUAAUAUAAUAUUAAAAUUUGUUAUUAUCCGCUUCUUAGUCCAACACUGCACCAAACACUUCACUAAGUUAGUCCAGCUUAGUCUAGUCUAAGCCAGUCCAGCUUAGUCCUUGAAGCUAGUCCAGUCCGAGAUAGUCCGGCGCAACAAACGCCCCCUUAGGGUUUUGUUGUACAUAUGUUCAUCACAUAUAGAUGUUCUUAAAAGGAUCAUAUUCUUGUGUUUUUUGGUGUUUAUAUCGUGCUUAUAUCCAAAAUGAGAUCUCGGAACCAAGUAUUAGAGGCAAAAUCUUGAGUUUACUGUUCCUUUGGGAUAGUGCAAUGGCUAUAUAGCACAAUCUCGUCAAAUAUUAGAUGUUGCCCUUGAAAUUGUUAGAACCAAAAACUCUUUUCAAGUCUCAUGGCAAAAGAUACGUUGUUGAGAAUUGCAUUUCGCAAGUGGUGGAUUGCCUUGGUGAAUUAGGGUCUCUCUCUUCAACUCGCUGCAUCUCGAUUCAAACCCUUUCCCUCUCAUUGGCCUAGCAUAAAGAAAUAGCAUUUCCCUUAUGAGUAGGGUGAAAAGAAUGAGCUGGGCCAACUGUUUUUUUCUGGUUAGCAUUUCAGGGUAUCAUGCAAUGCAAUAGAUGCGGAAGUCACCUAAUUUUGUUUGCUUUCAACAAGUUGCUUCAACUUUUUCAAUUAUUUUCUCCCAACUUUUCACCUUUCCAUCAUUCCUAACGUGCCAUGCCUUCUUCUAGUAUCGUCAUGAAUCAUGACUCACUCGAGGUCUCAACGUCAAUCUGUGGGUGCUUCACAUAAACCUCGUUUAACAACCUCAAAACCACUAGUUUAGUUAUUGUUUAAUAUUAAAAAGUUGAUUAACGUCUGAUUUGUUUCUGGUGUUAAACAGUUCCAAACAUUUGAUAUGCUGAGUCAGAAAUGAAUGAAAGUUGUCUAAUUUUGUUUUUAUUUAGCUUCACAAUCACGGGGCAUGUCUUUUCUAUGUACCGUUUUAGUCCAUUUUCCAACUCUUCCAUCCUGUUCCAAACUGUCCUGUUGUCUACAUUUUUUGUAUGUUUUCCACUUGUAUAUAUUCCGAUGGAGAUUCUUAGUUAUCUCCGGUUGUAUAUCUUCUCGUGUCUUAUCUCUAAUGUCACGUGUCUGAGAGAGACAGGAAAGAAUACAACCGGAUACAUGGUGGAUUCUCUCGUAUUCUAGCUGGCUAAAUUGUGGACUGUUGUGAAUUUUGAAGGUUUUGGCUCCACUGCCAAUCGGGUUUGCUGUGUUCAUUGUUCAUUUGGCCACCAUCCCAAUCACUGGCACUGGCAUCAACCCUGCUAGAAGUCUUGGACCUGCUGUUAUCUUCAACCAAGACAAGGCUUGGGAUGACCAAGUAUGUAUUCCAAUAUUAAUUAUUCAUCACUUUUAUAUUAUUAUUAUUAUUAUUAUUUAAUUUUAUAUAACGUAAGAUAUUCCGGAGCUCCUCAGAAUUUUCGCUAAUAUAUGUUCUUGUCUACUCUCUUGUUGGUUGCAGUGGAUUUUCUGGGUUGGACCCUUCAUCGGAGCAGCAAUUGCAGCCUUCUACCACCAAUUUAUCUUGAGAGCAGGAGCUGCCAAGGCCCUUGGAUCAUUCAGGAGCCACCCGAGUGUUUGAAUUGAAAUAUUUUCUGAGAAUGUGAUGGGAUUUGGAAAACAAUGUUAAUUAUUAUGAAGGGUAAUAUUUAUAUUUAAUUGUGCUUAACUUAUGCUUUGUGUAUGAAGGUUUCAUUUGGUCAUCUCUCAAUUAAAUUUCCAUCAGAAAAAGGGGCUGAGAGGCCAUGAAUUUGUAGAUAUUGUCACGUACUUGCCUUUGAAUUUACUUCAAUGUCAUUGCCAUUUUCUCAAGAUUUUCUCCUUGUUUUCUGCUUUCUACUCAUAUCAUGCUUGAAGACAAGUGCUUUUAUAAUUUUGGGGUCACUUUUGCUUGCUAUAUGAUGGCUAAGUGAGAUCCACUUGAAGCUUAGUGGGUUGGGCACUGUAAAAAGCAGAAGGUGAAUGAAUACUAGUUUUGCAUCUAGAAACCAAAGGCAAAUAAGGGUGGAAACAUGGGGAGUUUGGCACAACUCCGCUUUAAGCACUUGUAAGGUUUGUUUAACUUUUCGCUCUGAAAUAACUUAAGACCUUAUCUGUAGCGAAACAUGAAGCUUAAUAUGGACGAAUAAUCCAAAUGCAUAUGUUGUUAAAAGGAAUUGUAUCCAGUUGCCUUAUUUCUUCGAUGAGGAAUUAAGCGGUGUGGAGCAUACGUGAAAUGUUGGUUUUACACGUGGCAAAUUUGCUCUGUUACUAUAAAAGAAGAUAAAAUUACAGUCUCAUGCCAAUAAUAUCAAUGACUCAGAUGUUUAUAAGUUUUCUAAACUUUUUUCGAUGUAAGAUAUUUCUUCAAAUCCUCAACCACUCCCGUUUAGAGAUAUUCAUAAUCUUGCAAAUCUUGGGAUGCUUGAUUUGGUUGAUCAAGUCAUGGAGUCUGCUAUAUUUGUCCGUUGGCGCAACACACCAUACAACUCGUUGCCUUCGCUUUCCUUCUACACUAUACUACAAUCCACUAUCUCACCCUUUUCCCAAGAUUCCCAACAACAAAAUCUAAUCUCUCCCAACACACACCACAUAAUAUAUAUAUAUAUAUAUAUAUAUAUAUAUAUAUAUAUAUAACAUGUUAUAUAUAUUAUAUAUAUAUGUAUGUAUGUAUGUAUGUAUAUAGCUGUUAGUGUGACAUACGCGAAUUUUUGUACCUCAUGAAACCUCAAAUCCAUGAAUGUGGACGUCUUGUCUUCCAAUAUCUAUAUGGCUGUAAGGAAACCUUUGAAGGGAAGAAAUCUCCAAUUUUUAUAAAAAUGGAAAUUAGUUGUGGAGUCCCUAUCACACCGAAUUUUAACAAGCUGAUCGUCUAUUUUUCAAGUUGCACCUCAUAAAUUAUCUUUGCAAAAUAUUAACCAAAUUGAAAAUAUUUGAGGCGUCUAAUUAAGUACAAAGAAAUUGACUAAUACUUUCUUUUCUAAGAAACAUUGAAAUUUCAUCGUGGUAAUUAAAUUAGCAAAUGAUCUCAGAUUAAAUUGAAUUUCUGAAAGGAUGAUCUAUGAAUCGAGACUUACAAAAUAGACAAUUCGGAUCAUUGAAGUUCGAUGUAGAGUGAGCCUUACAAUUAGUCCCCAUUUACCAAAAAUGGGGAUCUUUUGGAUAAAGGGCCUGGUGUCUGUAAUAUUAUAUUUAACUUAAUUUUUGGGUUUUUUUUUCAUUUUUUUAAUUGUUCUUGUAAAUUUAAUUAAGGUUAAGAUGUAGAUGCAAGGAUCGGUAAUAGUGAGAUUCUCGUAUUUUACCUUCAGGCCUAAGGGGCAAUGUUCAAUCCUCUGCCAUCCUAAAAAACAGGAAGUUUAAUAGCUGAGAAUAAUGUUAAACCGUAAGAUCGAUCUUACUGAAAAUAAAAUUUCAAACGCGACACGUUACAUUGAAGCUCAAAACACGACUGAUAUGGAUCAUGGCUCUUGUGGCUUAUAUCUUGUUUCUUGUUGUUGAACCCAACAAGUUGAAGAUGGCCCUAAUUGCUCGUAGACAGUUUUACCAGAUCAAGUGAGGUUAGCCAUGUAGCUCUUCAAAAUACUAUCUUACCCUCACCCACUUUGAGUUUGAAUUGCCACUGGGUCUCUUGAGAGUUGAGACUAGCUGCUGGAUUCCAGGAGUUCCACCCCAAAGGGCCGAAAGAGUGACAUAAACAUAAGAAAUAUCCUUACUCUUGCCAUUUUAAACAUAUCAUAAACAUAUUACUUCACACUGUUUGCAUGUGGAGAAUAUUUUGAAUUGAACGUAACAUUGCCAGGUAAUAUUAUGUAAUAGGUGGAUUGAUAACAUCAUUUCACAUUAGCAACCACAUUAAAGUUAAGGGAACUUUAACAAAAAACAUCCGGUGCUGUUCACUUUAAUGAAAAACCAUAUUUUUACACUAAAAAGUCAAUCCUGGUACUAUUCACUUUACCCUUUAUUUUGUCCUUAUCAUUAAAACUCAAAGUUUUCAAGCCCUUUUGUGAGAGUGGCAUGAUCACCAAGCUGCUGUAUUGAAUACUCUCUUCCACGAUUAAAACUCUCACACAUCAUGUUUAAUAGUUGUUGCUCUCUAUCUCUCUCACGCAUUAAUAGAAUAUAUAACUGUACUUUACACAGUAAGGUCUGGAAGUCAAUUGCAAAAUGAGUCACGAGGUUUUAACUUUUGUAUUUCACACCACGUGGUUUUUGAAUUGCACAAAUUUAACCUCUUUGUCAAUUUCACCUUCUAAGUGGACGUUGAUGCAACAUAGACUAGACUCACAUUUUAAGCACCCGUUGACCUUCAAUUUCAAUGUUUAGUCAUACUCUUUUACUCUUUUAAUUCUUUUAUGAACGUGUGCUUAAAAUGCAAGCCCAAUAUAUGCCACAUCAGCAAUUAACAUCUAAUUUAAUAGUAGAAUAGAAAGAGAGGUUAGUUGGUACAAUUCAGAAAUUAGGUGGUGUAAAAUGCACAAAAUUAAAAUAUCGUGGCUCAUUUUGCAAUCGACACCAAAACUUGUGGGGGUAAACUGCAGUUAACUCGAGAUAAAAAUGUUCACAUUGAUGUAAUUAACUGAGGGAGACCUAUCUGAAAAGCAAAUAAGCAAAGCAAACAGUGCUGUGGUGUGCACGCUUCUAUGAUUGCCUGUGGUAGCACGGCAAGCAAAUGCAAUACUUCAAAGUCAAGCAACCACCGCACUUGCAAUUCUAUAUAGCAAACACUGCCUGCCACUUCCUUUUCAGACUUCAACUGCAAAAAAUUACCAACAAAUUAAUCAAAUUUUCUUAUGGCACCCAUCACCAACCUCGUCUGCUUCCUUUUCACUCACUUUGGUUUUCUCUGGACACCCACGUUGCUCCACAACUUCAGGUAUGAAAACCUCAUUGAGCUUGAGCGAUAUACAUUCCAAAGUUACAGGUACGAAAAUCCCCUCGGUCCCUCUCACUUGGGUUUUGGUUUUUCACACCCUGAACUUGCAACCCUUAUCUAAUCUCAUCGUCUGCAGCUACCAGCAUUUAAUUGUUGUUCAAACUUAAUCAAGACAUAUAUGUGUGUGUUCAUAUGUAUACAUGCUCAAAGAAUCAAAGUUCCACAUGACCGGCUGUGUUUGAUCGCCGUCGAUGAAGUGAUCAUGAAGGCCGUUCAUCGGUUUUGGAGCUGCAGAUAGUGUUGUGAUCGUAGCAAAACAUCACUGUAAAUAUACUGUUAUGAUCAAGAUAAAUAAUUGUACACAACGUGGCAUUCAUUUCUGUUGUCAUAUGGUGCAUUGCAAUGUAGUUUUUAACUUUGUUUUUGUGGGUCUUAUUAUUUGCUUUAAUUGGGAUUGAUAUUAAAUGUAACAACUUUUUAUUUAGUACGAUAUUCUACACUAAUCGCUAGGAAGAGAAAGAGUUUAAAUCCGAAAUACAAUGAGUUGAAGAUAAAAACUUUAACUGCUGGAGCAAUACCCGCUGGUUCUAAAUGUAACAAGUUUGAGUGUAUUGACUAUUAUGCUUUAAGUAAAAGGGGUAGUUAACUUGCCUUUGAGGAAAAGCAAUUAAAGAGCUAAUCACUACACUUUACCAUCUCUAGUUAGGCCACCAAACGAGGGUAACACGUGCAUUUAUCUGACGGACCAAGUCUUUCCACGUCACUGUCAAUUCUACUUCAUCAUCAUACUCCAAGUCUCGAAUCAGGAUCCUCUUCGGAUCCUCUCUGUGAGGAUUCUGAAGAUUCUCAAAUCGUAUCCAUUUAUCGUACAUCGUUUGAUCAGAAAUUAUUUUAAAUAUUUUUAUUUAAAAUUCAAUAUGGCUAGUACUUGACGAAAAAUGAUCACACAAUUUACAAUAAAUGGAUAUGAUUUGAUGAUCCAUAGGAUCCUCAUUCCCAAGUCUCAUUCACUCGAUGAUCCAAACCCAUUACUUAGCACCGUUGUCCAUCUCCAAGCCUUCCUUACAUCCCAUGCCCAAUAAAACCACACAUGACCAUUCCCCAAUCCACAGAAUGGGGACGCCCAUUCACUCAGAGAGAUUUUUCAGUGUGACCAUCACACGAGGUAGUAUAUCACGUAUUCUUAUAAAAAUGGUGAGUUAUAUAUGUUAAAAGGUUAAUAACUUAAAAAUUAAAAAAUUUCACCACUUGCAUAAAAACACAUGGUGUACCAUCUGUGUUUCCGUCACAACUAAAAAUUUCUCCAUCCACUCGAUGCAAUAGGCCACAUUUCAUUACAGGAUAGUGUUAUUCACACACUCGUUUUUAUUUUUCACACAUGUUCUUAAUUUUUAGUUAUUGGAUCGAAUAACUCGAAGAAGACUAAUGACAAAAAAAUUAACAAGGGUGUGUAGGGUAAAAAUAAGUGUGUGAAUAACAUUAACCUUCGUUACAUAAAGUAUCUAGACACUUGCUUUUAGUCCUGAAGGGAAUUUUCUCGUCUCAAUGAUAAAUUAUUGCAUGAAGUUGAAACACUGUCAAAAGCUAUAAUUAUUACUUUUUUACAUGUAAAUAAAAAUUGAUACCAAUAUCAUACCAAAAGCAUAAACUCGUUGUCUAUUCAUAUCAUAACACGUAAAUUAUUUAUUACAUGAGUGUAUUUUUGUACUAUACAAUAAAAUUUUCAUUUCAAUUUAGACAUAAUCACAAAUAUUUUUUUAUUUUUUUAUUUUUUUUAACUCAUGGGCAUAUCCUAUUCUUAUUUAGGAGGAAGGAAAUUUGAACUCGGUAACAAGGUUGGUUAAGUGAUAAUUAAUUAAAAUAUAAAGAUCUUGAAAAAAACUCAACAAUAGCAUUUUCCCCAAAAAUUAUGAGCUAUCUUUCCGUUUUUAUUUGUUUUACUAAGUUCUUUGAAAAACUAUAUAAACUAUAUGGGUAAAUUACAUAGUAACCCUUCAUGUUUGAGAUCUAUUACAAUCUCAUACAACAUCUUUAAAACAUUUCACUUUCAUACUUCAAGUACUAUUUUAUUUCAAUAUAAUACAUCUGUUAUAUUUUCCAUCCAUUAAUCCGUUAAAUGCUGAUGUAGCUGCCACAUUUGUGCCACGUGACUGCCAAAUAUGUGCCACGUAGCCAAAAAAAUAAUUUUUAAUUUUUUGUUAAAACCUAAAUCUUCUAAAGAAAUUUAUUAAAAAACCAAAAACCAUGUGGCAGCCACGUCAGCAUUUAACGGAUUAAUGGAUGAAAAAUCUAACGGAUGUAUUAUAUUGAAAUAAAAUAGUACUUGAUGUAUAAAAGUGAAAUGUUUUAAAGAUGUUGUAUGAGGUUGUAAUAGACUUCAAACCUGAUGGGUUACUAUGUAAUUUACCCAAAACUGUAUUUUCUUGGCGUUUUUGUCACAUCACGUGCUUCAUAAAAUUCAUAACUCUGAUUUGAGCCCUAAUAGUAUUUUUCUUGAAUUUUCAAAUUUUCAACCUAAAGUUUCAAUAAAAAUCCUUAUGGGGCUUGUAAAAUGGUUGGAUCACUUCUAAAUCAUUUGUAAUAUCUUUGCAUAAACUCAACAAUUGCCUCUUUUCACAAAAAUGUGAGCUAUAACUCUUGAUUUUUUGUCAGGUAUCGAUAACAAGUUCAUAGUUAUUUUCAUAAGUCGAACAUAAGACAUUUUACUUGUGAUAAAAGUAUCAGUAAGUUAUUAUCUAGUCAACAAGAUGAAGAAGGCCAACGACGUCGUUGGGGAAGAACUUAUCGGUUCUGCCAAUUAUCUGACUUUGCUCAGGGAGCCAAUUAUUACCCGUCCCUCUUCUUGUCGAAACAUACAGUCCCCUCCAUUUCCUCCGUCGUCGAAGAUCACCAGUGCACAAAAAGAGAGAGAGACAUGCAUCUAUGGCCGUCGGCGACGAUCAGAGACUCCUUCAAGCUCGAUUACCUGAGGAAGCUCGACUGGAACCUCCAGAGGAUGAAAAGCGAGAAGGAAUCACAAAAAUCAGUCAAGCAGAACCUGCUCGAUGGCCAAGACGGCGGAGCCGCCAAACAGUUGGAUAGCCCACGAGGCCAAGUCAACGGAAAAGCGGCGGACUUGACCAAUCCAAAGGCUCAUGGAAGAGAUAGAAUGGUCGCUGGACUCUGCGGAGAGACUCUGAUGCUUCUCUCUUGCUGCUUCUGCUGUGGAGGUAAACUUGAAUUUAUCUCAGCCCCUUUUGAUUUGACAUGAUAAAGUUUUGAAAUUUGUGUUGGAAUUGAAAUUUUACGAUUUGGGUUUUGUUUAUAUGAGCUUCUUUGGUUUUGUAUGUGGGGAAUUAGUGUUUAACUUGGGUGGAAAAUUGGGGUUGGAUUUGAAUUCUUUGAGGGAUGUUGUUGUAUAAUCGUUGCUUAGUGAGUUUAAUGUGGCUUUCUCUUAAUUAUGUGUGAGAAAGAAAACUUAUUGAUAGUGUAGAAUAUAUAUAUUUGGAAUUCGAGCAGUGUGCCUUUGGUUUGAUUGCUAGUUUGGACACAAGAUGAUGCUGGAAUCCUGUCAUGUCUUUUUUGUUUAUCGAUUAGUUUAAGCAUAAACUGAUUGAUAUCAAGGUCAGGUCAAUCUUUUAGUUAGAGGAUUCAAAGAUUCUACCUGCUUUUGUGAGCCUGUAAAAGGUGGGCGGGUGGUGGCUUGUUGCCUAAGAAUUGAUCAGCUUGACAAGGAUUCUUGUGACCAUCGUUUUAUGUAGAAUAUUUUUAGAGUACUUUGUUUGGAGAAGCUGGUAAAGGAGGUGACUGGAGGACUGAAUGAGAUAUCAUUGAUGAACACGGUAUCAGCAGAUUAGAUGCAAAUUACUUCAAAAGAUUCAACACGGAGUGCACGUGCUCUAGAUUAACAUGGGGACUUUUUUUUCGUAGAGGUUAACAGUUUUUGGUUUAACUAUCAGUAUUGUCUUGUUGAGCUGGGAAUAGUGGGAAUGCCUAAUUCCAGGGUCAUAAAGUGCUAAAUUGGGGGAGGAUAUCAGUGCGAGGUACAGCGUUGUCAUCCAUGAUCAUAUAUUCUCACAAACUUAUUGGCGUCCCUAUGGAUUUAUGCCCUAUAACAUGUCGACGUAUAUGUGAAGAAUGGAUACCUAAGAAGUCUCUAAUUUGAAUGGUCUAUGUGAUGGUAUAUUCUCGGUGCAGUUGGAAAACAAGGUGGCAUCCUUUUGCCUAAAUUUAUAGUCUGCGGUAAAUGAAAUGUGUGAUGGUAGUUAUGAAAGACUGUAAGGCCAUCUCUAACCGAAGGGUCCAGAGGGCCAGAGGGCCGAAAAUAGCCCUAAAACCGUCUCCAACCGAGGGCUAGGCCAGAGGGCUCUGGAAUCUGGGAGGGCCCCACGGGAUCGGAGAGGGUUGGAGGGCUGGAGGGCUGGCUACUUUCGGCCAGCCAGCCAGCCCCGGGCUGGCUAUUUUUUUUUUAAUGUUUUCCUAUUGCUGUCGGUUAUAACCGACAGCAUUAAAGAAGGAUUUUUUAAUAGUGUCGGUUAUAACCGACAGUAAUAGUUAUUCAAAGGCAAUUUAUUUUUUAAUUACUAUUAGUGUCGGUUAUAACCGACACUAAUAGUUUGAAUUUUUUUUAUUAUAACGGCUAGUAGCCGUUGUAUUAACAGUUUUUUUUAUAUGAAUUUAAACUUCUUUUUUUCCUUUUCAUAUGAAUCAAAUUUUGUUUCAUAUUUUUUUUCAAUUCUAUUUUACAAAAUUUGUUUCAAUUUUUUUUUUAAAUUCUAUUUUUUUUUUCUAUAACUUCUAUUUUACAAAAUUUGAUUCAUAUUUUUUUUUCCUAUAACUUCUAUUUCACAAAAUUUGUUUCAGUUUUUUUUAAAUUCUAUUUUUUCCCUAUAACUUCUAUUUUACAAAAUUUGAUUCAUAUUUUUUUUUUCAUAUAACUUCUAUUUUACAAAAUUUGUUUCAUAUUUUUUUAAAUUCCAUUUUUUCCCUAUAACUUCUAUUUCACAAAAUUUGUUUCAUAUUUUCUUUCAAUUCUAUUUUUUCCUAUAACUUUCUAGGCCAUUAUACAACAUUGAAUUAAAUUAAGUAACAUGAAACAACAUUAAACAAUAUGAAACAACAUUAAAUAACAUUAACCAACAUAAAAAUUAUACAACAUAAAAAAAACAUUUAACAACAUGAAACUUAAACAACAUUUUUAAAAACAUUUAAAAACAUAAAACGUAAACGCCUACUCGAAGCUUCACUUAGCCGUUGGAUUUGAAUUUAAAUUGUAGUUUCAAAAUAAUAAAUUAUGUUUGGCCCUAUGACCCUUUGGCCCUCGGUUGGAGAUGAUUUUUUGUGACAGUGCUAAAACGAGCCAUCUGGCCCUCUGGCCCUCGGUUGGAGACGGAGGCAAAUAUGACCAUGUACUGUUCAUUAAAAUAUUAAUAUCUUGAAGAAUCUUGGAGGGCCAGAGGGCUCAAACGAGCCCUCUAGCCAGCCAUCGGUUAGGCCAUCUCCAACCGAUGGCUGGCCAGAGGGCUCGUUUUAGCCCUGUCACAAAAAACCGUCUCCAACCGAGGGCCAAAGGGCUAUAGGGCCAAACAUAAUUUAUUAUUUAAAAACUACAAUUUAAUGUUGUAUAAAUGGCCUAGGAAGUUAUACGAAAAAAAUAGAAUUGAAACAAAUUUUGUGAAAUAGAAGUUAUAGGAAAAAAAAUAUGAAACAAAAUUUGAUUCAUAUGAAAAGGAAAAAAAGAAGUUUAAAUUCAUUAAAAAGGGAAAAAAAGAAGUUUAAAUUCAUUAAAAAAGAAAAAGAAAAAAGAGGCCUAAUAAUCCAACGGCUACUAGCCGUUAUAUUCAAAAGCAUUUCAAACUAUUAGUGUCGGUUAUAACCGACACUAAUAGUAGAACUAUUAAAAAAAAAAAAGAAUACCUUUAAUGCUGUCGGUUAUAACCGACAGCAAUAGGAAAUCAUUAAAAAAAAAAUAGCCAGCCUGGGGCUGGCUGGCUGGCCGAAAGCAGCCAGCCCUCCAGCCCUCUCCGAUCCCGUGGGGCCCUUCCAGAUUCCAGAGCCCUCUGGCCUAGCCCUCGGUUGGAGACGGUUUUAGGGCUAUUUUCGGCCCUCUGACCCUCUGGACCCUUUGGUUGGAGAUGGCCUUAGAGAUGGCCUAAUGAUAAGAGGAUCAUAUACAUGCUUCGGGCAUGUCAUGUACAGACUUCUUUCUACGUGGGGUGUUCUGUGAAGAUAACAUAGUACUGGCAGAGUGUGAAACUAUGAGCCGGUGAUCAGGUUAAUUUGAUUUGAUGCUGAUUAAGGGCUCUAUUUGUAUAUCUAUGAAAUCUUUUCUAUCCGCAUUGUCAAUUAACAGUCGAUAGUCUCUUCUGAUUGGUUAUGUCCGCUCAUAUCCUUUUUAUUCCUAGCAGUUGUGUUUCAGUUCAUACACUAACCAUUUUCCGUUUGCCUAUGCAUGAAUAUGAGGGUUUUCUUCUUUCAGCAUGCGCAGAUGAAGAGGCUGAUCUUAUCUUUUGACGACGAGUCUAGGAAUCGAACGUCACAGACAAUAAUGUAGAGUCUUUCUUAGUUUUGGUCUUAAUAUUAGACUUCCCUGGGCGUAUAUGUCAACAAGACGAAGAUGAUACAAGGGAAAAUUGUAAUUCUUGUUACAACUAUGGAGGAGGAUGUCUGCACCUGUAUAUUGUUGGGUGCUAAUAUGACGCAGAAUGCUUGUAUUGCUAAUUUUCUAUGGAUAGAAUAACAUUGUUUACGAUUGGUUUUACGGUGGAACUUUAUUUUAUUUUUUUCAUGGUAUUAGAGCAAAUUAUCCCACCUGAUGAUGGUGUGUCACUUAAGGCUGGUUUGGUAUUGCUGUGCUUUAAAAAAAAACUGCUGUGAGAAUAAGCGGCUGUGAAAUAAAUCACCAAAGUGUUUGGUAAACUUUUUUGUAAACGUGCUUUUGGAAAAAAAUACAAUCUGAUAGUGAGUCUUUUCAUUAAAGGAGCACUGUAGCUCCGUGUGCUUUGAAAAAAAACCAAUUUUCCAAAGCUGUAAAUAGCAGCUUCAGCAUUUUUCCUUUAAUUUCAGCUUAUUCUCACAGCAGCUUCCAAAAUAAGCUCUUUUUUUUCAGUUUACCAAACACCUAAAACCAUCACAGCUUUUUUUAUGAAUAGAAUAACAUUGUUUACGAUUGUAUUGCUAAUUUUCUAUGGAUAGAAUAACAUUGUUUACGAUUGGUUUUAUGGUGGAACUUUAUUUUAUUUUUUCCAUGAUAUCAGAACAAAUUGCCCCACCUGAUGAUGAUGUGUCACUUAGCCCCGCGUGUUGGGUGAUAUCCCUUUGGCUUCACACGACUGUCAAUGUGUGGAUUUCUCACGUGUGACCCACUAAUUAGGUCCCACAUGAGGUGGUGUUGAAGUAUCUCACAUGGGCAGGAUGGCAGAGAAAAUAAGAGUUUAAAUAUUUUAACCCUACUCCGACUACCACCAAGCCUUUUUGCAAAAAAAUCCACACUUGUAGAACUGUGCAGGUGAUAAUUAAUAAGUUAGAAACAACAUCGGUGUUAUUGGAAAUGAGCAUUUGGCCUGUCUCUUUGGUAAGUUUGACAAUAUUACAAUCUGAAAUUCACGUUCUAUGCAUAAAAACAUAGUUUCAAGUUUUUGACGAGCAAGAUAUACAUUAAAUUGCUCUAUGAAGCUCAGCCGUAAUACAUUAGGCAUCAUCGCCCAACAGGAUUAUCUGAUGAGCGAUUAACACUAGAGUGGCAGUAGGGUUGGUUUGACAUAUCUAUAUUGUUACACCCCCAUUUGCUCCCUCUAGUUCCAUGGACUAUGAGGGUGUCUCGUGCAACUGAAGCUAGCACAACACAUCUUCCAACAACUAUAGUAGUAUCAACACGUGACUGCCGCUAGCAUAACUCUUUAGAUUUCGUACUCUUGAACAAUUAUGACAACUUUACGCAUCUUCGAACAAUUAUGACUAGUCUAUAUGCGACUGCCGCUAGCACAACUCUAUAAAAAGCAUUGCAAUGCUUUCAUCCAGCAUUAAUAUUGUGACACCCCACACCUACCCAUCACACCCAACUUCAACCCAACCCUGCCCAACCACCUAGCCCAGCACCAAGAAUAAGUAAGCCACCCAGCGCAUUUUAGCAACCGCAAGUUCAAAAUGGCGCACCCGAUUGCGGAGGCGAACGAGGAAAGCCCCUACGGCGCGUUAACUCCGGAGGCCUUCUAUUCCCGCCACAACGUCUCCCACGCAUCCGAGUACACCACAAACCCCCGAGGCCUCAAGCUCUUCACCCAGUGGUGGACCCCACUGCCUCCGACUGAGAUCGUCGGGACCCUCGCCAUCGUCCACGGCUUCACCGGCGAGACCAGCUGGUUCGUCCAGCUCACCGCCGUCCACUUCGCCAAGUCCGGCUUCGCCGUCUGCGCCAUCGACCACCAGGGCCAUGGAUUCUCUGAUGGACUCAUCGCUCACAUCCCCGACAUCAACCUCGUAGUCGACGACUGCAUCUCUUUCUUCGACUCGUUUCGUGCCAACCACGCGCCGAAGAACCGCCCCUCGUUCCUCUACUCUGAGUCCCUCGGCGGCGCGAUCGCCCUUCUCGUCACGCUCCGGCAAGGAAGCGGCGCGUGGGACGGUCUCAUCCUCAACGGCGCCAUGUGCGGGAUCAGCCCCAAGUUCAAGCCGCCGUGGCCGCUCGAGCACCUGCUCUUCCUCGUGGCCGCGGUGAUCCCGACAUGGAGGGUGGUUCCCACGCGUGGGUCGCUCCCGGACGUGUCGUUCAAGGAGGAGUGGAAGCGGAAGCUGGCGCUGGCGAGUCCGAGGAGGACGGUGGCGAGGCCACGCGCUGCGACGGCGCUUGAGCUGCUGAGAGUGUGCAAGGAGCUGCAGGGGAAAUUCGAGGAGGUGGAGGUGCCGCUGUUGAUAGUCCAUGGGGGCGACGACGUCGUCUGCGACCCCGCAUGCGCGGAGGAGCUGUACAGGCGCGCGUCUAGCAAGGACAAAACGCUCAGGAUCCACGAGGGCUUGUGGCACCAGCUGGUUGGCGAGCCCCAGGAGAAAGUGGACUUGGUGUUCGGUGAAAUGGUGGAGUGGCUUCGUACUCGAGCUCAACGCGCCGCCGCCGCGAAUGGAGGUGGUGGUGCCUAGUGCAGAACUAUAGGGGUUAGGGCUAAUUUGGUUUGCUGUGUCUUGAAAAAAAAGGCUUGAUGUGAGAAUAAGCGGUUGUGCUAUGAAAAUAAGCGAUUGUGAAAUAAAUCAGCAAAGCAUUUGGUAAAUUUUUUUGUAAAAGUGCUUUUGGAAAAAAAACAGUUUGAUAGUGAGUUUUUUCAUUAAAUGAGCAUUGUAGCUCCGUGUGCUUUGAAAAAAAACUAGUUUUUCAAAGCUGCAAAUAGCAGCUUCAGCUUUUUCCUUUGAUUUUAGCUUAUUCUUACAGCAGCUUUCAAAAUAAAUUCUUUUUUUUUUAGUUUACCAACCUAAAACCUUCACAACUUUUUUCGAUAGAUGUAUAUUUUUUAAGCACCACAUUUCCAAAUCACCUCUUAAUUUUUAGUUUAACUAGAUUUGUAGGGAGGAAUCAGAAGCUGCCAAUGGAAGCAUGCCAUGUCACUUCAAGUUUAAAUAAAUAUAUUAUUAACUAAUUAAAAAUUUAGUGAAUUAUCUAACAGUUUGUCAAAAAAAAAAAGUUCAACCACCCCAAAUUCCCAAACCUUAUUUCGGUCCAAUUAAAAGGGAUCCAAAUAUGGGUUUUGGCUAUUAUUAGGUUAAGAUUUUAUGAGAGUAUAAAUUUGUAGUUCAUGUGGUUAUGAGCACGUGGCAUGUGAUGUGCAUGUAUCUGAGGUAUUGUGUUUGAAUCCUAUCUCCUCUAAUAUCCCUCGUAUCAAAUAAAGGAAAAAAGAUUAAGCCUGUAAGAAUAAAAUUGAAUUGAAUCGAUAAAAAUGAUACCUUUGAAAAAUCACCCACGUUUCUUGGACAAGAUGAGAAAAUUGAGAUCGUUUUUCUGCUAAUAAUUUACCAUAUUUUUUGUUUCCACCAUAGAAGAUGAGUUUUUCUGCAUUUACUCCUUUUUUUAUCUGUUGGUUUUUAGUAAAAUAAAGAUUAAGGACGAUGGAUUCGACCAUGAUGUGGAUUGUGCACCAAGCAAUGAACAAUGCACACGAAAAAAAUGCAGUUGAAAGAAGGCGUUCUCCAGCGCUUGAAUGGGAUCUGCAGAUUUUAUGAAUUGGCUGUAAUGCAGCUAGAAGGGUGUUUGAAGUUUGUUCGACAAGAAACAGACGGAGUUUAAUUUCUUUUAAGAUGGAGAGUGUCAUUACCAAGAGCCUUCUUAUUGCCAACCUAAACCACAUGAAGAGGUUCAAUUAAACUCAUCUGUUUCUUUAUCUCCACCUGCCCUCAGAUUUUCACAAAUCACAAGCAUUGGCUGAUUUUGAACACAGAACGAGCGAUAAGUUGGAAAUGAACUUUUUGAGGUAUUGUUCUAUCUACAACUCAUUCCUCACUACAGCUUUAAUUUACUUCUAGUAGGCUUCUGGUAGACUAACCGGAUUGCAAUCCUACUUCUUUACAGAUUGGACAAGAUGAAGGAUAGUUUAGAUACACUCGUCAAACUUGUAUCCUCCUUGAGAAAAAAAGAAAUCAAUUCAUCGGGACACUUUUACUAGGAGAUGUCAUGAUCUCUGGAAGGCUGAAACUGGGGUUCUCGGCUGCAGUAAAUUAAUAUUUUCGGUUUUGAUUUGUUCAUGAUUAAAUCAUUUCAAGUUUAAUAUUGGUUGAUGUGUGUCAUAAAUAGGUUGAUCUUCUUGGUGAUCAAGUGGAUGACAUUAUGUGAUCACUCACCAGUUCUGCGGCACUAUUCCGAGGUGAGCAAUGUUUUCGUUUCCCCAUUUCUUGCGUCGCAAGGUUCUGUUUUUACCGAUGCUUAAGUAAUCCUUUCCAUAAUACACAAGCUUCUGUUUUACAUUGGAAAUGUGAAUUGUUUAUCGCCGCUCGAUUUUCCUGCAGGUCGCUGACGUCUUACGAUUGAUCAAGGCGGAACUAACCGGAGUUGUGAAUGCGUCGAAAAUUUGACAUGUCCAUAGAAGAAAAAGAUAAAACAAACAGAAACACAGGGCUGCAGGAAAAGACAGUAAGAAACCAACAAGGAAAACAAAAUAAAAAUACAACAUUUCUCAAUUGGUUGGCGAACUAUACUAUGUUUUGAGAAGAUCAAACAGCAAGACAAAACCCAAGCUGGCGAUUAGCUCUCAUCCUUGGUUUUACCUUGAUAAGUUCGUACCAGGUUAUUUCGCCGUCUGCUUCUUGUCUUUUUUUCUGGCUCUGUGAAGGUUAAACAGUUAUAGUUUGUGGAUAUAUGAACCUGCAUUUCAAGUUCUUGAUUGUUUUCUGUACAUCAUCGAAAACUCGAAAGCUCUCUCAUGGCCAAACUGCUUCAUUUAUGCUCCUAUUGUGUCCUAGUUUUGCUUCUCUAUGUUAAGUUUGUGACUUCCUUCAACCAGUUUGGAUUGGGCGCACCACGGCCUGCGCCCACUGGAGGGCUAACGACAUCGCCAUCAUCAUCACCAUCACCAUCAGCACCACCAUCAGCUCCGACACCAUCACCAUCACCACCAUCACCAGCUCUGACACCAUCACAGCCACCAUCAGCUCCGACACCAUCACCAUCAGCUCCAACACCAUCACCAUCACCACCACCACCAUCUCCGACACCAUCACAGCCACCAUCAGCUCCGACACCAUCACCAUCACCACCACCACCAGCUCCGACACCAUCACAGCCAUCAUCAACACCGUCUCUGCCACCAUCACCAGAAUCUGAACCACGUCCACCACCUACAAAUAGCAAAGGGUCUUCAGGAGGACUGAGUGGUGGACAGAAGGCAGGGGUGGUGUUUGGAGUGCUGAUCGGGGUAGGACUGAUCGGGUUUGGUGGCUUCGUGUACAAGAAACGCCGCGCUAACAUUAGACGGAGCCGCUAUGGAGCUGCAGCCAGGAGAAGCUUUCUUUGAUUUAGAAAAAAUUAGAGUGUGAGAUAGGAGACCAACAUCAACGUAUACUUGUUAAUUCAAAUUUUGAUUUGAUUGUUCUUCCUAAAUAUCGAAAAACUUGCAUUUGCAACAAAAUUUGAAAAUGUCGUACGACUUGUUCAUGUCAUAAUCUUAGUUAUGGACGUGUUGCAAUUUGUAAUUUACAAAGAAAAAAAGGUUUGAAACAAUGUAUCACUUGUAGUCUAAUUCCGUCUACUUUCUCAUCUAAAAACUUUGUACGUGAUUUGCACACGACUCACUCUUUUCAAGAGUAUUUUAACGUUUGAAACAUCGAUACAACUUUGUCAGAUUAGUGCUUUUCAAGUGGUUUUUUCGCCUAAAAUCCAAGUGGUGCAAAAUGGUUCCCUAGCAAUGCACCACGUGAUAGCUUGCAUUACAAAAACAUGUGAGACCGGUUCUCAUAUGGCAACUUAAUAAGUGUCUUUGACGUAGAAAUCUCUCCUUCAUGCAUUUGAUAUUGUAUUUCUAAUUCCUCCUAUCAAUCUAACUUGUUGUCAUCCGUUUCUUCCUCAUUUGGCCUAAAUUCCUUUAAAUUUGCAAGUUCCUUAAUUUGGUGUCAUUCUUCAAUAUCAAUUCAGUAGUGGUGUUUUUCUUAAAGUGUGUGGUUUGACGUGUUUUUCUCUAAAUUUAUUUGGUGUCAUUCAUCUUCACUUGAAAGUGAGAAGUCUUAGCCCAUUGUGUAGCUGAGCCGAGCUCCCUCUCCCUCUAAUGUAAAAAUAUUGAUGUACUAAAAAAAAAAAAAAUAGUCUACUCUUAUCGAAAUUAGUUUGAAUAUAUAUAUGAAUAGCCCAAGAGUAAGAGUUUGACCCAACGAGAAAAACAACCUUAGACGAGCCAACCAUAAACGAAAUAUCCAUAACCGUCAAGUAUUUGGGCCCAUUGGACAUGACAGCCCAACUCAUCAAGAAUGUCUUAGGCAUAUAUAAUGUGUUCCGAAAGUGAAACAUAAUUUAGGGUUCAGAAGAUAUAACAGAUACUAAUAGCCGUCAAUUACUUCAAAUUAGGCGAUUAUUAUCUGUUGAUGUAUCUGCCCGACUCGUAAAAUAAUCAUAAUUUGUUUCAUGUUUUGAUUAUUAGUUGUAAAUGUAAGGAAACGAUUACCAAUAACUAUUGUUUGCUUUAGUUGAUGAUUAUCGACUAUUGAGCAAUGUGAAUGACCGAUAAUGACGUUAAUUCCCUUCAACAUUGUCGAUCAUCUACCCAUGUUGCUCAUAGGGGCUUGAAAUUGGAUGUAUUAUCUUCAUGAAAGACAUGAUGGUAGUAGAUUACAAGCACUAAGCAAAAGCAUUAAGGAAAAGUGGAACACUAAAACGAUGUGUUGUGAGUAUUAGUGGAACACCAACACUAAAACUGUCCUUCCCUUACUUAUAUUAAACAAAUCACAAAUAUUUAUGUCGAUAAUACAUAAGGGAACUGCCUAAUCAACAACCAAAUAAUUAAUUAAAUUAUUUAAUUAGAUAAAAAUUGUCAACUCUUGGAGGAGACAUAAAGGAAGGAACUAUGCCUAACUAAGCUAAUCAAUCUCUAAUUCAGGCUUUUGGGGCAAAAAUUCCAUAAGCAAAUUACUGUUUUCAAAGACUUUUUCCCCCUUUUCACAUUUUUCUGCUUUGAAUUUGAUUGGCCCUCCUUCCACAAUCAGCACCUUUUGAGGUUUACAAGCAAUGACUGUUUUUUGAACCAUAAGUAAAUAUUAUUUUUUGUCCACGAGGUUAAAUCUUCCGCACUCAUUUCAUAUGUGGUCUUUCUGUGGCUUUACUAAUCGAUUGAUAUAUGUUAAGUUUAUGACAACAAAGUUAAUGAGAAAUUUUUUAGUGUAACCGAAAUAUGGGAUAGUAUGCGGUAUGCCACAUGGUAUUAUAUAAUUGGAGGGAAGUCUUUUUUUUUUUUUUUUUUAAAGUGUCCCUUCAAUUGUAUACGGAUAUAUGGGGGUGUACCAAUCCGUAUUACCAUCACGCUGAAAAAUCACAUAAAGGUAAGGGUGCGGAUUUCGACUCCCCAAUAAACACAAAAAUGUGAGAGGUCCCGGGUUUGAUGCUCCGAGCUAGUGAGUCUGUUUGACUGUGGUUACGGGUAUGAUGAAAUUCCCUAUAGCCUCUGCGGAUCUGAAAAUAGGGAUAAUUGUGACUUAUCACUAGUCGUCCCCCUAUUCACAAAAAAAAAAAAAAAAAAAAAAUGCCGCACACAAAAUAAGUGCAAAAGAUUAAACCCUUUGUUCGUGUUGACUUAAAAAAGUCAAUAAUUUAUUCAAGUUGACAAAACCUUCUUGUAGUUUUAUGAAAAAAGGCAGAAUAAAUAAAACUCGGCUUUCUGCGUUCACGUGUGCUUUGUAUUUGAAAAUAUUACACUAAACAUGUUUCGAUUAAUUUCAUCCAUUUGGUCACCUCUAGUACAUAGAACGAUGAAAAGUCAGAGUGUGAGAAAGUACAUAGAUUUACGUAAUCCAAGCCCGGCAAUUAAGUUGUCUAUAUACACUAGGAAGUACGGAUAACAUUUUCUGAACCGAAUACCACGAACGAAAAUUACCAAAACCGAAAGUAUCGAAACCCAAACUUUUUUGUUCGGUUUUGAUUAGCACAUUUUGGAGCGGUGAUCAUCCGCCUAAUGCUUAGGUGGGGUCUAGACAGAGCAAGGGAUAGAUUUUUAGAAGAGAAUUUUAACGAAAAGUUUCCGGUACUAUUCACUUUAACGAAAAAUAAUAUUUUUACACUAAAAAGUCAAUCAUUGUACUAUUCAUUUUAUCCUUUAUUUUGUCAUUGUCGUUAAAACUUUAAGUUUUCAAGCUUUUUUCAUUUGUUUUCCUUUUUUAGAAUAGUGGUUUCGGGUCAACUCGUUGAUGGGUUGCGUCGUUAUAAGUGAACCUUACAUAAAACAAAACAUGUUAACGAAUCAGAUCGUUAUUGUAUCAUCUGUUAAAAACUUAUUAAGAUAACGAAUUUGAUAUAACAUGACCUAUUAAGAUAUCGCGUAUAACAUCAAAACGGCACAAACAAAACAAACGUUUACCAGGUCUAAUUGUGAUAAUAAUAAAGGGCACUUUGUUUUUUUCAAGAAGGUGCUUAUCUUGUUUAUGCCGAAGACCAAUGACUAAUAAUUAACGAGAAUAUAUAAAAAGUAAAAAAGUGUGUAAAUAUCGCUUUACUUUUUAAGAAGAAACCUAGAGUGCUUGUGAAACUUGGCAUAACCGGAGGGGCAACCCAAACAUGGUCGUGGUUAAUCGGUGAUCACUCAGUCAACUUCCCAAAACCAAUUGUCUCCAUCCUAUACGACAAAAUAAAUAAAUAAAAAGAAAGAAAAAAACCUCUGUGAUUUUUUGUUGUUUAUUAAUUUAUUGCUAAUGAGUAACAAAUGUUAUCCACUAUUUCCAUAUUUAGUAUUACUUAUUACAGUGACAGCUAAAAAAAUUCACCUUUCACCUAUGAGAGUAAUUGGGUGGCAGAUUGUCUGGCUUCCUAUUUGGAUGCCCUUUUCAUUUAUUAUUAUUUUGUGCGAUCACAGUUAAGACAUGUUAAUAUUUUAUAUUAAUUUUUUUUUAUAAAAAUAAUAAGAUAAAAAAUAAUAAGAAUAUAAAAUAUUGACGUGAUUUAAUCGUGAUCGUACAAAUAGGAAGGGAUGAGAAGAGCACCAAACAGGAGGGUAGACAAUCUGCCUCCUAUCUCCGAGUAAUUGUCCAACCCAAUCGGCAAGCAGAGCUCACUGUUCCCAAGUCUGGUUGACCAGUGAAUUUUUAGAGUACCACACAUCAAUUUUUACUUUUAUAUAUCUUUCUUAAUUUUAGUCGUCGGAAAAUUGAAGAAGAUUUAUGACUAUAGAUUAGCAAAGAUAUAUCAGAGAUAAAAUUAGGUUGCGAACAACGAGAGAUUUUUCAGUGUGAUCGAUAAACGGGAUGUUACACUACGUGUCACUGUACAAAUGGUGAGAUAUGUGUGCUAAAAAGUUAAUAACUUAAAAAAUAAAAAUUUUCAGCACUUCUAUUAAAACAUGUGUGCCACUUAUAUUCUCGUUACAACAAAAAAUUUCUCGCGAACAACACCAUCCAUUAUUAAUAUUCUAAAGCUAUACUAAAUGGAGGGAAAACGCCUAACUUCGGUACGCAGUGUGCUCAGGAAAAAAAGCCUCAAAACGCAGUAUGUGAAAGAAAAAAUAUCUUUUCACCAUAACAAUCCACGACUUGCAUUAGCAUGUGUUUUAAAUUCAAAUAUUUAUUUUCUGCAAUAUUUUUUAAAUCCUUAAUUUCAUAUAUUGAUAUGCAAUACCAACAGUUAAAUUAAAUUUCAAAAGUUUAUGGUGUCAAACAGUGGUAUUUACUAUUCACUAUUUACCGUCGUACUAAGGAAAUGGAAAUCCCAUUGACCAACAACGGAACCCAUGUUAAACGUCAGCACGUAAAAACACGAGUGGGCACCCACAACACCAGCCUAAUCAGGGUCAAAUUUGUCCCAGAAAAAGCUUUAAUUUAGACCCUAAUGGAAAACAGAAGGGGGAGACGAGCAUCGGCAGUAGUGCGUGUGCGCCUCCAUUCUCUCACCGACGGAUGUGGCGCGCCGGGGCCCACGCGGUUCCUACAAGGGCGCGAAAGAUGGAAAUUUUCUUUUUAACCCCCAAUUGACCGUUCAUCACGGACGAACAGAACUCCGCGGACUCCCGACCGUCCGAUCAAACGAGACGAGCAAAACCAACGGCCUCAACCGUCCCUGUCCCAAUGGACAGGGUAAAAAACAAGGUAAAAAUAACCACCUACUAGGGGUGAAACGAAAAACGACAUCGUCUCGUGAUUGAUAUUUAUUUAAUUUGAAUAAAAAAAUAAAAGGGGUAUAUAAAAAAACGGACAUGCUCUGCGAGUCUGCAGAGCUCUGCGUUUUAGCUCCUCUUCUUCUUCUUCUUCCUCUGCAAUUCGUUGGCUUUUCUGGUUUUUCGCGUUGGUUGAGCUUUUCAUGCUGCUUUGUUGGCGUGCCUUCUUUUCCUUCUUCGUCUUCAAACGACCUCGUUUCGUCCCCUUCUUUCCCUCUUAUUUUCCUUCUCGGAGACUUGAAUAAAAUGGCGGUGAAAUUCAUUCCUUUUGUCUGAUCAAUAUAGAAAAUUUUAAACCGAGAUUUUUGGUUGGCGAAAUUUUGAUCAUUUUUUUGGGGGAGGACGACGGCGGCGAUGAUGAAUUCGACUCGGACCGAAAUGCAGGAGCCGAGCAUUGACACGGAUAAGCUGAGCUACGAGAUAUUCUCGAUAUUGGAGAGCAAGUUCCUGUUUGGCUACGACGAUCAGAAGCUCUGGGUUCCCAAACAGGUCUCUCCGUCCCCCACGCCGGUCCCCGACUCCAAACCCGACCCCGCCCAGCUGGUGGGCGUUCAGCCCCAAUCUGAAAAUGGCGUCGCGGCGAUCAAAAACCAGAGGGGUAAAAUCUGCAUUCUCAGCAUCGACGGCGGCGGAGGAAUGAGAGGGAUUCUCUCCGGAAAGGCAUUGGCGUAUCUUGAGCAAGCGUUGAAGCAGAAAUCGGGGAAUCCGGACGCCAGAAUCGCCGAUUACUUCGACGUCGCCACUGGAGCUGGCGUCGGAGGUAUAUUCGCCGCCAUGCUCUUCGCCACUAGAGACCACGCCCGCCCGAUUUUCAAGGCCGAUGACACGUGGUGCUUCCUCUCCGAUCACGGGAAGAGCUUGUUCAACAAUAAUCGCUCCUCCACCUCCGCCUCCUCCCCCGGUUUUCUGCGUCGCCUCAUUCGAGGUUCUGGUUCGGGCUCGGGUUCAACGGGGUCAGCCACGGCCGGUUUGGAAAAAGUGAUGAAAGAGGCGUUCGUCGACGACGACAGGACCUUGACGUUGAAAGACACGCUCAAGCCGGUUCUAAUUCCGUGCUACGACCUCUCCAGUACGGCGCCGUUUCUCUUCUCCAGGGCCGACGCGCUUGAGACCGACAGCUACGACUUCCACCUUUGGGAGGUCUGCCGCGCCACGUCAGCCGAGCCGGGAGUCUUCGAACCGGUCCAAAUGCAGUCCGUCAACAAGCAUACCAAGUGCCUGGCCGUGGACGGCGGCUUGGCCAUGAGCAACCCGACCGCGGCGGCGAUCACGCACGUCCUGCACAACAAGCAGGAGUUCCCGUUCGUGCGAGGGGUCGAGGACAUAAUGGUCCUUUCCAUAGGAAGCGGCCAGUUUCUGGAAGAAGCGAGGUACGAGUACGAGCAAGUGAAGAAGUGGCGAGCCAAGGAAUGGGCCCGGCCCAUGGCCCGAAUCGCCGGCGACGGGUCAUCCGACCUGGUAGACCAGUCCGUCGCCAUGGCGUUUGUUCAGUCCGGGAGCAGCAACUACGUGCGCAUUCAGGUACGAAACACGCCACACCUUUGCUAACGUGCGCAUUGCGCGCAUUUAAUUCCCAAUUUUAAUUCUGUUUUUUUGUCACGGAGUUAAAUUUUCGAGGUUUGGCUGUAUUUUUGCCGUUUCUGUUGCAACUGACUACGAGACGACACUGUUAGCCAGGCUGGGCACUGCCAAGAACGACAUGUAAAAUGUGUUGACACACGUAUAGAGGGCGCUAACUUGCGCCGGGGGCAUGGCUCUCGCUUUCAUGCAAUUAAAUGCGGGCGUUUUGUAACGUAAAAUCUUUGGCCCCCCGUGGAGUGCUGUGGGGGGCAUUGCCGAUCCAAAAUGUUGCUAUGCUGCAAGUGCGCAGACCAAAUGAAGCAAAAUUUUGCUAUCACCGAAAAAUGAUUUCCGCACACUUACGUUUUCGCGAACUUUUGGUAGUGCGCGGAAAACACCUCUUUUUGUCUUUCAUGUUACCAUCUCGCGUCACGUGACGGGCGAUAUACGAAUAGGGAUACGCCCUGUGUGAGCUUGAGAGAGCUCUGGUUUUGUUUUUUUGAUUAGAUUCAAGGACCGAGAGGGAAAGGAUUUUGGUUGGUCCGGAGUAGGUUAGCUGAUUAGGACUUUCUGUCUUUGUAGAACAGCUAAGGCCUAAAGCCUAAAGUUGACGGGUUGUCUCAGUAAAUUGGCUCGGUUCUUGGCUUUUAAUUUUUUUUUUGCUUUACUUAGCAACUUUGGUCCCACUGCAAUUGCAUCCCAUUGAUUUUCCCUGAGAAAGUUGAUGAUUUUCCCCUGUUUUCUGUUUUCUUAGCUUUAAAUUUUAUUACCUUUGAAGCUUGCUUCUUGGGGCAGUGGUCCAUUAUUUUUUUUUUACUUUCCCCUUUCUUUUACCUUAAUUUGUCAGCCUUUAUUUUCCCCUGCUGUGGAAAGUUGGACCAAUCUUGACCUGUGUUACUGUGUGGAUUUCUGAACCUGUAUUAUUGCAGUAACUAGUAAGUAAGUAGAAAUGCUUGGAGAGAUGGGGUCACAAUUUACUUAAACCUUAAUUAACACCCAUUUUUGUAAUUAGCUCCAAACCAUAUAUAUUCAGACAAUUUAAGUUGCAGUUUAUGUUAAUCUUCCCUUUAAUUUGACUGUGGACAUUUCUCUCAAUUUUAGAAAAUGAAAUGGACUUAAUGGCAAUGUUUUUCUUUUUUCUAACUCUUGGAUAAAAAAAAGGUUAUUGUAAUUGACCCACAACUUUUUGCCAUGUUCUGUUUUCCAUCAUGGUAUAUUUUCAAGGUGGUCCUAAAUUGGAAUUUGUAGCUGCCACCCAAAUCCAAAUUGUUUUCAAACAGUUGGACAUUUUUUUAUUAGCUAUUGAACCUUUCCAAAUUUGUGCAUAUCUUGGUUUUAAAUUUUAAUAUUAAAUUUGAGCAAAGCAUCUGUUUUUACAAAUUCUUGUUUAUUUUGUUUGGAAUAUCAUAAUUUAGGCACCAACUGUGGUUGAAAUCUAAAUUUCUAAGUGGGUGUGCAUGUCUAUGUUCUGGACCAAUUCAGAAAUUAGUUUUUCAAAAAUGGUUAAUAACUGGAUGUUUACUUGUAAUAUGUUAGGCAAAUGGGACAAGCUUAGGACGUUGCGGGCCAAAUGUAGAUACAGACCCGAGUCCUAACAACGUUAAGAAGCUGGUAGGAGUGGCAGAGGAAAUGCUGAAACAGAAGAAUGUUGAAUCGGUGCUCUUUGGCGGUAAGAGGAUCGGCGAGCAGAGCAAUUUCGAGAAGCUCGAUUGGUUUGCCGGAGAACUGGUGCUCGAGCAUCAGAGGAGGAGUUGCAGAAUAGCUCCCACUGUUGCCUUCAAGCAAGCUGCUCCCAAAACAAGUUAGAACUCAAGGGUACGUGCUUUUUGUUCCGUUUAUACCAAUUUUCAUUUAUAUUCAUGUUGUGCUCAGACCUCAUAAAUUUGAAGAAAACAGAACUUGUCUUGUGAUAAUGGUGCUCAAGGGUAUUCUAUUCUCGAACCAAAGAUGUAACGGUUAAAAAUAAUACUAAUUUUACGGUUCAAAUGAGUGGGACUCAUGUAUUGCAUUUGAGUUUGACGCAUGCUAACUAAACAACUCUUAAAGUCAUGAAAUUUAGGUAGAUCUGCUAUAUGAUUGGUUGUCAGAACAUAAUUAGAACAAGUACUUUCUGUAGUUGUGACACUGUUGGAGUGGCAGAAUGUCUUAGCCCCUAAUUGCUUUUUAAUCAUAUCAUGCUAGCCUGCUAGGCAUGCACAGUAUUAACAAAUUAAAAUAAGAAAUGUUGUUGGUGGGAUUCAUAUUAUUAAUUAAACUAAAUUAACAAAAAGAUUAGGGGUUCCACUAAUAAUGUUUACAUGCCAUCUUAUCAUUUCUUUGGUAUUCCAUGUUAGCAAAUAGGGUUACAGACAUGGAAUAAUUAGGUGCCAUGACACGUAUGCAUUGAAAAUUCUCAAACUUUUGUUUCUCUGUGGCCUAGACCUGUCAUUUUCUUCCUCCUUUACAACAACCAGGUUGUUGUUGUAUAUAAUACAAGGAACCAAAACAAAAAACAAAGGUAAAAAAAAAAAAAAAAAAAAAAAAAAAAAAAAGAAGAUGAAUGCUUAGAGCCCCAUCCGCUGUCGGCGUACCGACACUUUUAAGUUUUUGUAUAGGCAUGGAAGGGAAGGGUAUUGUGGUCAUUUUGUCAGGGAAUCAAAUCUUUGUGGUCCUAAUUCCUAAGGGCAAUGUCCGUAGUCCGGAAAAAAGAAAAAGGGUUGCUUCUUCUGCCUCCAUCCGUGCAAAUGUUUAGUUUGAAUGUUUUGGGUUGCUGUGUUGCAAUUGCAUUGCCCCACACAUUUACACAAUGCCUAUUUGGGUGAAGAACUCAUCCAACUAGCCAGUUUAGAACUGGAACAUUCAACUUCUUAAAACUACUUCAAUGCAGUGCACGAAAUAAGCAAUUCAUUCCUUGAACUGAUUUUUUAUUUCACUAAUGCAUCAAUGUUUGUAGAUUCUGUACACGUAGUGCUUCGCGGUCCAUAACUUUUUUAAUGCUCGAUGAAAACCGUCUCCUAACAUAGACAUAGAUUGAAAUGUUUAUUUCGUGUACAAGUUAUUGGGGCCAUAUGCUUGAGGCAUUGUUUAAUCAAUCAAUUUUAAGACCUAUGUGUUAGGUAGAGCCUAGAGGAUUAGGACCGUGCUUUAACGGUCGAAAAUUGCUGUGCAUAGGAUACACUGGAGCAUGAUAGAAGUUUUGUUAGGAUUCAUAGGAUGAGGAUAAUUUCGUUGAAGGAGUUUUAGACGGUAAAUAAUUGUACGGAAAAUCACAUGGGAUUAACUACAUGGGGGUAAACCUGUGGGGUAAGAAGUGUUAAGGGUUGGUAACCAGAAAGGACUAGCAAGUUGUGUCAGUACAUCUCCCAACUAACUCUUAAGUUUUAACAGACAAGGGGUAAAACCUGUGGAAAAAGCCAAAUUGGUCAAAUUUCUAAAGUUUUACAUUGGUUCUUUCAUCAAUCCUCUUCUUUGUUCAAACUAUUCUCUCUGUUUCCUUUUACUUUUCCAAGUUGUACUUGUAGUUAGUUUGUACGAGUACGUAGAAGAAAAGAAGUCUCGCAUCAGAAAAUUAAGAAAUCUUGUAACGGUUUAUAAGGUGUUGGUUCGUUCCCUUUAUUACCAAUUGAUUUUAGCAUGAAACAUUAACGUCCUUCAGUUUGAACAUAUGACUUGGAAAAAUUGAAGUGCAAAUCAUUUAACUCUAUGCAAUUCAAAUGUAUGUUUUUGCCUGUAGAUGUGAACCAUCACAGUAAAUAUUUUGUCCCAAAUAUUGCAGGAGAAUGGAGAGACAUCAUCAAAAGGAGGAGGAAAAAACAGGAGAAGAGUAAGGUGAAAAGGACUAGUAGCUAUUUGUAGAAAGGGGUGGGGGUCCGGGAGGAGGGGAGAGAUCUGAGUGGGAUUUGUUUGCCUGGCAGAGGGCAUGCAUUUGUGGUCUCCCACAGUCUCUACCUUUAUACAAUGGCAAGGGACCAAAGUGAGAGAGCUUCAAAAGCUUUUGAGAUACCAAAUUUUCAGUUUCAAAAAUUGAGUGCUCAUCAUGGGUGGGAAAAUCUGCUUCCAUUUUUUUUUAAUUUCUUCCCAUACCCUUUUCCUUUUUGUGUUUUUCACUUUUCCCCCAGAUGUUUUUCCAUUUCUUGUCUUUUCAUCCUUGUCUCAAGAAACUUGAGGGGUGGUGGGCUAGCUACCCUAUAUGGCCUAUACAACUGUGGAAGAUCCAGAGUUGAAAAAAUAGUCAAAGCUAUUUGUCUGCCUUCGGCUUUUUGUAAUUUUGAGGGUGUGGUUGGGAAGAGUAAUUUUCAGGGUGUGGUUUAUAUUUUUCAAGCAACUGACCAUAUCCAUCUCUCAUGGGUAGGGUGGGGGUGGGGGGGGGGUCCUAGUUGUGAUGGGUGGGGCUUUCUAGGGUUCAGGGGAGAAAAGUAGUAUUCUUUUGUUUUUCCUGGAUGUUGAAGAAGUGUAUUAUUUUUGAAGUUGCAGAAUCGUUAUAAGAAAGUUUCAACUUUUUAUGUACAUUUUUUGUAAUUUAAAGAAGUGUUUGGUUUGGUUGUUUUGUUCUGGUGGCUGUGGAAUUCUUCACUUUUUCUUUCAGUUUUAUGGGACGAUUACGUUGUCAUUGUGAUGUUGAGUGCUAAUAAUAUAAUGUCUUGUAUGACUUUUUUAUGUGACGGUUUUUAAUUGACAUAAGACGUUAUAAUGCGGUGUAUCGGCACGAUUUAAGUUUUUGACAUUAAUGACUUUAAAGAAUAGAUGGAAAGGGUUGUCCAGUUUGAAAUUCUUUUGUCAGGAUAUCUGCGCAGGACUUGUGUAUUCUUCACGGAGAAAGGUCAGCGUGGCUGCAAUGAACACAUUCUUUCGCUACUUUUAAUAGAAUGAAAGUGAAGAUUUUCUUCAGACCCAAAUAUUUGUUGUAUCAUCACACACUCAACACUUACUGUCCACGGACAAGGAUCUUAUCCGGAUCUUCUUUGUGGGAAUCGGGAGAAUCAAUCAAUAGUGUCUGUUUAUUGUACAUCGUGCGGUCAGUUUUCAUAUGAUACUACUUAUAUUUAAUUUUAAAUCUUAAAUUUAAAAUAAUUUUUAACCGUAUAAUGUAUGAUGAACAGAUACGAUUGAUUGAUCCUCCAAAUCCUCACAAAUAGAAUCUGAAGAGAAUCCUAUUCCACUGUCCACACCAGAAUCCACUACCUAAACCUAUACAUGGGCGAUCGUUUCAGAGUACAGAUGUCAAAAUAUCUAACUUAAUAUUAACAAAAAAAAAAAAAAAAAGUCAGUAACAAUAUUUUUAAUUGAAAAGUUAAAUCUAAUGUGGCAUGACGUAGAUUGUAAGUCAGAAAUUGACAGCAGCUUCAAAUUGUUUUUAAUUGAUUAUUAAAUGCAGUUUGUUAAUUAUGUUAUUGUUUUCUUUUACAUUUAUUAUAAUGUUUAAUGUAAUAAAAUCAUAAUCUAAUUUGUUAUAUCUUCUGAAGAGUACAACUUUAAAAGAUGUUAAAAUACCACAUAGACAGUCAAAUUUAAAUUUUAAAAUUUGACAUCUCCUUGAAAAUACUCGUAAUCCUAAAAUAUACAAGUUGAGACCAAAACAAAAGAACAAAAAUAGAGUUGUGAUUUGACACUAAAAAAGUUGAUAAUUAUUUUGAAGCGAUAAUAAUAGGCAUGAAAGUAAUUAUACUGAUGUGAGCGAAUUCAGGUUCUCUUCUCCUAAGUUUGGAGACUUUAACGUACUAAGAAACGAUAUCAUGUUGUAAAUUUUCAAAGAGACGGGCUGAGGGCCCCACUUUCAACAACACUGAUAUUGUCCUCAACUUGAUAGUUGUCACCUGCCCAAAUUGUUAGUUGUGGGGUUUUAUCACAAAAGAUAUCGGUGUUAGUUAAAGUAGGGUAAUCAUAUUUAAACUCCUUUUUCUUUCUCUCCCCAUCAGAUGUAAGAUACUCAACAUGCCCCUGCACGUGGGACUCAAUUAGCGGGUCACACGUGGGAGAUCCAUAUUGGCAACCAAGUGGAGCCAAGUUAGGACUCACCUAACACAUGGGGCCAAAGGGGACACACCCAAUCGGGUGUCAGUACAGGCCUGCCCCUUUGGAUCUGAUACCACAUUGACACACCCCGACCCUGAAUGUCCACGUAUCCAUUCAAGUCGUGAUGUGCUGGGUGACACUGGGAGGGUGAUGAAGCCAUAAAGUAUGGUUUAUUUAUUUAAAACUUAAAUUUAUCCAAACUUUUACACAUCAACCAUACUUUAUGGCUUUGUCACCCUCCCGACGUCGGCCAGCAUAUCACGACUCGAAUGGACAUGUGGACAUUCCGAAUUGGGGCGUGUCAGUUACUAUAAGAACGCGACCAAUCAACAUGUUACUACAAAGAUAUUACUAAAAUACUACAAAUGGAUAGGAAAUGCAAUAAAUUAAGGACUUACAAGUGACAUAUUUCAUGGUAUCAUUUGAAAUUUUCCUUAACCACUCAUUAAGUAUGUUUGUCUAAUUUUUGUAGUGUAUUCAUAAAUAAUUUAGCCUAAGUUAUAUGUAGAUUCUGUUGACUAUAUCAGAUGACUUGAUGACUUGACAGCUCACUGAUGACAUGGCAGAUUUAAAGUUAAAGAUUGAUGACUUGGUAGCUGUGGUUAUUACUGUUAUAACUGUUUUGUCAAGGUAGUUAGAAUGGUUAGGAUAAUCUGUUAGUAUUCUCAAGCUAUAUAUAUGCUGAGAUAACAAUGUAAGAUGUGUGUAAAACCAUUUAAGAAAAUAACAAACUCUCAUUUCUCUUUCUCGCUCUAAGCUUUCGAGCCUUUCUUGCUUCCAUUGAUUUCUUUAUUUGUAAUUUCUUUAGUUUUGUUAUGAUGGUAUCACUCGCCGAGGUAAGAUCUUAGGACUGUUUUUCGUUGUGCUUCUUGGAAGGAUUUCUGGGUGGAUUCAUCUCACGCGUUCAAGAUUUCAGUGUUAUUCGAAGUUCAAGGUUGUAGAUUUUCUCAGGUUAAUUAGUUCUUGUUUUCUGGUUUUUCAGUCUAUCAAAUGUUCGAUUAAAUGUUUAAGUGAGAAGAUUUUUGGGUUUAGCAUAUAUUUUCUUGAUGAAUUAAGGGCCGAUGCCAUAUGUGAGUAGUAAAGAUUGAAAGUGUUAAAGAUUGAAAGAAUAUAAGGCCAAAGCCAUUCUUCUGUAUUAAAGAUUGAAGAUUUGUUGAUUUUCUGCACUUUAGAGGCUAAAGCCGAAGUUGCAAGGAACAUUCAAAGGUUUGCUGUAGUUUUUCUGGGUUUUUCUACAUUUCAUAAGGCCGAAGCCAAAGGGUAGUGUCAUUCAGAAGUUUGUUUGAAGGAAUUUUCUGGGAAUUUCUUGUGCUUGGUUUGUAAAACAUUUUCUUGGUAUUCAACAAUGUCUGAGUUGGUGAAGAUUGAAGGAUUAUUGGGUAUGUUUACGGUGAAACUCUAAGAUGACAAUUUUGUUAAGUGGAGUUAUCAAUUCCAAUCGGUGCUAAGGGGAUAUGAUCUGUUUGAUUACUUUAUAGGGUAAUGACCUUGUCCUCCAAGGUUUGUAAUCAAUACAGAAACUGGUGUUACAAAAGAAGUCACAACAACAUAUAAGAAUUGGGUAAAGAAGGAUUUGGCAUUGCUCAGUUUAAUGAUUGCAACUUUGUCUGAUGAUGCCAUGGAGUAUGUCAUUGGGUGUAAGACUUCCUAAGAAGCAUGGACAUGCCUGCAUGAAAGGUUUGUAUUUAUUUCUAUGGUUCGAAUUAAUCAAUUGAAGACUGAGUUUUAUUCUUCACAAAAAGGUUGAGAAUCUGUUGAGAAGUUUAUGUUAAAUUUGAAGGCUAUAAGGGAUCAACUAAUUUCUGCUGGUGAAAAGGUAUAUGAUAAUGACUAUAUGAUUGCUGUGCUAUUAGAACUACCUGUUGACUUUGAGAUGAUCAAUACAGUGAUUCUUGCUAGAGAAACAACUGUCUUUGAAAGAUUUUCGAGCACAACUGUUUGGGGCUGAAACAAGCAUUGAAUCAAGAAUGCAUUCACUGAGUACACCUAUGUUUGCAAUGGUGGUACAAGGAGAAGGAUCUUGUUCUCAAAGAUUUCAAGGGGGCUAUGAACAUGGAGAAAGUUCUAAUACUCAGAGAAGUUAGCAAGAUUAUAAUGGAGAUCAAUUUGGUUUUCAGGGAGGAAAUGGAUAUGUUGGCAAUGGAAAUAGGUCUUACCAACAAAGAGGAAAUUUCCAUGGUAACAAUAGGAGGUUUAAUAAUGGGAAUACUAAUUCAAGACAAUAUUUUGGUAAUGGAAAUUUUGGCAACAGAAAUGGAAAUACGGAUGGCAACAAUAGUGGACAUUUCUCAGGUAAUGGUAAACAGUCUCAAAAUGGCAAUUCGAAUUCUAGAAAUUCAUACUCUGGGAAUAAUGGUUCUUUAUCUGGAAAUGGGGGUACAAAAGGUAGGCAUUGGAAUGGUAACACAAGUUACAAGUAUGCAAUUUCUCCAGAAUGUUAAAUCUGUUCAAGAAAGGGCCGCACUGCACCUAAUUGUUACCAUAAAGCUGAUAAUGGUGGCUCUUCUCCAAGGUUUAUAAUGUGUCAAAUACGUGGGAAAAGAAGCCAUAUUGCACUGGAAUGCUACCAUAGAACAAUUUCACCUAUCAAGGGACUUCACCACCUCCUUCAUUGACUGCAAUGAUUGCACAUGGUAAUAUUGAAUUGCAACAAGCACCUGCAUCAAAUGGUCAUGGUUUUUCUGCAUUUGAUACUUGGAUCAUAGAUACAUGAGAUGCCCAUCAUAUGACAGUCAAUGUUAAUAAUUUCAAUCAAGCCAUUGCAAACAAUGGGAAUGACAAGAUCAUAAUUGGAAAUGGGGAAGGUUGAUAGUUAAGCAUCUAGGCUCCUCAAUUAUUCCUACAUCAUCACAUCAUUCCUUCAUAUUACACAAUAUUUUGCAUGUGCCUAUGAUCACUGUUAAUUUACUAUCAGUUAAGAAAUUAUGUAAGGAUAAUGCUUGUUGGUUUAUCUAUGAUGAUGUGACCUUUUUUUAUUCAGCACAAGGCCACAAGGGUGAUUUUAUACCAAGGAAUGAGUGAUGAUGAUUUUAUACCAAGGAAAAAGUGAUGAUGGAGAAUUGUUCAAGAUACCAGUCAAUAUAUUUUCAAAUAGUUUUGCUGCAAAGUUGAGUAAUUGUGCUGCUUUUUUGGGAAAGAAGGUUCAGGCUUCAGUUUGGCACCAAAGGCUUAGACAUUCAUCUGAGGAGAUAUUAAUUGCUAUGACUAAAGCUUCAGAUAUAUUAGUUAGUACAAAUUCUAGUUCAUGUAUGUCUAUGUGUCAAUCUUGUAUUCAAGGUAAAAUGAGUAGACAUCCAUUUCCUGUAAAACAAGAUAGGGCUAGAAAUAUGUUUGAUAAGAUCCACUUUGAUGUAUAUGGUCCGUCUCUAACAAAGUCUAUAGAGAGGUAUAGAUACUAUAUGAAUUUUGUAGAUGAAUAUUCAAGAUUCAUGUGGAUUUUUCCCAUGGUUAAUAAAUUAGAAGCUUUUGCUAUUUUUGUGAAGUUCCAUGCCUUUGUAUCAACUCAAUUUAAUGCAUCCAUAAAGUGUUUUCAGUCUGAUGAUGGAACAGAGUUUAUGAGUCAAAUGUUUAGUGAUUUCUUGGCAAAUAGAGGAAUUAAACACAUGGUUUCAUGUUCAUAUACCCUUCAGCAAAAUGGUUUUGUUAAGAAGAAACAUAGGCAUGUUGUGGAGACUGCCAUCACACUUAUGGUAGAAGCUAAUCUAGCACCAAAACUUUGGUAUCAUGCAUGUGCUCAUGAAACCUUGUUGAUUAACAGAAUGCCAUGCAAAGUAUUAAAAAUGAAGUCACCUUAUCAGUGUUUUUCUUUUUUUGGAAAAGUACGUGAAGUUAAUCACUUCAAAAAAAUUUGGAACUGCUGUGUAUCCAUUUCUUAGACCUUUUAAUGCAAACAAAUUACAAUUUAGGUCAACUCAAAGGGUUUUUCUUGGAUAUGCUGCUAGAUAUAAAAGGGUAAUAUGUUAUAAUGAGCAGAAAGAGGAGUUGAUAUUGUUUAGGCAUGUUAUUCAUGAUGAGACUAUGUAUCCAUGUAAAAAGAAACAUGUUUCAGAAGCAAAUGGUAUGUCACAUUCACAGUGUUCUAGACAACAUAUAGUUAUGGUUCAGUUUCCAAUUCAAGUGUCAGUGAUGUAUCCAUAUCACACUAUGGGAAUUCUCAAGAAGCUAAGGUUGUGAUUGUACCAGAUGAUCAACUACAAUCAAGUUCAUAUAGUUAUGAUUCUUCAAAAAUGCAAGAUUUUUAGUAAAAUGAAAUUCCUCAUCAUCAUCAUCACUCUAUUCCAGAUUCAACAAUAUCACCCUUGGUGCAUGUCCAUCAUAAUUCUCAGUUAGAGGUUAACCUUCUGUGAUAAAUUCAGUUUCAAAUCAUCCCAUGACAACAUGAUUGAAGAGUGGGGCAAUUGAUAAGAAGAAUUAUGCAGCUUUACUAGCUACAUUUCCAGAGUUACAGUCAUUACAAUUAUGUGAAGAAGAACUAUUCAUUGGGGGUUUCUCUUUUGUUAUUCAAAAUACUGAUAUAGCAGAGCCAUCAAGCUUUAGAAAAGCUUCUGGCAUACCACAAUAGCAGCAAGCUAUGCAAGAUGUGUAAGAUUCUUUAAGAGCACAAGGGACAUGGAGUUUAGUUCCUAUACUUGAUGACAGGGCAAUUGUGGGAAGUAAAUGAGUUUAUAAAGUGAAAAAGAAUCUAGAUGGCAGUGUAUCAAGGUUUAAGGCAAGGCUAGUUGCACAAGGCUUUUCACAAGAACAUGGUGUGGAUUAUUCAGAAACUUUCAGUCAUGUUGUGAGACAUACAACAUUGAGAAUUUUUUUAGCUAUUGCUACAAUGAAUCAUUAGGAUUUUAAGCAACUAGACAUAAAAAAUGAUUUUCUUCAUGGGGACUUGCAAGAGGAUGUUUACAUGAAACAACCACAAGGGUUUGUUGAUCCUAACUACCCUAAUCAUGUUUGAUUGAUAAAGUCAUUAUAUGGUUUAAAAAGGCACCAAGAGCCUGGAACUCCAAGUUCACAAGUUACCUUCUUGAAAUGGGGUUUCAUGCAUCCUUUUCAUAUACAAGUUUGUUCAUGAAGAAGGAUGGUUCAUACAUUGUUACAUUGUUGUUAUAUGUGGAUGACAUAAUCCUCAUAUGCUCAAAUAAUUUGAAGAUUAAUCAGGUUUUUCAAGAACUAUCUGAAGUCUUUGAUUUAAAGGAUCUGGGAAAACUCACAUUCAUUCUUGGUCUACAAGUACAUUACAAAGAGAAUGGAGAUAUCUUUGUGAAUCAUGCAAAAUAUGUUAAAGAUCUUAUUCAUAAAGCAAGUUUGGAAUCUUGUAAGCAUGCAGCAACACCUUGCAAGCCUCAUACCUCAAUGCUUAUGACUGAAGGCAAUCCCUUACAAGAUCCUAGCACUUAUAGAAGUAUAGUUGGUUCUCUGCAAUAUCUGACUUUCACACGACCAUAUAUUGCAUUUGCAGUAAAUUUAGUGUGUCAAUUCAUGACUACACCAAUUGAGGUACAUUUUGGGGCAGUAAAGCGGAUAUUAAGAUAUCUUCAAGGGAUAAUUCAAUCUGGAAUUUGUUACUUGGCAAAUGCAGAAAUGACCACAUCCAGAUGCAGAUUAGGUUGCAGACCUUAACACAUGAAGAUCAGUGACAUGGUAUGUUGUUUUUCUUGGAAAUAACCCUAUAUCUUGGCAAUCUAAGAAGCAAAGCUCAGUUUUAAGGAGCUCAACAAAAGCUGAGUACAAACCUCUUGCACAUACUGCUGCAGACAUUAGUUGGGUGAGAUAUAUUUUGAAAGACCUGGAUGUAUUUCUUCAUAAUCCUCCUCUAAUUCAAUGUGAUAAUAUGUUUGCAAUAUCAUUAAGUGCAAAUACAAUGUUUCAUUCUCGGAUAAAACACUUGGACACAGAUUAUUAUUUCGUGUGAGAUAGAGUUCAACAAGGAGACUUGAAGGUAGUGUAUGUUCCAACGGAUGAUCAAACAACUGAUAUUUUGAGAAGGGGUCCACAUAGUCCUUUGUUUGUUAAGCAUUAUUACAAUAUGCAACUAGGAAAUCCUAGCUGUGAUUGAAGGGAGAUGUUGACUAUAGCAUAUGACUUGACGACUUGGCAGCUCACUAAUGACAUGGCAGAUUUAUAGUUAAAGAUUGGUGACUUGGUAGCUGUGGUUAUUAUUGUUAUAACUAUUCUAUCAAGAUAGUUAGAAUAGUAAGGAUAAUCUAUUAGUAUUCUCAAGCUAUAUAUAUGCGAAGAUAACAAUGUAAGAAGUGUGUAAAACCAUUUCAGAAAAUAACGAACUCUCAUUUCUCUUUCUCUCUCUAAGCUUUCGAGCCUUUCUUGCUUCCAUUGAUUUCUUCAUUUGUGAUUUCUUUAGUUCUGUUAUGAGAUUCAAAGUCACUCGUUGAAAUGCACCAGAAAGGAUUUAAGUAAUUUGUGAGAUAUGAAACUUAUAAAGCUUAUAAAUAGUUUUCACAACUGUUUAUAAACUUUAUAUUAUACGCAAUAUUCAUCUUUACUGGAUAAGUUUUGUCGUGUCACCGAGUACAUAUGCCACGUAUUUUUGAUCCCUAUCCUUUGUGUUUAGACCAACUAUUAAGUUUGAGGGGGAACCAGUUGUUGAUCGAUCAAAAGGCCAAAAAGCAAACAUUGAGAAAAAGUGUACAGUUGAUAGCAAAAUGUAAGUUGUUUUUCAUCCAUGCCACUUUAUCUCAUGACCAACGAUUUCAAAAUGUGUUACUCAAUUGGAAAAAGAGGAUCCUCCUCUCUCUAAAUCUCUCAAGACCAAAGAAAGUUGUCCAAUAAAGUUCCCUUAAAAAAGAAAGUAAACUUUUGAAACCUCAUGCAACCAUCACUACCUGUUCAAAAUUAUUUACUUGUGGUAAUCAAUCUUUUGUAGGUAACUUCUGCCCUUCUUAAAACUACAUCUUUAGUUUCACUCAAUACUAUAAUCUAGUAGUAUUUCUCUUCAUUUGUACAUGAGAGGUCUUAGGUUCGGUUCCUGUCAAAGGUGAAUUUGAACCACAUUAUUAUAGCUCGACUAUUGUGAGACUUAACUCACUCCCCAUUCCUUAGUGUAAAUAAUAUCGUUUGUUAAUAAAUAAAUAAAUAAAUAAAUAAAAAACCUAACUCUUUAGUGUGGGCAUCUUAUCACUGUGGCCACAAUAUUUUGCUACUUUAUCUCCAGAACUUCCCCACCUGAUGACUACUACAUGGCAAGAAAUUUACACAGGUUUUAAGUUCAAGCAAGCAUCCAGUUUAACUAAAUUUCAACACAAUUAGUACAACAACUUGAAGCCAAAAGGGUUGAUUAGAUCAAUAUUACUCCGCAUAAGUUGGCUUUGGUGAAAAUUAACCAAUCAUUGACCCACCAAGUCGAAUCGGUGCACCCUCGGAUGCUCUCCUUGUCUACCUAUUUGUGUUAACAAAUUUUCUUGUUGCUUAUGUCACAACCAGAAUCGUCCAAUAAUUACCAUGUAAAAUUAAAAACAAAAAUGAAUUGACGUUUCGUUUGGUAAUCUAUAUGUGUUAAAUAAAUGAACGGUUUAUUAUGAGCGUUGGAAUUGUUACCAAACCAUUGAUUUGCUUGAUAUUAUGAACUAUUAAACGAUCUCUAAUUUAAUUGAUUUAACUUUAAAAAAAAUGAACGUUUUCAAUUAUGAUAAGCGUAUCACGAGAAUUUGUUAGUCGUACACAAGAAAUUGCACUCGAGGAUGCACCUAAUCUUGUUCAACCAAAUUAAGUUUCACAUGAACCAAAGCAUAUUGCGACGUUGGCCGUGGCUGCCCUUUUGCAUUUUAAUUAAUAUUCAAUGUCUAAUCCCUAGCCAUUACCCAAUGCUUACCUUUCCGGCCUACUUAUGAAAAGAAAAGUGAAUCCUCUCUUUUGACCUCUUCGCUUUUCCAUAACCUUUCUUGCGACAUAGCAAUGAUCAAUCAUCAAAACCUAAUUAAUCUCCAUGGUAAUUUGGCUUUGUAGCUCCUUUCACGCGGAGCUUGAUAAACAAUACGUAAACCACUUAGUUAAAAGUCAUACAACUUUUCGUGUGAGCGUCUCAUGUUAGCGUGAUUCUUUUAGAAAUUACAUUUUAUGUAAGAUCAUAAUUAGACGUAGUAAUUUUUUACAUGACUCAUUAACUUGACACGAAAUUAUACGACAAUAACGGAUUUUGGGUCUACUUGUUAACGAGUUGGGUCGUUAUCGGAUCAUCCAUUAAAAACCCGAUAAAAUAUCGUUUGUCAGAUCUAGACAUUAGACAUAACAAUUUUUUGCAGGACCCGUUAACUUGACACGAAACGAUAUGACUCGUUAAUGAACUAGAUCGUUAUUAAGUCACAUGUUAAGAACUCGUUAAGAUAACAGAUUUGACACGACACGACCGGUUAAAAUAACAAAUAUGAUACGAUUGGUUUGUCAGACCUAAUCAUACUAUAAAAGAGGACCCUAACCACUAGUUGACACGAACACGAUUGAUUUGAUGAUGAUGUAGGAGCAUGGAGCGUGUAUUAUUUUGGUUUCGAUGGAGUUGGGAAAAUGGCCAAGUCGUUGUACGAAAGUCAUUUCUUAAUUUGGUGCUAAGUCCUUGUUCAAAACAAAGUAAAGGGUACAGAAUAUGUUUCCUUUUUGGUAUUGUUUGGUUUUGUAUAUAGGUUUGGUUGGUAAACCAUCUCUUAAUAUUGCAUGGUGCUAUUUUCUCUUUUUGCCAACUAGUGUUUAUUAAACGUUCGAUCAUCUCUAUCCUAAUUCCUACAUGACAUGACACAGACCUCUCUCCCUCUCUUUCUCGUAUAAUGAUAAUUAUAUUAUAAUUAGCUUAAACAAGAGCGUUUGUUAGCUACAAAUCAUUUUAUAAUUCAACAUGACAUGAUGGCGUGGUGUAGGAUUAUAGGAGAGCUUUUUUAGUGUGUUCGGAAUAUGAAGUAAUACAUCACGUGUCAUUAUACAAGUGUUGGAUACUCAUGUUAUAAAAUUAACAACUUGAAAUAUAAAACUUCUCUCCACUUAUAUAAUGACACAUACCAUUUUGUAUUCCGAACACACUAAAAUUUUUCUCAAAUUAUACAUAAUUAUCAUCCUUAGUUAAUCAUAAUACCUCUGCACACCUAAAUCCUAAUUAUAUAUCCUAAACCUACAUCUCUUUAGACUUUAGUGAGCAUCAACAAAUCAAUUAAUUUUUUUUUUUUGGUGAACAUAAUAUCGUGGGAGAUUUACCUACACGAUCAUAUAUAAUAUAUAAAAUAUACUAUUAUAUAUGUAUGUAUGUAGGUAUGUAUGUAUCUGUUCCUCCUAAUUAAUUAGGUAUAGUAGUUGCUAAGUGAUUGUUACUAAAGUCAUCGAGUAUUCUAGGUUUAUGUGGUCGAUCGAGUUGGUUGCAUGCGUCUACACUUCAUGAAGGAAAAUUAGGUACUCAUGCAUGCAACGAUCAAUAAUUGUCAGGAUCUAUCAAUCAAGAAGGAAGCUAAUACAUCCUAGUGAAUUUAUUUAUGUAUUCAUGUACCACCUAGCUCAUACUGGUGCAUGUCAGAUCGCUAACAGUAAUUCUCUGUCAAAAUAUGAGAAAUUUUGUAAUUGGAACACUAAUGGUACACUACGUAUUGUAAUAUAAGUGGUGGGAAGUUUAAGUUUUUAAGUUCUUAAAUUUUCAUCACACAUAUCCCAACAUUGAAAAAAUUCUUGUUAAACAUAAUGUCAGAUUAAUGAUGAAAAGAAGCGUAUAAUAGACUUGACCUUAUGUAUUAUUGGAGAUAAGAUAAUUAAUUAAGUAAAUCAUAAUGAUAGACAGUAGACACCACAAUUAUAUCUAACGAUAUACAUGCAUGCAUGCAUGCUUCCACAUAUAUAAAGCAUUUUUUUCAUUUCAAAUUGAAACCAAACUGCACUUAACUGAAAAGAUGAUUUCCCCUUCAACCUCCUUCACAUAAUUUACCAAAUAUUUAAUAUGACAUUGCCAAUUUAUACCUGCAUUUGAGAUCCUGUAAUUUAAGUAAUAUUUAUUCCCCUGCACUCGAAAUCCCGUCUUCGAAUCACACUAUUAGAACCCUAGACCCUAAAUUCUAAACCACCGCCCGCAUUAACUUGAAAGGGAUAUUACCACAUGUAGCAGGAAAUGACUCCACCAUAAGAGAGCUAAAGCACCUCAAUCUCUUUUACCAAAAUGAGAUAUUUGACACCACCUCAAGUAUAUCUGUCGGUGGUAACUACCAUGGGGUGCCUAAAAGUUGAGGACGAAUUUCAGGUCCAUAUUUCACGCGGCACAUCUUGGGUUCGAUUCCUGGCACUGAUGAAUCACACGAUGAUGGUCAGGAGGAGGCUUAAAUGUUUCUUGAGUCUUCUCGGCCACCGAAAAUGCGGAUUGCCUUGACAAAACCACCUACUGGUCUUUUUUUUUUUUUUUUUUUUUUUAAGUAUCUGUCGGUGGUCAUCUCUAAAAAAAUCCACAUUAAUAUUUUUUGUAAUUUGAAAUAUGUUGCCUAAUGUCAUUCUUUAGUCACUUCACCUGUCUGUCAUGUACAAUGUUUUUUUUUGUUUUUUUGGGACAAAUGUCAUGUACAAUGUUUUAGUCGCCUGUUUUAUGUAUGACAAACUAAUGUUAACUCGUUUUCUUCAACAAUAUUUGGAUAACCAAACAUUAUAAAGGAAUCUUCUUUCCGGUUAGCUUUUGCAUAUCUCCUCUCGAAAAGUUUUAUAUCAUGCUUUAUUGUAUGACAUGCAAAGUCAAACGGAGAGUCAAGAUUUUUCUUUUCUUUAUUUGGUCAAAAGAGUCUUAAGAAAUAUAACCGGCUAAAUAUUCGGUAAAUUAGUUGUGCGGCGAAUAUAACAUAAACGGGACUGAAAAAAAGACAUGAAUCCCCGUUUGAUAUCACCAACUAUCAUGCUUAAUGGGGAGAAGUCCUAAAGAAGCAUAGUUUUAUAGGUGAAAUUAGGUGGUAAUUAUUCUCUCUGGUCGUUCAAUGAAAUUGACAACCUAGAAUAAUCAAUUGGCCUUUUCGUGUUAAUAUAUAAUAUUACAUGUGUUGGUCAUGUUUGAGAUUUGACGCGUAACUUGGGGUUCUCUCUCUAUUAUAUGAAGAUAGAUAAAUUUCUCUCUUAUCGCGUGACCAGAAAAUAAAGAGGGAUAUAUCCUAAUUGCCCAAGAUUAAAAGGUGACUUCCUUUUAGAGGGACUUGUUCCAUUCCAAUAAGAGAUACAAGAGUGACGGUGAACUCAUGUCAUAAAGUUCUCGGAUCCCCUUCUCUCCAUCUGAGUUUGGACUUCACAUUUUAGGUCUUGUAUGACUUGGGCUUCAAAUGAUUUCUCUUCGGCCCAAGUCCGUUUUUAUUUUGGGUCAGUCCUUGAAAAUUAUGGUCCAAAAAGUUUAUAUAGUGUUGGUUUAUGCAUUCCUUACUAAUUUUCUUUGAUAUAUAGCUGUAUCUUCUGAUCAAUGCAAAGGGGAAAAUUCGAGCUUUGGAUUCAAUUCAGUGCUUAAUUUAGUUUCAAAAUUGGAGUUAAAACACAUCAUUCUCCAACUUCAUUCCGUACCUCGACCGGAAAAACGACAAAUUGUUUUCACUUAUUUAAAAUAAAUAACUCUGAUAAUGAUAUUACAGAAGAAUUUUAUUGCCUCAAAAGUUUACUUCUACAAAUUGAAUGAUUGAACAAAAACUUAUUGGAAAAAAAAUGGUUAACACAUCUCACAUAUACUCCAGUGUGACACUGUUUCACUUGAUUGAGUACUGUAAACGUUGGUUUGCCGUCCCACACCACACAUGCGUUUCAUGACAAUGAAUUUUCAAUGCCCGAUACAGAAAGUACACAAUGCUACAGAAAGUUUGUCGACUUUCAAAUGUGCAGAGUUGCUGCCUCUGCUGCAUCAACCAACGGCUGCGGCACAGGGUCUUGCAGGUCGGGAUUGAUAGGAAACAUAUGACACUGAGCAAAAUCUGCCAUUAGUUGGUCCACGAGCGCAAGCGCUAUUACAGCUUCCACCAUCGGCACAGCUGCGCCAUUCCACCACGCAAAACAUAUGUAAGCAAGGACGAAAGAUGAGAGAGUAUGAAAUGGCCUAAAUUAAUACAAAUUUUGCUAAUAAAGACCAUAGAAGACCAAAUCACAUUCCUAACCUAAUGGAUAUGCUUCCAUUUUUUUUAGAUUAAUUAUAUCUAAUAGCAGAAAAAAGGAAAACAAGUUUGAAAAAAGAAUGGGCAUAGAGAAUGAUGCAUCAGAGUUCACAUAUCAUUCACACACGUACCUCGCGGAACAACACAAGGAUCAUGGCGACCACGGGCUAUAAGUUCUAUCUCCUUUUUAUCUCUAGUCACUGUAUUCUGUUUCUUCUGCGCAAAACCACCACGAUAGAUUGGUCAGUUAUAGUUUUCUGUUUUGACAAGAAUUACAUAUAUAUGAAAUAAAGACCCGGGUUUGGCUCAAGAUUCUCCUAUUGACCAUAUAUACAACAGGAAUAAUACCAAAUUGUAGAAUAGAUAUGAUUAAUGAAUACAUAGCGUGGAAACCGAUAUUCCUUUCAAGUUAGUACUCAGAGAGAGAGAGAGAGAGAACAAGAGGUCGGACAUACUCCAAUUGUAGCUGUUGGCUUGAAAGCUAUUCUCAUGUUUAUGAUUUCCCCAUUGGAUAGUCCUCCCUGAUUGCCAGCAUAUACAAUGUCAGUGUAGAAGAGAUGCUAGACAAAACAUUUUACCAACUUACUCUACAUUCAGAAGAAGUAGUGGGAAUCUACAAGUACCUGUGUCCCGCCAGAGCGAUUUGUUCUUGUCCUGAUUUUUCCUUGAUCAUCCAAAUAGAACUCAUCAUUAUGUUCACUCCCAGUUAAAAAGGUACCUGUUAGGUAUAGUAUUCGAGAACAAGAAGAACUUACUCAAAAUAUAGUUGGAGAAAAAAAAUUUAAAAGCUCCAUCACAGUAGAAAUUCUUGCAACUGUUCUUUAAUCAUCAAGUCCAGUUUAAGUAACCCAAAAAGUUUGAAUAUUAACCUGCAAAUCCACUUCCAAAUUCAAAUCCCUUUGUUGCAGGUAAUGACAUAACAGCUUUAGCACAUUCAGCUUCAAGUUUAUCAAAGACUGGUGAACCAAGCCCCUGAGAUACAAGAAAAUGAUCGUCAAUUCUCCAUAUAUGACUUGAUGAAGAUUAAACAAAUUACUGAAAGAGCAAUACAACUUUGCAGAGGUUAAGGUAAAGAGUCUGCCCCCUAAUCUAAACAGUUGAAGACAUGCACUUGCAGAGAGAAACAUUGAGAGAGAGAGAGAGAGAGAGAGAGAGAGAGAGAGAGAGAGAGAUUACUGGCGGGCAAUUUCUAACAAUGCAUGUGACAACACCACCAAUGGAUUGCCCCUUCACCCUGACAGCAUCAAUGGCUGCGAUCAUCUUCUCUGCAUAUUCAGGAUCUGGGCACCUAACGAUAUUACUCUCUAUCUGGCAAUACGUCACAAAAGAAUAAAAAAUAAAGGUUCAGUGAGUGAGCACACACAACUGAUUAACCGCUCAUAAACACAAAAUUCAAAAGAAUUUUGUUGAAUAAGAAAAGAUAAAUGUGUGUCAAUAAGUACUUCAAAAAUGCACCCAGAGAAAAUGAGUUAAUCUAAAAAGAGCAAGCAACAGACUGGUACUUGUCUUUCUUGCUUUGAAUCAAUUUGAACUGAGAUUCUGACAUGAAACCUCGAACAACUCUGGAUUCAAUUACUAAGGGAAAGGUAUUCCUAUGGAGAGUCUGUCUUCCAAUAGGUCAGCUACAGGUUGGAACCAAUUAGGAGACACUUCGUGAAGAGGGAAAUUUUCUUCCCAGAUUUGGAAGAGUGGAUACUUCUGUAGUCAACAACUCAGGAAAUAGAGGUAGAUGUGACAACCCCAUAAAAAAAAUUCUAUGUAGCAAGCGUAAAAGCCUAAAAUGUCACGUUGCAAAUUGAGGCACUCAAGUUUGUAGAGGUGAAAUACUGUUUGAGUGUGAACAGAGAAACAUCCCGGUAAUUACGUUAUAGACUACAAUAACAUUCAGAGUUUAGUCUGCACUUUAGUUACUCUUGUAUCAACAUACAACUCCCAUUUUUUGUUGCUACUCUUGAAUGGUUUGCUACAAAAGAUUUUAAAUUACUAUCCAUUCUCGCACCUGAUCAAGUGUCAAAGUGUGAUGAUCAACCAAUUCCUCGGGAAGCACAACCUUAUGAACUUGUGAAACAUAAGCUAGGAUCUGAAAUGUGACAAACAUUAGGGAAAAAUCUUCAAACUUAUGACAAGAAUUUCAAUCAGUAAAAAAUGGUGCAGAGGAUAAUUUAUGGACACAGUUUCCAAUAAUAUCACUAAAUCUAUGACACACAAAAUUGGCAACAGAAGUUUGGAAACUUUUCUUUCAAUCAACAGGCAGGACAAUAAUUAUUAAAAGACUCCAAACUUCAGGUACUCAUUCGCUAUGGUCCAAGGACAGGGACAUGAGUGUCAUGUAUUGACAAGGACAUGGGGUUCCCGGCAAGUCCACUUCCAAAAGCCUAAGCACUUGGACAUGCCAAUACAUGUGUAAUUUUUUUUAGUGGAAAAUUUCAUCAUUUAUUAAGCCAAUUAUCACAGAAAAUUAACAUUAGUAACAACCAUUUUUUCAUUUUCAGAUUUUCUUGAAAAAACUCUCAAGGUUUAAAUAAGUUUGUAACUUUUCUAUGCAAAUGAAGAUGUAUUUUCGUAAGAAUCCAAAGACGUCAUUAACGUGGGUGGACACAACUGAUGUGUCCUUAGAUGUCAUAUACAGAACAGUCAUAAGUCACUCAGUGACAACUGUAAGUCAGGUGUUUCCUGUCUAUCUUGAAUUUAUCAGGUAAAAUCAAAACUAAUUAUAGCAGGAGACAUUUACAAUUUGACAAAAUACUACAAUAAGGAGAAAAAAAAUGAUUAAAUGACCUGGAGUCUCGAGCAUCACCAUGCAAGUAUUCAAGGAUACACAUAGUUUACUACACACACCUCAGUUCCUGAGAAAGCCUUAAGGAUUUUCUUGGCAAGGGCUCCAGCUGCAACUCUUCCAAUUGUUUCUCUAGCAGAAGAUCUACCACCACCCUUCAAUUACAAAUUAGGUAGAUUUAUGUAUCUGAAAUUCCAAAUACGAUUGUAAACCUUUAAUCGUUAAGCUUAAUACCAUUACCUGCACUGAUCUGAUACCAUACUUUUGGUCAUAAGUUCGAUCUGCAUGUGAAGGCCUAUAAGCUACUGACAUUUCGUCAUAAUCCUGAAAUUAUAGCGACAGAAUUAUUUCCAUGCACCAUAAAGAAUGUCAACCGACUCAAUUAUACAGAGUAUAAGUGCGAUGGUUAAUCUACGGCAUCCUAUAUAUCAUGAGUCAGUGAAAAUACUAGAAAAAUAUCAGUAAACUCUUUAACCAGUUCUAGCACCCAAAAUACAAACUUUUUAAUCAAGUUCCACAGCCCUCACAAUGUGUUCGUCAACUUAUCUAAUCUGCCUGGAAAAUGUUUGGGCACCUCAAACAAGCAUCAUGCAUCCAACACAUUUAAUACAGAUAUGCACUUCAAUACAUUUAAGCUUUGUCUAGUUUCAAAAACGAUGGUCACAUGAUUAAAUAGAUUAAAAGCUACAAAUUCCAUAGCCCAGAAAAAAUAAAGGUAAAAACCACGAGCGAAGAAAUACUAGUCUUUAGACCCUCCACCCGUUUUCAUUCCUCUUCAUAUAUAUGCCCUCUAACACAGGAUACUUACACGUCCUCUCUGAUCAGUAUUGGGUACAAGCACAAGAAUUGGUGUCCCAGUUGUCACUCCUGCAGUCAAUUAUAACAUCAAAUGAAGUAAAUGCCAAUGAAGACAAAAAAAGGAACACCCCCUUUAAAUAAACACACACACACACACACAAAUUCCACAAAGAUCUAACCUUCAUGAACUCCUGAAAGUAUUCGGCAUGUGUCAGUUUCCUUCCUAGGGGUAGUAAUUCGACUCUGACCUGGCCUCCUGACAACCCAUAAGAAUUUUGCAUCAAAACAAACGAGAAUUCAACAACUUUAGAGGAAGCUAUCAUGAUUCUUGCAUAGAAUGAUCUAUACUAAUGUCCCAAUAUAAACACCAAUAUAUCUAAGGAAACUAAUUGUGACAGCAUGCAAUGAUCCCAGACCAAAAACCUCACAAACUCUACGAUGAAUUGAACAUGUAAAAGACAUACUAGUAAAAUAUCCUUAAAUUGAACGUGAAGUAGGCAUCAACCCAUUACAACUGCCAUAACGCACAAGUCAGGUGCGUCGUUCAGCUACCCCAAGAACUUUAAAAUGAACAUGACAAGGGCAAGCCCGGUAUCAAAUACCUUCUGUCAAGGUCACCUUGCAAAUCUUCUACGGAGAGCGGCAUACGAGGAGGGCAUCCAUCAAUUACACAACCAACACCACCACCAUGAGAUUCCCCAAAAGUUGUAACACGAAAAUGAUUCCCGGUAGUAUUCCCAGCUGCCUGCACCUCUGAAAUUCAACACCAAGACUUUCAGAAUUGAUCUCAAAGUUGUAACUUACUACUCUCUAACGUAUCAAAAUUCCAUUUAUUUUGAAUUUAUAUUACAGCAGAUCCAAUUGUUUCUUUCAAUCCCGGGAAUAAUUCGACCGAAUAUAAACAUGUGUACUUAGAUUUUAGAACUUGGGUAGUGAUUGCAAAAGCUAAUUAAAGUUAUAGUCUUUAAAGUGAAAGAUUCAUGAUUUUUGUGCACGAAACAAUUUCAGUAGCUGCUGCAAUGCAGAUAACAAAAUUCUCGCACAUUGCAAUCGAGGAAGUAGAAAACAAAGCUAGAAUCUUUCUAGCUAAACAACACUGAGCAAUCAAAUGAACAACAAUCAGAGAGAGAGAGAGAGACUGACGGAGUUUCUUGGGGUUUCUCGGGCGGAUCACAAAUUGAACGGAGGAGGACGAGAGGGUCCGAAGAUCGGAGGAGGAGCACAACCCAGAAAGCCCAUCGGUCGUUGGAGCUCCGAGGAAUGGUUUGGAAGCGAGAGAGGAAGCCAUGGCAAUUGAACCCCCUGAAACUUUCAAACCACCAACCACCUAAAACAACGAGAAGAAAAAGGAAGAAAAUGAGGAAAGAUGAGAAUUCGAUUUAAAAAUAUUUGGGUGAUAAAAAUGUGAUUUGUAUGGAAAAUAUGGAGGGAGUGGAUGGGCUUAGAAUUUAGAUGCGAAAAGUAUGUUUUGAGUGAAAAGUCGGGCGUGCAGCCGGUAUCGUAUUCGUAGCUGCCAUACAAUCCACCAACCCACUUCCACCUACCCCCAAAUCCCAAGAUUUUUUUUUUCAGAACGUAACGUAAUUGGUACACUAUGUGUUUUAAUAGAAGUGAUAAAAAAAUUUAUUUUUUAAGUUAUUAACUUUUUAUCACACAUAUCUCACUAUUUGUAUAAUGACACGUGAUGUAUCAUUCCCUGUACCAUCACGUUUAAAAAUCUCCCAAAUCCCACAACUCCUCAUUCUUCAAUCUUUACCCCCCCUUCAAAAAAAAAAAACCUUGAAUUAUUUAAUUUUCUAUUUUUUUUACUUUUCUUCUGGUCAAUUCAUAUUUUUUUUGUUUUGUACUCGAGAGCAUCUAACAACAUAUCUUCACAGAUCAAUGACUAUGAGAUUUCCGGUGGGUUAUUUGGAUCGUCUCAGGAACCUAAGAAUUAAAAUCUAGACCGAUUAAGAAAGAGAAAGAGAGACUCGAUCUUUGAUUUGUAUGAGGUGAGCCAAAGAUUUCUUGAUCCUUGGCUCCAUAAAAACAUGCAGACUUUAUUUACAUUACUUGCAACUCCUUUUUUUUUUUUUUUUGGUUAAAGAAACUCAACGUUAAGAACAAACGUUGAUAUAACUUAAAACAAUAUGAUAUAUAGGGCAGAGUCUUGAACUUGAACAACACAAUCAACUACAAGCUAAAAGGCACGAAUACAUUCUUUCUUUCUUUUUAAAGCAACCUCGUCGGUACGAGGAAAAAUUUUAUUGAAUAAAAUAAAAGAAGCUACACCUAGUCAUAUGAGACAUAAACCUUACUCCUUAAAAUAAAGAGAGGAUAAACAAAAGAAAGCAAAAAUACAAGAAAAUAAGGGGACAUACACUUACAUAACGUGAAACAAACUUAUAACUAAACAUAUAGAAAGAGAAGGAAAGAAACCACAACUGAGAAAACAAACGACAACAACAACAAAUGCAUAACAUUGUAACUCUAUAUUUUCCUUAUCAUUUGUCUGAUCGUUCCAACUAUCUUAAGAAACAAGUCGGGCCUCCUUGUGAUGACAGCAUCUGCAAGAACCACUCCCACUACCAACCCACUUCCACAUCCGGCCGAAACAAUUUUCCAAUCAAAUUCAAAUAUCCCUGCUAAGCUAGAAUCACCUUCGUCUACGGUUGAAGGUGGAAGUUGAGGGGCCUUAGGAUUUCCGCAUUUCUUUGGCAAUGGAUCCCCACACAACCCUGGGCUUCCCUCGUAUGAAGUGAUAUUCAAUGAAGUAAGUUGGGUUCCUUGUGGUACAAGACAUGUGAGAUUGUUGUGACACACAUUGAAAUGGGCAAGAAAAGUUAGUUGCAUCGGUUGUUGGGGGAUCCGUCCUGAGAGCUUGUUUUGUGAGAGGUCCAACGAUUCCAAGCUUCAUCAAGUUUCCGAAGGAUGACAGGAUAGAACCAGUGAGAAUGUUGUGGGAAAGAUUCAGCGAACGAAGCUCCUUAAGAUUCCCAAUGAAUUAUGGAAUCUUCCCUUCAAAGUUGUUGCUUGAGAUAUCAAAUGAUGCAAAUUCUUCUCGAAUCUUUGGAUAGUAUUGCUCCAAACCUUUUGUUGCUAUUGUGAGUGGGUAAUCAACACUGUUAACCAUCGUGAAUUCACUGACAUCAUAAAUUAUGUCUGUUUACAUAUAUGUUGACUUGUUUAUAAUAAUAUGUGGAAACACGGAUGGAACCGCACCAGUAAAAUUAUUGUAAGCCAAAUCAAGAAUGCGCAACUUGCAGAAAUCGACAUUCUUUCUAGAUUUUCCAAUCACCCGGUAGAAUCCAUUAUGGCGCAUUGCCAAAAGCUUUAACUCUAGAAGAGUCCCCAACCAAACGGGAAAAACACCAUCGAAUCGAUUGUUUGACAAAACAAGAUACUCAAGCAUCACACAAUUGGCCAAUGACCUCGGCAACUGCCCCUGCAAUUUGUUAUGACUCAAAUCAAUCAUCCUCAAACUGCUUAUGUUGUUGUAUGUUUGAGGAAUGAUUCCGUGAAAAGAGUUUUUUCCAAGAAGUAAAAGAAUCAAAUGAUCACUAAAGUUUCCGAGACAUUGAGGAAGCAAGCCACUCAAGUUAUUUCUCGACAAGUCAAGGUACAGAAGAUUUUUCAUAUUGCAAAGCAACGGUGAGAUUUCUCCAGUAAAGUUGUUGGUUGUAGCUGCAUAUCCUCGCAUGGUUGGUGGAGGUAUUGGUAGUAGUCCAUGAAACAUGUUGGACGAAAUCCUUAAGCAUAUCAAGUUCACCCAAGGAAUGACAAGUGGAGGUUGGUCUGAAAUGAAGUUUUGAGAAAUGUCUAACAAUACCAAAGUUUCUGUGCUUGUGUUCCACAUCCAUUUUGGUACUUUGCCCCGGAUUUUAUUGCUAGAAGGGUCCAAACGCUCCAACCUUUUCGGAUAUUGUAAGAAAGAUGGAAACUCUCUUACGUUGCAAAAACUCAAUCCUAGAAUGGUGAACUGCGGAACUGUUGAAUUCACAAAUUUUAACCUGUUCCUAUUUAAUUGGAGUUGGUAAAGAAAUUGUAGAUUUUGAAACAUAUGAAACUCCAGUGUGCCACUCAGACUAUUCGAAUGUAGACAAAGGAUCUGAAGGUUUGUGAGAUUGGAAAAUGAUGCAGGAAUUGAACCAUUCGGUCCAUUAAAAGCAAAAUCUAGGCAAGUUAGUUGGCUUAAGUUACCUAGCCAAGAUGGGAUUGAACCGGUUAAAUGACACCAACCAAUCCUAAAUACAGUUAGCUGGGUAAGAUUGAUUGGCUGAAAUGUCUAGAUAAGUGAGCUGCAUAGCCAAUCAAUCGCUGGAACCAACCCUUUCGAAAAUUAGCAAUGAACCACAUCCAACUCUAGCAGUGAAUCAAGCUUUCCUAACGAAUAAGGUAUGUUCCCGAAAAACUUGGUAUAGGAAACUUUCAGAACCAUGAGAGGACUAGUUCGAUUAAAUUCAGGAAAAUAUCCAGUCAGACCUCGGUUCUCACAUUAAGACUUUCUAAGUUUGGUAGUCGGAAAAUUCUCACCGGAAAUUCACCAAACAGGUGACAGUUCCUGAGGGCUAGGGUUGUCAAAGAUGAUAAAUUAGCCAUUAUAUGUUUACGAAGUUGAGAGAAAGUACUCCUAGACUAGUUUAGUUUUGAACUAGGCUGCCAAGAUCCGAUGUUGCAAGUUUCAAGACGAUUCUCAUUUUUGACAAUCUAUCGAGAUUGAGAGAUAGAUCAAGGUAUGUCAACUUGGAUAAACAAUGAAACUUGAGAAGGGACUUGACCAGAAAAGACAGAGCUAAAGGGGUCAAGAUGAGUAAGGCUUGGGAAAUUUCCUAAUGCUGGUUGGAGUUUGAGAGUAAUUGAAGUUAUUGUCAGAGAGGUUUAACCUUUGAAGAUGAACAAGGCGGAAGAGGCUGCCGUUGGUGUUCAUAGAGCCGUGGAGACAACUGCUGCCAAGAUCAAAAGCCUAAAACGUCAUGCUGCAAAUUGAGGUACUCAAGUUUGUAGAUGUGAGGUACUGUUUGAAUAUGAAUGGAGAAGCCUCCCGGUAAUUACUUUAUAGACUACAAUAACAGUCAGAGUUUUAGUCUGCACCUCACUUAUAAAGGAAUGAGACAGAUUGGAAUGCUAUUCCUUUUCCUGGACUCUCAUUUUUUGUUGCUACUCUCGAGUGGCUUGCUACGAAAGAUCUUAAAUUAAUAUUCAUUAUCGCACCUGAUCGAGUGUCAAAGUGUGAUGAUCAACCAAUUCCUCGGGCAGCACAACCUUCUGAACUUGUGAAACAUAAGCUAGGACCUGAAAUGUGACAAACAUUAGGGAAAAGUCUUCAAAAUUAUAACAGGAAUUGCAAUCAGUAAAAGAAGGUGCAGAUGAUAUCAAUAAUGUAACUAAAUCUAUGACACACAAGAUUGGCAGGAGAAGUUUGGAAACUUUUCUUUCAAUCUUCAGGCACUCGUUCGCCAUGAUCCAAGGUCAGGGACAUGAUUGUCAUGUAUUGACAAGGACAUGGGGUGCACGUCAAGUCCUCUGAAAGCUAAGCACUCGACAUGCCAAUACAUGUGUACUUUUUUGAUGGAAAAUUUCAUCAUUUGUUGAGCAAAUUAUCACAAAAAAUUUACGUUAGUAACAACCAUUUUAUCUCUGAAAAACUCUCAAGGUUCAAAUAAGUUAAUAAUUUUUCAACGCAAAUGAAGAUGUACUUUCGUAAGAAUCCAAAGACGCGACCAACUUGGGUGGACACAAGUGUUGUGUCCUCAGAUGUCCUAUACAGAAAGAUCAUAAGUUAUUCAGUGACAACUGUAAGUCAGGUGUUUCCUGUCCAUCUUGAGUUUAUCAGGUAAAAUUAAAACAAAUAGCGGGACGCAUUUGCAAUUCGACAAGGCUGUACUACAACAAGGAGAAAAACAAAGAUUAAACGAACUGGAAUCUCGGGCAUCACCGUGCAAUUAUUUAAGGAUACACAUAGUUUACUACAACCACCUCAGUUCCUGAGAAAGCCUUGAGGAUUUUCUUGGCAAGGGCUCCAGCAGCAACUCUUCCAAUUGUUUCUCUAGCAGAAGAUCUACCACCACCCUUCAGUUACAAAUUAGGUUAAGAUUUAUGUAUCUGAAAUUCCAAAAUACGCUUGUGAACCCUUAAUCGUUAAGCUUAAAACCAUUACCUGCACCGAUCUGAUUCCAUACUUCUGGUCAUAAGUUCGAUCUGCAUGCGAAGGCCUAUAAGCUACCGACAUUUCGUCAUAAACCUGAUAUUCCAGCGACAGAGUUAUUUCCAUGCACCAUAAAGAACGCCAAUUGAUACAACUCUGCUCGUCUGUACAACUGACUCAAUUAUACAAAGUAUAAAUGUGACGGUUAAUGUACAGUAACGAGUUCUAGCACCCAAAAUACAAUUUAAUCAAGUUCGCAGCACUCACAUUGUGUUCGUCAACUUAUCUAAUCUGUCUGCAAAAUGUUUGGGCACCUCAAACAAGCACCAUGCAUCCAACACAUUUAAUACGGAGAUGAACUUCAAAAUAUUUAAGCUUUGUCUAGUUUCAAAAAUGGUUGCAUGAUUAAAUAGAUUGAAAACUACAAAUUCCAUAGCCCAGAAAAAAUAAAGAUCAAAAAACACGAGCAAAGAAAUAUUAGUCUUUAAACCCUCCACCCGUUUUCAUUCCUCUUCAUAGGUAUGCCCUCUAGACUGGAUGCUUACACGUCCUUUCUGAUCAGUAUUGGGUACAAGCACAAGAAUUGGUGUCCCAGUUGUCACUCCUGCAGUCAAAUAUGACAUCAAAUAGAAUACACGCCACUGAAGACAGCUACAAAAGGAACCACAACCCCAAAUAAACACACACACACAAAUUCCACAAAGGUCUAACCUUCAUGAACUCCCGAAAGUAUUCGGCAUGUGUCAGUUUCCUUCCUAAGGGUAGUAAUUGGACUCUGGCCUGGCCUCCUGACAACCCAUUAGUUCAUAACAAGUUUGCAUCAAAACAAACGAGAACUCAACAAUUUUAGAGGAAGCUUUCCAUGAUUAUUGCAUAGAAUAAUACAUACUAAUGUCCGGAUAUAAACACCUAUAUAUCCAAGGAAACUAAUAUUGCCAGCAUGCAAUAAUCCCAGACCAAAUGCCUCACAAACGCUACGUCGAAUACCUUCUAUCAAGGUCACCCUGCAAAUCCUUUUCGGAGAGGGGCAAACGAGGAGGGCAUCCAUCAAUUACACAACCAACACCACCUCCAUGAGCUUCCCCAAAAGUUGUAACACGAAAAUGAUUCCCGGUAAUGUUCCCGGCUGCCUGCACCUCUGAAAUUCAACACCAAAACUUUCAGAAUUGAUCCUAAAGUUGUAACUUACUACGAUCUCUAACAUAUCAAAUUUAUAUUACAACAGACCUAUGAAGCAUGACACGGAUACAGAUAUGGCGAUAGGAUACGACACCAAUAAGGCAAUAUGAAAAAUCUCUAAAAAUUAAGAUAUGGUGCGCUAUAGAUACGGCAAGUAAAAAUAUAUAGAGCAACAGAAAUAUACAUUUUAAAACAUUAUUCAUCUUUCAAAUUCACGUACAUUUAAGUUGUUGGAGAAGAAUAGUUGGAAAUAUAAUCCUCUUUAUAUAUAGUAGAAGAAGUGUGAGAAUUGUAUUCAAGGUUUUAAUUAGAGGGAAACUCUUUGUAUUCAUCAACUUUCAAUUGUAAUGUCUCCUAUUAAUUUACUCCUCCUUAUUAUCUUUUCUGAAAGUGUAAAUGUAUCCUAAAAGCCGGAUACUUAUAUCCUAAAUGUACGAUACACGUAUCCAUCAAGUCAAAUCCGUGUCCAUUGACCAAAAUACGUGUCUGACGAGUAUCCGAGAGUAUCAAACUUAUCUAAUCAAGUAUCAGAUACAAGACACGACCAAAGAAAAGUAUCCGUGCAUCAUAUAUAGCAACAAACCUAAUUGUUUCUUUCAAUGUCGAGAACAAUUCCAGCAAAUGUAAACAUGGAUCCUUAGGCCUUCUCCAAUAGAGGGGGCUAAAUGACCAAAAGCCUCAAAAACUCAUCUCCAACCGAUGGUUGGACUAUAAUUCUUUAGAGCCUUAUAUGGCCAAAGAGCAAUGGGCUUGCUAAAUGUAGCCCCCCUUUUAGCACUUUUUUUUGGGGCCCCAACUCCUUAGUUACAAUAAUUGAUUCAAAUUCAACAUUAGAUUUGAAAACAUCAAAAGGUAGUUUAAUUAAAUUAACCAAUAAAUUUAAAGUGUAAAUUUAAAGCUAACAAAUUAUUGAGGGGCUAUGUUUGGCUCAUUCGAUUGAAGAUGGUAUAUGAGUAUGGUUUGAUACUGUUUAUUUAAAAAUAAUUGUUUGUAGAGCUAUAAUUCUAAACGGGGCUAUAUCUAGCCCUUUUGGUUGGAGAUAUAGUCUUAGGUGGUAGAGCUAGAAUUUAACUCAGAAGGGUUCAAAAGUCUCACCCUAAAACACUCAUCUAAGAAAAAUAAAGAUAUGUCGUGCCCUGUGUUACCAACCACCAUCAUUUGAGUUUGGUAUGACAUCGUUCUUGUCAUCCUCUAGCUCAAUCAACUCUCAUGCCUAGUAUCACGACUCAGAUUCAAAAUAACAGUCAUUUUAAGCGGAAGAAUGAAGGGAGCUCUCUCGCCCACUUCCUCUCUCUCCCUCUUCUGAUCACUUGAGUCCCCCAAAACUCAUAGUGACGCCAGUUAGCUGCAUAACAGCCACUAGCCUUAAAUCGAACCUAGUGAAGGAAAUAAGGAACCAAUUUUGGUUGUGGCCCUAAUACUUUGAAAAAUCUUCGGAAAUCAGAGGCAUAAUUCUUGAUUUUUUCCUAUGUGAAGAAAAUGUUAGGAUAGGCCUAGGACCAUUUUGGUCCCCACAUGGCGCAAAAGUUAGGUUUUGGAACUUGGUUAGUGAUUGUAGAAGCUAAUAAGUUAGUCUUUAGAGCGAAAGAUGUUGGGGCCUAAAAAGACUUUACUAUUUUGUACAUGUUUAUCUCACAACGAAAAAUGUAACUCAACGAAAAUUUGAUAGGCAAGAGAAAGAAAGAAUACUCAAGUAUUACACACAUAUGUUUUUACUCUCACACAACAAACUAAUACAAGAGGAAACACUCACUCUUAGAAACUUUGUUGCUUCUUCUUACUCGUCACUCCUCACACUUCUAACUUAUCUCUUUUUCUCACUUUUUCUAACUUAGUUACAUUACAACACGCUCACCUAUAUUUAUAGGCAAGCAUAACCGACUUACCAAGGCGGUGGAAUUGCAUUGCCCAGCCACACAAUUUGAUGGAUGGUUACAGAGAGAGAGAGUCGGGAGAGAGGAAGUAGAAAGAUUAAAUCGAAAAAGCUUAACUCUUUCUAGCUAAAUAACAGUAAGCAACAGAAUGAACGAAAAUAAGGAGAGAGAGAGAGACUGACUGACGUAGUUUCUUUGCGGUUCUAGGGCGCAUCACAAAUUGAACGGAGGACGAGGUGGUCCGAAGACCAGAAAGGGCAUUGGUGGUUGGAGCUCCGAGGAAUGGUAUGGAAACGAGAGAGGAAGCCAUGGCAGUUGAACGCACUGAAACUCUCAGCCCACCGACAACCAAAAACAAGGAGAAGAAAAAGGAGGAAGAGAAGGAAAAUAUCCCAACCAAAAACAAGGAGAAGAAAAAGGAGGAAGAGAAGGAAAAUAUGGGAUAGAACUUCGCUGCUAAACAGAUCAGCAGCAGCUACUGCUUACAACCAAUCCCGGCUGAACAUGUGUCUAAGUUUUGAUCUGUUCAACAGGGAUUGGUUGUAAGCAGCUGCUGCUGAUUUGUUCAGCAGCCAAGUCCAGUUCGAAAAUAUGGAGGGAGUGAAAUGUACGGCGUGCUUCCGGUAUCGUUUUCGUAGCUGCCAUGCAAUGACUUGACUUGAAGAAGACGUAUCAAAAAAAUUAAAGAGGGACAGCACACCCGUGGCCCAUGCAAUGGCUGCAAUCCAUUUCCACCAACUGACUUCAACGUAACCCAAAUCCUUGAUUUAUUUAUUUAUUUUUUCUUGAACAAACAAUAUUAUUAAGUUUAAUUUAACAAUUGAGUUAGUAAUAAUAUAGUUUAAAUUCAUUUUUUGCUUACAAGAAAAGAAAAAUAUCAUCAGAUUGUAAUAUCAAAUGACAAAUUCUUGAAUUAUUUUAUUUUCUAUUUUCUUUGUUUUUCUUUUGGUCAACUCAGUUUCUUUGUUUGGUGGGUCUUCUUUUGGAGAAGAGAUGGAUCUCUUCUACUAAGAUCACUGGAUCAAAUGAUCUGAACCUUUGAAAUUUUAUCAAAUGGUCAAAAAAUAUUAUAAUUUUUAAAAUGUCAAAACAGAUGGAUUGUCAGAUAAAACUUCAAAAAUCCGAAUCACUUGAUCCGGUAACCUUGAUGGAAGAAAUCCGACUCCUUCUUUUGGCCAAUGCAUUUGGACUCAUCUUCUCCGGAACUUUCAAUGCGGAGCCUCCGGACCAAUUUGAUCAUGUCCGUUAGAUGAAUAUACUACGGCCGUAAUUUAAUUUUCUUUUUUAAUAAUUUUAAAGUGAAAAAUUAUGUCUCUGUUUUCUGUCUCUCUUGUCUCUCUUCUUUCAUAAAAAAGCUAUAAGAACCGUUUCGAUUUCACAUCAAAAAGUCCGUCUCUCUCUUCUCUUUCAACACUGCACGGGCGAGUCUGCCGUCUCCGUGGCUUCCCUUUUACCGGGCUGCUCCUCGAGCCUUCGAGUGGCGAUUUUCACAAGACGGCCCAAGCGGAGAUCUUCGAUCCGAACUAUUUUUCUCCUCUUUCUCUUUCUCCCUCCCUGGGUUUAUUGGGUUUCACUCGAUUACGAAAUCUUACAAAUUUCUUCUUCCUUCCAUCAAUCUAUUGCUUCGCUUGGCUGUUUGGAAAAUUUAAUUUCUGGGUUAUAAGAGUGUGUACUGGAAAUACCAAAAAAAGAAUUCAGGGGUUUGGGAUGGAGGACGGGGGUAAAGAUUGGAUUUUUGGGUGUUUAAUUUGUUGGAAUGAUUGAUUUUCUGCUAGAAAUUAAAUAUUUGUAGAUGAAGAAUGUUUUAAAGACGAGUAGGAUUUCAUAUUUAAUAUAUUUUGUGUUUGAAUUACAGAGCUUUGCACUUAUAAGGAAAAUAGUUUGUACACUUUGUAAAUAUCAUCUCUGCAAAAAAUAAUUAAACUUGAGUCGUUUAGUUAAUCUAUUGUAGCAAACAUAUUGACGAAAUGAUUCGUAAUGCUUUUACUAAUUUCGUUAAUAUGUUUUUAUAAAGUUUGAUAACUAAUCGACACUAAUUUUAAUUAAUUUUUUUCGGUGGCUUUUUUAGAAUGAUUUAUGAUAUCAAUGGUUCAGAUAAUAAACACAACAACAACAACAACAACAAAGCCUUUUCCCACUAAGUGGGGUCGGCUAUAUGAAUCCUAGAACGCUAUUGCGCUCGGUUUUGUGUCAUGUCCUCCGUUAGAUCCAAGUACUCUAAGUCUUUUCUUAGAGUCUCUUCCAAAGUUUUCCUAGGUCUUCCUCUACCCCUUCGGCCCUGAACCUCUGUCCCGUAGUCACAUCUUCGAACCGGAGCGUCAGUCGGCCUUCUUUGCACAUGUCCAAAUCAGCGGAGCCGAUUUUCUCUCAUCUUUCCUACAAUUUCGGCUACUCCUACUUUACCUCGGAUAUCCUCAUUCCCAAUCUUAUCCUUUCUCGUGUGCCCACACAUCCCAUAAAGCAUCCUCAUCUCCGCUACACCCAUUUUGUGUACGUGUUGAUGCUUCACCGCCCAACAUUCUGUGCCAUACAACAUCGCUGGCCUUAUUGCCGUCCUAUAAAAUUUUCCCUUGAGCUUCAGUGGCCUACGACGGUCACACAGCACGCUGGAUGCACUCUUACACUUCAUCCAUCCAGCUCGUAUUCUAUGGUUGAGAUCUCCAUCUAAUUCUCCGUUCUCUUGCAAGAUAGAUCCUAGGUAGCGAAAACGGUCGCUUUUUGUGAUCUUCGCUAGAUUGGUCCGGUUAUUAGUGUGGAUAAGUAUAUAAAUGGAUAGAGAUAGGAAAGCAAACACAAGAUGUACGUGGUUCACCCAGAUUGGCUACGUCCACGGAAUAGAAGAGUUCUCAUUAAUUGUGAAGGGUUUACACAAGUACAUAGGUUCAAGCUCUCCUUUAGUGAGUAUAAGUGAAUGAUUUAGUACAAAUGACAUUAGGAAAUAUUGUGGGAGAAUGAUCUCGUAAUCACGAAACUUCUAAGUAUCGGAGUGUGGUGUCGUCUUGACUUGCCUUAUCUGUCUCAUAGGUAGAUGUGGCAUCUUCUCUGGAAGUACUCUUCCUCCAUCCAGGGGUGGUAUCUUUAACUGGUGGAGAUGCACAAGGUAAUGUAUCAAUUUCACUUGAAGCUUACUUGUAGUUUCAAGCUUGGUCAAGCGCGAUACAAACCAUGUAGUAGGAGUCCCCCAAGUCGCCGAGCUAGGGGGUCUGCUGAAAGAGGUGACAGACAAGGUAAGCAAUCAGAGCUCCGACUGAUUGUUCACCUUCUCCCCAUCUUGCAGCAGCAUGAAGGAUAAAGAGAAGAAAAAUGAGAAGAGAUGAUAUGAGAUACUUUUGCUUUUGAAGAAGUAACUUUCCACAUGCUUAUUCUUGAACUGAGCUGGAGGGUUUUCUGGUUUCCUCCAGAGUAUAAGGCCGACUGAAGAAUUUGAGGGUCAAAACAAGUCCAUCAAAUCUAGAGUACGUUCCACCCUGCUGAUAUGGGAUACUUUUGCUUUUGACAGAGUAAUGGAUGUAUCGGCACGUGUGCUGUUACGCUUGUCUCCACAUGCUUCCUUGUAUCCUUCGCACUUGCCCUAUCUGUUCCUCAAGCAGAUACGGAAUCUUCCCUGGAAACAUAAGAUGUUGAAGAUGAGUACUCGAGAGCAAUGCCAGGUAAGUAAUCAGGUAAGGGGUUCCAGGCAGUCAGUUCCUGGCUGGAAGCUUGAUUCCAAGUGCUGACUGAUUGCUCUCUUUCUCCUUGUCUUGCAGGUAAAAACAAGGCCAAAGGAAAAGACAGGGAAAAAGCAUGAUAUGGGAUACUCUUGCUUUUAAACCCUGAUGAUAUGAGAUAUUCUUGCUCUAGUAUAGCUUGUUUGCAGAGGUAUUAUCGGGGGGAAAGAAAGCUGAAUAUUUCGAAAGGCUUCGUUGGGAGUGCCCUCUCAGAUAUGAUGAAGGGUUGAGCAUUUUUGCAGGUCUGCCUGUCCGUUGGGGGAUGGAGGUCGACAUAUAUAGGAGUCUCCCUAACAAACAAGUAGUAAUGCUAUUCAUUUACCCUGCUUGGUCAUAGCACGGUAGUGGGAGCUGCCAGUUUCACAUGUUUUAACUCUGUCAGAGCACUUUGAAAAAGUGGUCCUGUGGUAUCUGGCUCUCGAGAUUCGGAGAACGAUGUCUCUUCGAUUUUUGAGAAAGCAAUCAUGUUGGGGGGUCUGGCUCUCGAGAUUCGGAGAGCAGUGUUCUCUUCGAUUUUUGAGGAAGUAAUCAUGUUGGGAGUCUGGCUCUCGAGAUUCGGAGGGCGGUGCCUCUUCGAUUUUGGAGCAAGCAAUCAUGUUGGGAGUGUUGUCUCGAAUGUGAGUAAAGGUUGGGCAUGUUUGCUAGUCUACCUUGCCCCGAAGCACAAAAGGUUGACACACAGGGACUUUCCAAUUAUCUAGCAAUGGUACUGUUCCUUUACCCUCUCUUCGCUUUUGAGAAAGUAGUCAUGUUAGGAGUCUGGCUUUCGAGAUUCGGAGGACGGUGCCUCUUCGAUUUUGGAGCAAGCAAUCUUGUUGGGAGUGUUUUCUCGAAUGUGAGUAAAGGUUGGGCAUGUUUGCUAGUCUACCUUGCCACGAAGCACAGAGGUUGACACACAGGAACUUUCCAAUUAUCCAGCAAUGGUACUGUUCCUUUACCCUUGUGGGUAAUAAUAUGGUAGCUAGACCUUCAAAAUUUAUGUGUCUAAACUUUGUUAGUGCUGUUUCUUUGCUAUUCUUUUACCUUUCUUGGUCAGAGCGAUGUAGUGGGAGCUGCAAGCUUCACGUGCUCAACUUUGGCAGAGAACUUUGGCAAAGUUAUCUGUGGUACCCAUGAGCUAUUGUUGCGUGUGGGAAGUGGGUGAUUGAACAGUAAGAUUCAUGUGCUUUCUACUUCACCAGAAGUCUUCGACAGAAUGCCCAUAAUUUCUGCAAAGCUGAGUGUGCGUGUGACAGGUGCUGACAAGGCUAGAAUAGUAGGUGCCUCUUCGAUUUCUGAGAUCGGCCCUCGUGGUCUCUGGGGAGCCCAGCUUUUGAGAAAGCGAGCGCCUCUUCGAUUUCUGAGAUCGGCCUUCGUGGUCUUUGAGCAGCCCAACUUUUGAGAAAGCAAACGCCUCUUCGAUUUCUGAGAUCAACCCUCGUGAUCUCUAAGCAGCCCAGCUUUUGAGAAAGCAAACGCCUCUUCAAUUUCUGAGCAGGCGCCUCUUCGAUUUCUGAAGCUCCGUCGAAUGCAGAUUUUUAUAGGGGCUGGCAUUAAGUUCCAAAGCACACUUGAAUCUCCACCAGUAGAAGCUUCAUUCUUGCACUUCUAAGAUCUUGAUUUGUCCGACCUCUUCUCUCUUCAACACCUUUGAAAAUGUCUGGCCCCUCCGACCGUCGUUUUGACUUGAACCUUGUUGAAGAGGCAGCCCCGCCUUCUCCAGACAACAUAUGGCGCCCAUCCUUCGUCUCCCCUACUGGUUCUCUUACCGUUGGGGAUUCCGUGAUGAAGAAUGAUAUGACCGCUGCGGUGGUGGCCAGGAACCUUCUCACUCCCAAAGAUAACAGACUACUUUCCAAACGGUCUGAUGAGUUAGCUGUUAAGGAUUCGCUGGCUCUCAGUGUUCAGUGUGCAGGUUCUGUGUCUAAUAUGGCCCAACGCCUAUUUGCUCGAACCCGCCAAGUUGAAUCAUUGGCGGCUGAAGUGAUGAGUCUCAAACAGGAGAUUAGAGGGCUCAAGCAUGAGAAUAAACAGUUGCACCGGCUCGCACAUGACUAUGCUACAAACAUGAAGAGGAAGCUUGACCAGAUGAAGGAAACUGAUGGUCAGGUUUUACUUGAUCAUCAGAGAUUUGUGGGUUUGUUCCAAAGGCAUUUUAUUGCCUUCAUCUUCUGGGGCUGUACCGCGUAAUGAAGCUCCGAAUGAUCAACCUCUGAUGCCUCCUCCUUCUAGAGUUCUGUCCAGUACUGAGGCUCCAAAUGAUCCCCCUCCGGUGCCUUCUCUUUCUGGGGCUCUACUGACUGCUGAGACUUCUCCUAAGCAACCUUUGUGAAGGCUCCCUCUUGUGUGUUUAUUUUGACUCAUGUAUAUGUACAUAUUUGUAGCUUAUCGGGGAUAUCAAUAAAUAAGCUUUCCUUCAUUUCAACGUAUUGUUAAAUACACCAAAGCCUUCUUCGCUAAGUUCUUUGAAUUUUCUUUUGUUGAAGCUUGUAUGUUGAAGCUUUCUGAGCGGAGCAUGUAGGUUGGGGUAGUGUUCCCUUAACUUCCUGAGUGAGGAAAACUUCUCGGUUGGAGACUUGGAAAAUCCAAGUCACUGAGUGGGAUCGGCUAUAUGAAUCUUAGAACGCCAUUGUGCUCGAUCCUGAGUCAUGUCCUUCGUUAGAUCCAAGUACUCUAAGUCUUUUCUUAGAGUCUCUUCCAAAGUUUUCCUAGGUCUUCCUCUACCCCUUCGGCCCUGAACCUCUGUCCCAUAGUCGCAUCUUCUAAUCGGAGCGUCAGUAGGCCUUCUUUGCACAUGUCCAAACCACCGUAACCGAUUUUCUCUCAUCUUUCCUUCAAUUUCGGCUACUCCUACUUUUACCCCGGAUAUCCUCAUUCCUAAUCUUUAUCCUUUCUCGUGUGCCCACACAUCCAACGAAGCAUCCUCAUCUCCGCUACACCCAUUUUGUGUACGUGUUGAUGUUUCACCGCCCAACAUUCUGUGCCAUACAGCAUCGCCGGCCUUAUUGCCGUCCUAUAAAAUUUUCCCUUGAGUUUCAGUGGCAUACGGCGGUCACACAACACGCCGGAUGCACUCUUCCACUUCAUCCAUCCAGCUUGUAUUCUGUGGUUGAGAUCUCCAUCUAAUUCUCCGUUCUUUUGCAAGAUAGAUCCUAGGUAACGAAAACGGUCGCUCUUUGGUAUUUCUUGAUCUCCGAUCCUCACCCCUAACUCGUUUUGGCCUCCAUUUGCACUGAACUUGCACUCCAUAUAUUCUGUCUUUGAUCGGCUUAGGCGAAGACCUUUAGAUUCCAACACUUCUCUCCAAAGGUUAAGCUUUGCAUUUACCCCUUCCUGAGUUUCAUCUAUCAACACUAUAUCGUCUGCGAAAAGCAUACACCAAGGAAUAUCAUAUUGAAUAUGUCCUGUUAACUCAUCCAUUACCAACGCAAAAAGGUAAGGACUUAAGGAUGAGCCUUGAUGUAAUCCUACAGUUAUGGGAAAGCUUUCGGUUUAUCCUUCAUGAGUUCUUACGGUAGUAUUUGCUCCUUCAUACAUAUCCUUUAUAGCUUGGAUAUAUGCUACUCGUACUCCUUUCUUCUCUAAAAUCCUCCAAAGAAUGUCUCUUGGGACCCUAUCAUACGCUUUUUCCAAAUCUAUAAAGACCAUUGUGUAAAUCCUUUUUCCCAUCUCUAUAUCUUUCCAUCAAUCUUCGUAAGAGAUAGAUUGCCUCCAUGGUUGAGCACCCUGGCAUGAACCCGAAUUGGUUGUCCGAAACCCGUGUCUCUUGCCUCAAUCUAUGCUCAAUGACUCUCUCCCAGAGCUUCAUUGUAUGACUCAUUAGCUUAAUACCCCUAUAGUUCAUGCAAUUUUGUACGUCGCCCUUAUUCUUGUAGAUAAGCACCAAAGUGCUCGUUCGCCACUCAUUUGGCAUCUUCUUCGUUUUCAAAAUCCUAUUGAAAAGGUCAGUGAGCCAUGUUAUACCUGUCUCUCCCAAAAGUUUCCACACUUCGAUUGGUAUAUUGUCUGGGCCUAUUGCUUUUUUAUGCUUCAUCUUCUUCAAAGCUACAACCACUUCUUCCUUCCGUAUUCGACGAUAAAAAGAGUAGUUUCUACACUCUUCUGAGUUACUCAACUCCCCUAAAGAAGCACUCAUUUCAUGUCCUUCAUUGAAAAGAUUAUGAAAAUAACCUCUCCAUCUGUCUUUAACCGCGUUCUCUGUAACAAGAACCUUUCCAUCCUCAUCCUUGAUGCACCUCACUUGGUUUAGGUCCCUUGUCUUCUUUUCCCUUGCUCUAGAUAGUUUAUAGAUAUCCAACUCUCCUUCUUUGGUAUCUAGUCGUUUAUACAUAUCGUCGUAAGCCGCUAACUUAGCUUCUCUGACAGCUUUCUUCGCCUCUUGCUUCGCUUUUUCUAUACCUUUCACCAUUUUCAUCGGUCCUCUCCUUGUAUAAGGCUUUACAACAUUCCUUCUUAGCCUUCACCUUUGUUUGUACCUCCUCAUUCCACCACCAAGAUUCCUUUUGGUGUGGGGCAAAGCCCUUGGACUCUCCUAAUACCUCUUUUUGCUACUUUUCGGAUACAACUAGCCAUGGAAUCCCACAUUUGGCUAGCUUCCCCCUCUCUAUCCCACACACAUUGGGUGAUUACCUUCUCUUUGAAAAUGACUUGUUUUUUCUUCUUUUAGAUUCCACCAUCUAGUCCUUGGGCACUUCCAAGUCUUGUUCUUUUGUCUUACUCUUUUGAUAUGUACAUCCAUCACCAACAAGCGAUGUUGAUUAGCCACGCUCUCUCCUGGUAUAACUUUGCAAUCCUUACAAGUUAUACGAUCCCCUUUCCUCAUUAGAAGAAAAUCUAUUUGUGUUUUUGACGACCCACUCUUUGUAGGUGAUCACAUGUUCUUCCCUCUUCUUAAAGAAGGUGUUUGGCUAAGAAGAGAUCAUAUGCCAUUGCAAAAAUCCAAGAUAGCUUCCCCAUCCUCGUUUCUCUCCCCAAAACCAUGGCCACCAUGAAAACCUCCAUAGUUGCCUGUCUCCCUGCCCACGUGUCCAUUUAAAUCUCCUCCUAUAAAUAACUUCUCCGUCUGAGCAAUUCCUUGCACCAAGUCUCCAAGAUCUUCCCAAAAUUUCUCCUUCGAACUCGUAUCCAACCCUACUUGAGGUGCGUACGCACUAAUCACAUUGAUAAGUUCUUGUCCUAUUACAAUCUUGAUUGCCAUGAUUCUAUCUCCUACCCUCUUGACAUCUACAACAUCUUGUACCAAGGUCUUGUCCACGAUGAUGCCAACACCGUUUCUCGUUCUAUUUGUGCCCGAAUACCAAAGUUUAAACCCUGAGUUUUCUAGAUCCUUUGCCUUACUACCAACCCACUUAGUUUCUUGUAGGCACAUAAUAUUUAUCCUUCUCCUCACCAUAACUUCCACUACUUCCAUAGAUUUUCCCGUUAAGGUUCCUAUAUUCCACGUUCCUAAACGCAUUUUGCUCUCUUGAACUCUACCCUUCUGUCCUAGCUUCUUCACCCUCCCCCGUCUAAUAGGAUCAAAGUACUUCUUUUGUGUGUCCCGGGUAAAGUUGAUAGGAGCAUAUGCUCCCAAACAACUUUGAGUGGAGUCGUUCGAAAAGAAGUUUUUAUGGCCCCCUUGCUCAUUUAACACUGCAUCCGGGUGCCGAUGGAGAUACAGCGACCCUUGCUCACUUAUCACUGUGCUCGGGCCACACAGCGCGCCACUUACGGGUGACGCCCUAGCUUUAGCGCGAUUUUGUUCUGGAUUCAUUUUCAUAAGGAUUCGACGUGAUCAUGGAGUGCCGGCUGUCGACUACCUGAUGCCCUCCCCCUCCUCCUUUAUCCGGGCUUGGGACCGGCCAUGUAAGACAUAGGCGGAGUUCAGAUAAUAAACACAAUGUUCUAAAAAUCGAUAAAGAACAGUUUUGAAUAGGAACUCCUACUCAUCUUUUGAGUAGCAAAAUAUUAUUCAUUAUGACCAAAAUGAAGUUAAUUUGGAAAUAAGGACAAUUAAUUCAUGAAUUUGGAAUAAGGUAUUAAUUAAGAAACAUCCCUUUUUUUGUUUUGUUAAAAUGAAUAAUGAAUUCAAUAGUAACAAAAACAAAGCUAUACUGCCUGCUAUUUCCACAGGCCUGUAUCUUCUUUGACACUACCAAAACAUUCACCACAAGGAAAACUGUGGAAAUACAGUGCAGAAUAUGUCAAUCGCUACAGAAAUUCCGUUACAGCUUUUGCCGGAGCGCUUGUUUUCAGUAUCAUUUCGUCAUACUCGUCUUCAGGGUUUGAUAACGCAACAAUGGCUCCUCCCCCGCCUAUUGAAGCUUCACCCUCAUGUAUAACAACGGUUCUGAUAACUAUGUUGAGAUCGAAUGUCUGGUUAUAUGAGAAAAACCCUAUGGAGCCUGAGUAGAUUCCUCGUGGACUACAUUCGAUUGAGUCAAGAAGUUCCAUUGAUCUCAGUUUUGGUGCACCUGUCAUUGAACCCCCUGGAAAUGCCGCUCUCACGCAGUCAACUGCACUUACAUCUGACCGCUUUUUCCCGCGAAUUGUGCUCACCAUAGUAUGAACAGUAGCAUAUGAUUCCACGUCCAUCAGAUGGGGCACAUGAACAGAGCCGGGCUCACAUACACGCCCAAGGUCAUUUCUCAGAAGAUCAACGAUCAUCAGAUUUUCAGCUUGAUCCUUUUCACUGUAGAGGGGAGUGAGAGAGAUUAAUUCAUAGAAAGGGAGAGAAAACCACCUCAUUUCUUUCUUGCCAAGUAACUGCAUACACACUAGCUGGAUAUCGAACCCUAGAUCUUAUAUCGCCCACCCUCAUUCUUAAAAGGCAGGAUGUGUCAGUACUCCCAGAUGCUAAUGAACUACUAUUCAGUCCCUGUUGUUUUGAGUUGAUUUUAAAUCUCAAACAUGAGAAAACACAUCCCGGAGCAGAACAACAACAACCAACAACCAACAACCAAGCAGUAUCCCACUAAGUGGGGUCGGCUGAGAAUAGCUCUUCACUGUAGAGGGGGGAGAGAGAUACUAAUUCAUAAAAAGGGAGAGAAAACCACUUCAUUUCUUUCUUGCCAAGUAACUGCAUACACACUAGCUGGAUAUUGAACCCUGGAUCUUAUAUCGCUCACCCUAAUUCUUAAAGAGGGAGGAUGUUCAUCACUCCCAGAUGCUAAUGAAGUACUAUUUAGUCACUAUUUGUUUCGAGUUGAUUUUAGACCUCAAACAUGAGAAAACGCAUCCCAGACCGGAAAGUGAGAAUAAAUCUAGCUAAUAGUAGAAAACUAAGAUUCUGAUAGCAGCUCUUUCACCGGACCAAAUUGUCAUCUAUUUGACAAUUAUUAUAUAAAUGGGAAAAAGAUAUGUGAUAAUGGUUCAAUCCUGUUAAAAAAAAAGAGAUUUUACCUGUAUUGCAGUUGUAAUUUGCGUUGCUCAUCUUCUUCUAGUGUUGCACCACGAGCUAUAGUACCCUUAAUGGGCUUUGCUUCUAAUAUACCAUUUCUAUCCAACCGUAGAAACCGCUCUGGGGAAGAACAGCAGACACAUAGGUUUUCCUUUGAAAAAUUAAGCCAGGCAGCAUAUGGUGCUGGAUUUUUUCUCGAAGGUGAAGGUAAAGUCCUAAUGAAUCCAUUUCCCCAAUUCUUUUCCUCAUCUGAGUUGUUAGACAUAAUUCAUAGCUUUCACCGUCUUUAAUGUAUUCCAGACACUUAUCGACAUCUUUUAUAUACUCUUCUCUUGAUUUAUCAACUAUAAAACUUCCUUGACAUUCCGAAGAUCGAAGAGCCUGCAAAGCUGGCUCACCUCCCUCCUCUGUAGCAGAAGCUUUUAAGCUGAGAAGCUUCUGUUCUGUAUUGUCCAACCAUGGCGUCGUACUUGUGCAUUCUUCCUUAAUAGACAGUAUAUAAACAUCAUCGGAGCAGUGAUCAAUAACUACAAGAUUAUCGGCAAAGAAAAAGCAAGCAUCUGGAGUCUUGGAUUUGUGGCAGUUAGAUGAUGCACCACAUUCAACUUUAAGGCUAUAUCUGUAUUACAUGAAAUCAAUGAAUAUUAGCCAGCUAACUUAAACAACCAUGGAAAUUAAUAUUUUUGGAUAGCAACAGAAAUUCAAUCCAAGCAUAAAUAUCUGAAAAGCAGAAACCAGAGGAAAGGGAUGAUGACUUCUUAUAACUGAACGGCAAUCAGAAAUCGUGAUAGCUAAAAAGUCGAGAUGUCUAAGAUUCAAUCGAUUUCUUCAGAGCCAACUGCCCAUAUUGGAUUAAGCCAAAAAGCAGCCAAAACAUGGGAAAGCCGAUAAAAACAUCGGUAGAGUUUGCAAGAGACCAAGUUCUGAGAAACUAGUUUGCCACAAACUAAAACAAACAAACAAAAUUGGACUCAUGCACCGAGUAGGGGAUAAGAAAAAAAAGAUGGUCCGAGAACAUUACAUUCAAAUAAACUUAACUGCAUACCCCAUGUAGCCAAUAUAUCCACCAUGAAAAUCAAAUGGAAGGCCUUCAUAAUCCUUUUCAUCGUAACAAAAUGACAGGAGCUCCUGAAACAAGGACCAAGUAGCCGAUAUUACUUCACACUGGGAGACUGAACACGGUAACAAAAUAAAAGACAAACAUAUUCCAAAUGGACAGAAGAAAGCGCAUUCUGACAUAAGUUUAUGAUCAUUGAGAUGAUCUGUAUUUAGUACAACACCGGAAAAAUUAUAGAAUCCCAAUAAUUCAAGAACAGAAACAAAACAAGAUAAGGGCAACUUCAGAAGCCAUUUCCAACUUAAAACCUAAAAUUUUUAACCAAGAAAAUUUAGGUUUUAACUCAAAAACAAUUUUUCUCCUCCAACAUUGUUAAAUUUUUAGCCCGAGAUUAUUAAAGAAUGAAUUUAGGAUAAUUUUUUUCUUAAAGUAACUUUAAAAAAAAAUAAAAAAUUAUGUAGACUAUCCUAAUUUAAUAUUAUGAACAUUUUAACCUAAAAAUAUUUAGAUUCCAAUAAAUAUUGAAAAAUCACUAAACUGGCACCAUGCAACUCGUGGAACACUACGAAAGAAUAUGAAACACAUAAAAUAUAUUUUUUUAAUUACUUUAGCCAUUGGAUUUAAAUUUGGACCGUUAUAUAUAUAUAUAUUUUUUUUUACCGUUGAUUUGAUCAAAUGAGAUCUUAGCCGUUUGAUUCAAUGAAUUUAUAAAAAAAAAAAAGUCGUACCCAGUGCACAAGGCUCCCGCUUUACGCAGGGUCUGGGAGAGGUGAAUGUCGGCUAGCCUUACCCCCAUUUAUGGAGAGGCUGCUCCCAAAAUGAAUUUAUAAAUAUAAAACUAAAAAAAAAAAAAUACACAUAUAUGAUAGGUCAGCCCCACUAACCCAGGGGAAUCCUAGGCUAAAUUUGCCCCAGAAAUGAGUUUUGGGUUUGGAGCAAGUUGGAGUAAGUUUAGAACCUAAAAUUCGAGUUUUAUUCCAAGGGUUGGAGUAGGUCUAAGACUACACCACAAGCUGUAAUUUCACUUAAUACCUUUUUCAAAAAAUCAAGAAAACCUUCGUCAAAAAUCUGCUGCUGGUAGAGCCUUGAGCAUCCUCAACAGAUAGAAAACCACUUCCCUUCAAUGUCUUAUCACUGAAAAAUGCAGUAUAUAUCACCAUAACAUUAAAAUACUCAUAAGAGCUUUAUUCUAGAAAAGAACUUCAAAUAAUUCCACAAGAAUUCAAUACGAUUAUUGAAGAACGAAGGUAGUUAGCUGAUGGUACUUCCAUCUCAUGUUAUAACACGAUACCACCAUCAGUGAACAAAAAUCCAUACAAAACUAAAAGUUCGAAUUUUCCCGAAUCAAUGCUCAUUGCUCAGUCAUACCUUCUAUCAGAUAAUUUAAAGGUCAAUUGCUUCCAAAGAGUUCCACCUUUUCCUCCCAUAAAUGAAAAGCGUGCUCUUCUCUGAACAUUCAAGAAAACAGAAACAGAGACAAUGUGUAAGAAAUAAUGGUUUUACGACCGCUACUCAAAAUAAAACUAAGGUAUUAUGAUAAUGUCAAAUGCUUCAACUAAACCUUCACAGAGCACCAUGAGAGAAGGAAAACUCAUGCUAAGAUAUGUAACUAGUAAGCAGGAGCAAGUGAAAUUAACCUACCAAACUAACCUUUUCUAUCGAUGAACUGUCCAACCAAAAGGUGUUUUCAGCUUUAUGAUGUCCAAACAGUUCGCAGAAAAUAUUUUUUGCUCCACCAACUUUACCAGCCAAGUGCUUAAAUUUCUUCCAUUUCAACUUCAGAUAUUUAACACCAGCGCUUGGAUGCAAAAGGCUUACCAUAUCGACCAUACCAGAACAACUUGCGUUACUUUCACUGUUCUGUAAUAAGCUACUUCUAGAAGCCUUGCUAUAUAGCUGACCAUCUGCAUUAUUUACUAAUUGCUGAUAUCCAGGAACUUCUGUGAACAGUCGCUGGGGCAUCUGCAAGCAUGCUAAAAGAAUUUUACUGGUCAGUUGAAGUUAGAGGCAGUUUAUAUUUUAAUAAAUAAUAAUAAUAAUAAUUAUAAAGCAUAUAACAAUACAAACAAAUGAAAUUAGUAUAGCUGGGGUUCUAGACAUCUGUGGGAUCCUUCAAAUGAACAUAAUGUUCAGGUUUGUCAAAAAGGAAUUUGGAUCGAAAUAACAUUCGUAACAAAACACCUGAAAGUUUCCGAAAUCAUCCUCAGAAAAGCAUAAAAAAAAUUGGCAUGCAUAUGAAAGUAUGCAAUGUCUUCAUGUGACUUAGCAUGUGCACACGCAGAUAUGCGUGCGAGCAAGUGAGAUUUCGGCAGAGAGAAAUAUUGACAAAGGACGUAAAGCAAAGAAGAGGAUAAAAGGUAUUCCGGGAAAAGAGCUCUAGUUUACCUGUACAAUCAAAAUUUCGCUUCUUGAUGAAUGACGGUCUUGAAUUCAGCCAAUACUCCUCAGUGAUCUCUCUAAAAUUCUUGAAUAUCUGUCUUCCAUGACAGGUUGCAAUACUCUCUGGAUGGAACUGUGAGGGUCACAGAUAAAGUCAAGAGAAUAUUGCACGUAAAAGCAGAGCCCAAAUAAUCACAAAUACAAUGAACAUGCAACACACCUGCACACCAUAAUGAGGUCUGGUAGAAUGCAUAAUGCCCAUGAGAACCUUUACACUCUGCAUUUUUCCAGAAUGACUGAAAGGCGAAUAACUUCCAUUUUUCAGUUUCUCUGAAAAAUAUCCCACAGCAUAUUCCAAGGAAAAAUCAGACUUCUGGGUUUCGAUGAAAGAAAGUGCAUCCAUGGAGGAAGUCCAUGCUAUAGGAAUGAGUUCAUCUGGAAGUGAUUCAGCAUCUAUGACAAGUGAAUGGUACCGAACCACCUGAAAUUAGGUAAAGUCGUAUGGCUAAGCAUAGUUAAGAAUAAGUUUCACAAUCACCCCAAAAGGUCCAUGGUAGCAAAAGCAUGCACUUUCAGCAAAACCACAUUAAAACAUUAGAGUUUCAAGAAACCAUCUUUAACCUUCUCCAGUUUUUAAGUUUUUUUUCUUUUUACCUGAGGAAUGACUAACUUUGGUUCUGCAAAAAAACAAAGAUGGGAUUUUGAAAGUACGUGACCUUAGUUAAAUAUUAAUCAUAACUCAAAUACAUGAUUGCAAUGUGUCUCGAGUUCAAAUGAAAACUUAAUCUUAGUGGACUUUAAAAAAGUGAAUGUAAAUGCACAAAUUAAUUACUAAUCACAUAUUCUUCCCAGAGAAAAUGGUUUUCAACAUCAUAGUAUACAGAACAGAAUCAUCUGGAUUGAACAUUAGAAUUCUCAACAAUUACCUAUUGUAAACUGGAAAUACUAAAUUAUUUUUUCCUAUGAUGAUUAACUUUUAGCAAGAUAUGAAAAUUCAAAAAAACAGACCGAUGUCAUAGAUCCAGCUAGAAAUAUAUGACAUCUUUCAAGGAUACCCCUACCAUGGUACAGCUAACUUAAUUACAAUAUACAAGAUUGCAAAAAACCAAUGAUCUUUCAGUUGAAGAAAAGACUGACCUUGAAUCCUGAAUCGUGACCAGAAGGGAUGUCAUUGAAAAGUCUGCACCCAUUGUGCUCAACUUCGCUGUAUUGGGGAAAAGGAAAGAGUAGAAAGUUAAAAAAAUGGAACCUACGGGAAACAACAAAAUAACUAUACCAAAGCUUCAAUCCAAAAUUUCAAUUAUAAAGCAUAUUUCCAAUUAGUCAUGACUAGAGAUAUAUAAGAAAAAAUAUGCACCAAUUAGAACCAAAAUCUUGUAACAAAACAUAACAAUACCUCAACCGCCCAUGGACUGGUUCAGGUGCGUGGACAACUUUAGCACCAUGCACAUAACCUAAAGCCUGUUCAACCAAAGGCAUCCGGGAGAAUCAACAUCACUUGGCAUGUAUAUAUGAUUUUAGGAGUAGCAUUUAGAGUCACAUAGUUGAUUUAUUGUACUCUUCCCUAAACGAUCUUAUUUUGUAUGUAACUAUUUCAAAUUCUAGUUAAGCAUCUAGGUACGUUAGAAGAAGAAAAAACAGAAGUAUAAAACCAAAAUACCUGAUGCCCAAGACAAACACCCAAAAUAGGGAUAUCCCAGCAGUCAAGCAGCACCUGAAGACAUAUGCCUGACAGAUUCAAAUAGUUUCUAAAUGAAAUAAUCAUAAAAAGCUUUAGCAUUUAAACCAGACGGAAAAAAAGGGCUGCAAAAGAACUCUAAGAGAAAGAAAAACCAACAGAGGAGAAACAUAUAUGCGCGGUGCAUAUAGAUAAUCUAAAACAUGUUGAAAACUAUUGAGAGUGAUGCCUAUCCUGUUAGUCUGCAGCAUAAGGGCUAUCAACAUAAAGCCUUCAUCUUUCUAUUUUUGGCCCAGAUGGAAUUCAGAAGUAACAAAUAACACAAAAAGAAGAUAGUUGCUGAACUAUUGCAUAUGUGCUUCUAGUCACUAUUCUACCAUACAUCGUGGAAAUAAGCACGGAAGUAGCAUGGCAAAGAUAAAUUCACUUCUGAAAAACUCACCUAUGUCUGCUGGACAUGUUGGCGAACCAGGUCCAGGUGAUAUAACAACAUUGUCAAAAGCAUUUUCUUCAUACAAGUAAUAGUGGAUGUCUUUCCAUGUCAAUUCAUCAUUCCGCACGACCACAGGAGGCACUGGCGCAAUUAGAAGCCAAAAUGUCAGAGCCAACUUUUGGUAGGCUAACAUCAAAUAUAGUUUUUAUUUUCCUUCACCAGGUUAUAGAUGAUGCAAACAUUUUGCCCUUGGAAAUAAUAAACGGACACAGGACAUACAUAAUUCGAUACAUAUAGACAGGGGAAGGGGUUAGAGUAAAACGUACCCCCAUUAAUGACAGACAGCUCCUGGUAUAUAUUGUAAGUGUAGCUGUCAUAGUUGUCAAUCAACAAUGUCCUCACAAAUUCCAGCUUCCACCCAGGUUCCUUGAGGUUAUUCUUUCCCACAUAUGAUCCAUUUAAGCACCGAGGCAUCAAAUUGGUAGACAUCACGAGCUUUCCAGCAUCAUGAUUAGAUACUUGAGUGUUAUCCUUCUUAUUGAACUUAUCAACCUUCACAAAAGGUUCAGACUCUAGCAUAUUCUUGUUUGUAUAUGGCAACCCCUCAACCAAAGGGUAUCUGAGCUCGGAAGAUGACGAACACAAAGUGAAAUUCAUUUUCGUACGACUGAGAAUGUUAAAAUCAUACACAAGGGCCCAAACCAGAGCUUCUGCAACACAAAAAUGCACAGAGUUAAAUAUUCUUUUUCCUGUACUCCAAGAUUAUUCUUUUUCCAGCAUCCCCAAUUAAAUGGGUUGAUAACAACAAUUUACUCACCACUCUUAACUACUCCACUGAAUGCACAAAAGUUAUAGUUAAUACACCUUGACAUGUUAACAACAGUUUACUACACUAUAACACCUGGAAUGCCAUUUCUACCACCGCACUAACUGUCGUUGGAUGAAUGUAAUUUUUAAUCAUAUGCUAAUGAAUCUUGAAAUUUAAACUCAUCCAGCGACAAUUGAUGCAAUGGCAAUGCUAAAAAAGAUGCUAUCUUUAGUGGUGACUGCUUAAAAAGAUGCUAUCUUUAGUGGUGACUGCUAAACCAAUGAACCAAAUGGGUUCACUUCCUUCACAAAAUACAAAUGUGGAAUAAUGAAAUAUGUGACAAAUAUGUAGCUGACAUGACAUGUGAAAUUAAUCGUAGGAAGCUAAAGAAAAUUACUUUCAAGUCAAUAAUCCCAUGCUUAAACUACUAUCAUUUAUUCUGCCGGCCAAAAAAAUCCCAGAAAGCAAAACAUAAACUUGCAGAGACAGGAAAAACAAAAGAAGAAGAAGAUGCGAAGAUAACCUCAGAUAGUCAGAUGAGAAGAUAACCUCAGAUAGUUAGGGACCUGCAAAUACUUGUGAAGUUUGUUGGGUUAUGUAUUUAUAACUUAAGAGAGAGAGAGAGAGAGAGAGAGAGAGAGAGAGAGAGAGAGAGAGAGAGAGAGAAAUCGUUGGGUUGGUGAUGAAAUGGGCCCCGGUUGGUGGUGGUGUAGAUUGGACGAGACAGAGAGAGAGGAAGAAGAAGAAGAAACGGAAAGGAGGGAUGUGGGACCCACGAGCACAAACUCGAUACGGACAGAGAAAAGGGAGGCGGAAGGAUCACGAUUCAUAUUGUGGAGGGGAAAUCCUGGGCCGCAUGUUGCGGCUUGCUUGGCUGCGACUUGGUCCUCUCCUUCCUUCGAGUUCAAGACUUCCAAAGCCGAAGGGUGGGCGGGCGCAGAGCACCGUUUUACUAUUUUGUUUGGUUUAUGUUUAUCAGGAGGCUAUACCUUUUUAUUUUAUUAUUAUUAAUAUUUUUUAUGACAGGGAUUGGACUGGCAGUCUGGCACUUGCAAAUAUAUUUGAAAAUUUUAACAAAAAAUUUCUGAUAAUGUUUAUUUUAAUGAAAAAUUAUAUUUUUAUAUUAAAAAAUUAAUUAUGAUAUUAUUUACUUUACCUUUUAUUUUGUUCUUAUGAACAUAAUAUGUAAAUAUCUAAUUAGAUCUGGUUGCCUAAUAAUUCAACGGUCUGUUUUAUAAACGAGACUUAUAAAAGGUGUACUCUAGUUCUUGGUUAUUAUAAUUUCGAUUUUUACUAGAUAUACAACUAGAACUAGUGCAGAUGAUCCAAACACCAUUUUCCAUGGCCGAUCCCUCCGCAUGGUCGACUUCGUCAAAUGUUAAGCGCUUUAGCAUUUGUCAAUUGCAACCUAAACAACGUGCUUUACUAUGCGUGGGGAAGUGCCUGGCAAGCUUCAUAAUGUUAACGUUGAUGAUCAAGCAAUUCACUAUUGAAAUUUGGUUGCGCGCUUGUCUAGUGUGAAACAUAUGGCGACGGUAUAUACUCUUCUUUUUCUUUCUCUCUAUCGUUUAGUCAAUUCCGUCAUAACAUUAUUUGUGUUAACGUUAACCAGUUAGUAAAUAAAUAAGAUGCUAACGACAGUUAGUGUUUUAUCUCCUCAGAUAAAGAGCACCUGCAAAGGUGUAUGCAACAUUGCUCCAACAAUCACUGCGUCUUCAAGUAUCUUUCCCCUCUUCCAUAAUUGCUGCAAUAGUGCUUCUGCAACAUCAAAGCUCCUAGCCUUCAUAUAUGUACAAUAUAUCGAAGUGGUUGUAUUGAAAUAAGUCUAUGAUCAUUAUAUCAUGGAAGGGAUUGCUCCGACAGUGCUUCUGCAUACAUAAUUUGUAUACAAAACCUUACAAAUGGCAAAUUUUGUAAAUUUGACAUCAAAAUUUGGGCUAUAUUUAGUUACAUGGAUUGUCUUUAGGAAGCCAAAUCCCAAUAUGAAAUUAUUAGCCAUGUGCAAUCUACCCAAGAAAAACAAAAUUGAACAAAAGUACAUCAUAUUAUAGUUAUUGCGUUAUGUGAAACUCUAUAAGACUGACUUGGAUUUUAGUUUCAAUCAUGUCUUGUCUCAAUCCUGAUAUUGCUAAAAAUGUAAGAAAUUGAUAUAUAUGUUUUUCUUUGAUUAAAAUUUUCCCCUAACAAAAACGCAUAAAAUUAAAACUAAGAAAAGAUAAUUGUUCAUACAAAUGGGGAGAAAAGCUUCAAGCUUUGUAAAUUUGGCAAUAGUUAGGUGAAUGAAAUGAAUUAGACCAUCUCUAAGGGAGAUGUUAAAUUUUGACAGCUUAUGUGGCACUUUGACAUCUUUUAAAGUAUUGUUCUCCAACCAAUAUAUCAAAUUAAAUUAUUAUUUUAUUAUUUUAUAAAAUAAAUUAUUAAACUAAUUAAAAUGUAAUAAAGGACAUUUAAAGUUUAAUCAGUAAUCUGUUCACCUUCUUUAAUUGAAAAGAAGAAGAAAAGUAGGAUAAUUUCAUUGGUCAACUCAACAUUAAUUAUAAUAAAUUAUUAAACUAAUUAAAAAUUAAUAAAAUACAUUUAAUAAUUAAUAAAAAAAACAUUUGAAUCUGCUAUCAAAUUUGACAGCAACCUCUUUUGCUGCCAAUCCAUGUCAUCGCCACAUAAGAUUUGGCAUUUCAGUUGGAGAAUAUUAGUGUGGUUUUUUUUUUACUGUUAUAGUUGAUGUGUAUAUUUUGGCAUCUCCUUUGGAGAUGCUCUUAGGCUUCAAAUGAAAACAAAAUCUGUAAUAAAUUUUACAAUCUUCUUCAAUUGGAGUUUUCUUCAAACUGUAUGAACCAUUUAUGCCAUUCCAUUACUAGUCAUGAGAUUCUCUAAGUUAUGAAUGAAAUUUGUAAAUAUCUAAUCAGAUUUACUUGACUAAUAAUUCAAUGGUAGGUUUAGAAAACGUGAUCUAUAAUAGGUGUACUCUAGUCCUUGGUUUAGUCUCAUAAGUGAAAUUUUCAUAACAUUUCGCAAAAUGGCAAAAAAUGUUCAAGCAAGCAUCAAUAUGGUAAUUUUGUUUUCUUAUUGGAUAUACAACUAAUGUCGAUGAUAGUUGUUUGCUACCUCAACUGUGCGUUACACUAUGCUUGGGGAAGUGCCCUGGUCAGUGUCAAGUUAAUGUGAAUGAUCAUGCAAUUCACUACUACAAAAUUGCUUGCUUGCUUUAGUAAUGUUCCAAAUAUGCCAACAAUAUAUACCUUCAUUCUCUCUCUCUCUCUCUCUCUCUCUCUCUCUCUCUCUCUCUCUCUCUCUCUCUCUCUCUCUCUCUCUCAGUAUUGUGUUAGCAUCAACAAGUUAGUAAAUAAAUAAAAUGCUAACCAUACGUAAAUUUUUAUCUCCUUAGAUGAAGAGAAACUGCAAAGGUGUAUGGAAACACUGCUCGAACAAUCACUGUGCCAUAUCUCUUCCAUGAUUGCUUCAACAAAUGCUUCGAUCGGUAACAUCAAAGCUCGUAUCCCUGUAUAUAUGUUUGAGCUUGAAAUCUCAAAUUAGGGUAAGAAAGAGUAAGCCUAGUAAGAAGACUGCAAAUUUCAGCCCAAUAAUGAAAUUUGCUGACUAGUGGUGCAGGGCUCGGCUUAAUGGUAAAAUACUGAUGGCUCGACUGAGUCCUAGGAAAUCUGAGAUUGUUUAAGAAUUAGGAUUAGAUUGUGAUUCGGUAUAGCCCAACAAAGUAGGUUUGUUGAGGAAUCAAGAUGGUUUCUUUUUAAGUAAAACUAAUGAAAAGGGCUUGAAAACUUUGAGUUUUAAUGAUAAGGACAAAAUAGAGGGUAAAGUGAAUAGUACCAGAAUUGACUUUUUAGUGUAAAAAUGUGGUUUUUCGUUAAAAUGAACAGUACGGGUGCUUUUCGUUAAAGUUCCCUUCUUUUUAUGAAAUCUGAUUAAGUUGUUUAAGGAUAAAAAAAUCAAGGUUGUAUAAAGAACGAAUCGGUCGCAUAAAGAGACUAAACUAAGAGUCUUAGUUCAGAAUGUUUAUCAUUCCAUGUAACAUAGAAACCUCCAUACGGGUCAAGUUCGGUUAGGGUUUGGGUCAGGAUCGGAGAAUGGUAAUAUCAUCACUGUUUCUUAUACAACUUGAAUUUGUUAUUAUCAAACUAAACAUGGUAAAUACCAAAAAUAUAUAUGUGAUAAUAUUUGGGAAUUUUUUAUAUAUUCAUUAAUCUCCAAAGUGGAGUAUAUAUAGGAGUUACAAUUGGUAUUACAUAUGCAUUUCGUCAAUGUGAGACAACUGAUUACUAUUUACACUUUAACUAAUAUAUAACUCACAACACUCCCCCUUAAGUUGGUGCAAAGAUGUCACGCAUGCCCAACUUGUCAAGCGAGUUGGAAAACACACUAUUAGACACAGUCUUAGUAAGUACAUUAGCGAGUUGAUCUUCAGAUCCCACAAAUGGAAACAUAAUAAUUCCAGCAUCUAAUUUUUCGUUGAUGAAAUGUCGAUCAAUCUCCACAUGUUUUGUUCAAUCAUGUUACAUUGGAUUAUGAGCAAUCUCAAUAGCAACCUUGUUAUCAUAGGGGAGUUUCAUAGCACCCUUGGGUUUAAAUCCAAGAUAUAUCAACAAUUUUUUCAACCACAACAACUCACAUACACCAUGAAACAUACCACGAAACUCAGCUUCAGCACUUGACCUAGCCACCACUUUUUGUUUCUUGCUUCUCCAAGUAACUAGAUUACCACCCACAAACGUAAAGUAUACAGAUGUAGAUCGCUGAUUAGUGAUAGAACCUGCCCAAUCUGCAUCUGUAUACCCUUCGACAUUCAACUAACCAUUCUUGGAGAAAACCAAGCCUCUGCCAGAAGCCAUCUUCAAGUACCUCAAAAUACGGAUUAUUGCAUCCAUAGGAGCUUCACUAGGUGAGUGCAUAAACUAACUUACCACACUAACUGCGUAAGCAAUGUCAGGGCGAGUGUGAGACAAAUAAAUUAAUCUUCCCACAGGCCUCUGAUAUUGUUCCUUAUGAGUAGGAACUUAAUCCGAAAAUAAGCCUAGACGAUGAUUCUGCUCAAUCAGAGUAUCAACAAGUUUACAAUUUAACAUACCUGUUUCAUCUGACAAAUCAAGAACAUACUUCCGUUGAGAAAAAAAAAAUACUAUGCUUGAAUCGUGCAACCUCGAUUCCAAGAAAAUACUUCAAUUCACCCAAUUCUUUCAUUUCAAAUUCAGCAGCUAUGUACUUUUGAACGCAUUGUAUCUCAUUCUGAUCAUCACCAGUCACUAUCAUGUCAUCAACACAAAUAAUCAUUGCAGUUAGCUUACCAUUUUGUCGCUUUAGAAACUAAGUAUGAUCUGAAUGACUCUGGACAUACCCAAACUUCUUCAUUGAACUUGUAAACCUCCUAAACCAUGCUCUAAGAGAUUGUUUCAAACCAUACAAAGCCUUUCGCAACCUGCAUACAACACAUUUUCCAGGAGAUGUUCCGAUACUAAGUGGGAGAGCAAUAUAAACUUCAUCUUUGAGAUCACCAUGAAGGAAAACAUUCUUAACAUCAAACUACAACAGAGGCCAAUCCUGGUUUGCUGUUAAGGACAGAAGAACACGCACAAUAUUAAGUUUGGCAACAUGAGCAAAAGUCUCCUAAUAGUCCACCCCAUAGGUUUGAGUACAACUCUUAGCAUCUAAUCUAGCUUUAUACCAGUCAAUAGAACCAUCUGCUUUGUGCUUAAUAGUGAACACUCAUCUACAUCUAACAACUUUCUUCCCGUUUGGUAAAUGAACCAAAUCCUAAGUGGAAUUCUUUUCCAAAACUUCCAUCUCAACUCUCAUGGCAUUAACCCACUUAGAGUCAGACAAAGCACCAUGCAAUUUUGUUGGAAUUGAUACAGUAGAUAGCUGACAUAUGCAAUAUGCAUAUGGUUUGGACAAAUGAUAAGUAGACAUAAUUGUUGAUAGGAUAUUUGGCUUUGGCAUUAAUAUCAGGCUCAUAUUGUACUUUAGGUUUUCCACGAUUAGCUCGUAGAGGCAACUGAUAAGUAAAAGAAUUGUCAAAAUUUACUUUUUGUAUGUCACCAUCUUGUGCCAAAACUGUUAGAAGAAUCAUCACUGGUCGAACCAUCAUCAGGAAACUCAUUAGACAUACUAGCAGCAUGCAACCAAUCAUUAGAAGGUAAUUUGUCAGACAUACUAACAGGUAACUCGUUGGGCACAUCUGAUCUGUCAUCAGUAGCAAUAGUUUCGGGAAUGACAGGUGACCAAUCAUUAUCUAUAGCCAACUAAUCAGUAUCACGCAAAACGCAACAUAAUAAGUUAUAUCCCCAACUCUGUCUGUAACACAUCAUCCAUACCAUAUCAUCGAAUAUGCACUUCACUCCCACUAUCCCCUUGAAAUUGAGAGUCGGAAGAGGGCUUCACAAAAUACUAAACUUCCUCGUGGAAGGUAACAUCCAUGGUAAUAUAAAUUUUCUAAGUCGGAGGAUGAUAACAUUUAUAGCCUUUCUGAUUGUUAGCAUACCCAAUAAAUACACGUUGAAGAGCAUAUACAUCAAGUUUACUCCGCUGAUGAGAGUAGACAUACACAUAGGCAAUACACCCAAACACCUUCAGAUGAGGUUUUGAUACAGAAACUAGAUAAACAUGUUUUUGUAGCACAUCAAGCGGUGUUUGAAAACCAAGAACCCUACUUGGAACACGAUUUUUUAAAUACACAACAGCCAAAAUAGCAUGGCCCCACAAAUGAUUAGGAACACAUUUAUCCAACAUCAAGGAGCAAGCAACCUCCAUUAUUUGACGAUUCUUCUGUUUGGACACACCAUUUUGUUGGGGUGUAAAAGAAGUAGUCGUCUGGUGAAUAAUACCUUGAUCACAAAAAAAACAUGCCAAAGUGUGAUUCAUAUAUUCUCAUCCGUUAUAAGACCUGAAGACUUUAACUUUGGUAUGAAACUGAGUAGACACCAUUGCACAAAAUUCUUGAAGAGGCAAAGGAACAUUACUCUUAUUCUUCAUCAAGAACACCCAAGUUAAUUGAGUACAAUCAUCAAUAAAAGUAACAAACCAAUGUAAUCCAUUAGAAGUAACCUUUGUCGGACCCCACACAUCAGAAUGUAUUAAAUCAAAUGGCAAAGUAGCUUUAGAAUCACUUAUGGGAAAGGAAGCACGAUGACUCUUAGCCAUGACAUAUGUUUCACACUUGAACUUUGAAUCACUACAAGUGUGAAACAAAGAAGGAAAUAGAUGCUUCAUAUAACUGAAUGAUGGAUGUCCCAAUCGUCAAUGCCAUAACCAAAUUUGAUGUCUGUCAUCCACUUUAGCACUUAAAACUUGAUAAUUAUUUGAACCGGAAACAGCAGCAUCCUUCAUAGUCAAGACGUACAAACCCCCUAUUCUUUUACCACAACCCAUUAUCUUAUGAAUUUGAAUGUUUUGAAAAUAACAGUACGUAGAGUAGAAGUGAGUAUAACAAUAUAAGGUAUCAAUUAGUUUUCCUAUCGACAAAAGAUUUCACUUAACAUCAGGAACAAGUAAAGCAUGGACCAAUGAUAAGGUUGGAGUAAGAGAGAUAGUGCCUUCACCCUUCACAGGGGAAGGUGCUUCAUUUGUACUAGUAAUAUACAGAUCACGAAUAUAGUCACAUAACUCAUCAAACACUCUAGGGUCACUAGUCACAUGAUUAGUGGCCCCAGUGUCAAUUAUCCAUAUAUUUGUUCCACUAAGAUGCAUAACAACACUAUAAUUAUAUUGAGCCAUUGAACUAAAUCAUGAACAAUAAAGGCACAAAAGAUAAGCAACGAAAUGAAAAAAAUUUACCAUAACACUGUAGCAGAUCACUGUUCACACACUGUAGCAGCAAGGCUCUAUUCGUUAUACUAUAGCGCGGCAUUAUUCACUUUCUUUUUAUUUAUUUUUUAAACGAAGGAAAUCAUGACAAAUGUGGGCACAAAAUUAAAGCACACAUGUCACCAAGAGCGAAGUGCUCUAAUGCCAUGUCAAACUAAACAUGGUAAAUACCAAAAUAUAAGGAAAACUAAUGAAAAGGGCUUGAAAAUUUUGAGUUUUAAUGAUAAAGAUAAAAUAAAGGGUAAAGUGAAUAGUACCAGGAUUGACUUUUUAGUGUAAAAAUGUGGUUUUUCGUUAAAAUGAACAGUACCGGAAGCUUUUCGUUAAAGUUUCAAAAAAUAUAUAUAACAAUAUUUAGGAAUUUCUUAUAGAUUCAUUAAUCUCCAAAGUAAAGUAUAUAUAGGAGUUACAAUUGGUAUUACAUAUGCACUUCGUUAAUGUGGGACAACAUACUACUAUUUACACUUUAAUUAAUAUAUAACUCACAAUACAAUUCCCAAGUUCGGUUGGGGUCGGGUAUCCCAGGAAACCAUAUCAUGCCGUGCAGCUGUGGAGCCUUUUACCAUCCUAUUAAUCAUUAUCGACUUAUCAAAGAUUCCUUGCUGAAAUACUUCAUCGUUAAAGAGAUUAUUUGUUGUAGUGUAUAUUUGUUUGGACCCGAUUUUAUACCAUUGGCCCAAGCGAUCGAGGCUGUUGAGUGAGCAUAGUUCUUAACCGUCAGUUAAGAUAAUUUGCUAUUAUUAAGAGAUAAUAUUAUGGUUUUUAAUCAUAAUAAUUAUAUUUUAAUAAAUUAUCUCAAUUUUCUUGUGCAAAAUGAAUGGGAUGCAAAUCAUAACCUCAACGUAGAGGCAAGCAGAACAGUCUGAGUUAAUGUGGAUUUGUUAGCAGUGUACUAUGUGAAUUAGAGCAGCUUGGCUUGGACUCUUCACGUGGCAUAACAUGGCUCUGCAAGUUUUGGAUAAUGGUGAAUAGAAAACCUAAGUAGGUUAGGUUGUUUGAUGGAUGUUGUCAGACGGAUAGGCUUUUGGAUGGGUGAUGGGUUAGGUUUUUAUUAGCUUUGAAAAGUCAACCAUUUGAAGAUACGCUUUAAGCCUAUGCCACAUAUCAGUUUGAGUUUAAGUCGGUUUCUGCUUAUUAUCCAGGCCGUGCCAAUCAUAAAAUUUGUUCCUAUAAAUACAGAGGCAAUGGCAACGCAUGAAGGACCACCAACUCAACAUAUAAACUACCCUGCGCAAACCCUCGCUCUAUGCGAAACCUCUCAAACAUCUUGAGAUUUUUUAUUUUGUUUUUCGCCAACACGUCUUCAAUUUGGAUAAACAGCAUUGUGAAGGCAACCGGCGAACAUCUUCAAUUUGGAUAAAUAACAUUGUUGCCGUAGAAUCAACCGACCGCGGAGCACCUUCAGUUUGGAUAAACAGCACUGCGUCGAGGCCGACUGGUUAUCUAUCCAAGUCUCGGUCGAAAAAGAUUUUCAAAUCCUUAUUGGCAGACGUCAUCUCAUUAGCUUUUUCGGUGAAGUGAGGUGUUACAAGUUAUUACAUUCGGCACAUUGAAAGCCGAAUUUGAUAUUGAACUUCGCAGAACUAGCAGCCUUGUCUUCAGGCUCUAGAACCCGAUGGCCGAGAGUGUUCAUUCCUCGGACACAGUCGCGAGAUUCAGAAGUCAGCAGCGCACCCAACGCAACAUCAACAAAUUUUACUCCUCGGCUAACGAGUUAGCUCAUUAGUUACUCUGCCUGCGCGCCAUGUAAGCUUGGUAGUUUUUAGAGUCAACAUUUUGGCACGCCUAGUGGGACCAAGUGCUAAAACUACGAAGUUCACAUGAUAUAUCUCGAUCAGGCUUCCUGGGAUGAGUUGCAUCGCCUAUUAAAGGAGCAAAAACAAUGCUUCGAGAGAUGGGGUAGAUUUUCUAAAAGGCAAGAGGCCCAGGGGCAAAUUUUCGCUCCGCCCACAAUCAAAAUUCAGCCUCAGAACAUUGUCGAGACGGCCGAAGAACUUAGGCCACUUGUUGUUUCGAUCGAGACUAAAAGUAUGGUAGGCCUAGAAGAAAAAAUUCAAGUUUCUGAGCCACAAAUUGACUUAGACAAUGAUUCGUCAGAAAACUGUUCCAAUGACGAACAAGACCAAUUCAUGGUUUCAGCUGAACAAACCACGCCAAUCGAUAUGAUUAUUGAUGAUACAGUUGAUAUGGAGAAAUCUCGUUAGGCUAAGUUGUUCGAGUUGAAAGCCGAAAUUGGCGAAGUAAUUAUGCUUGGGGGGCAUAAUAAUUGUUUAACCACACAUUCAGCGGCCGAAAAUGAAAAAUAUUUAACCAAGGUAGAAAUAUUUGGAGAAAAUUCUUUAUUCGGCCUAGAGCGAAAUCAAUUUGAGAAUUUUGUUAUUAGAAGAUCUCGGCUUGGAAUAAAGCAUCGUUGGCCUCCUCCUGACUAUGGUUCAACCACUUUUCUUUUCAUUUGUUAAAUAUAUAUGUUAUUUUCUUAAACAUAUGGCUAUGCAAGCCGAUGUAAAGAAAAUGAAGGGCAGACAUUAUAGGCUAAGUCUCAAUAAGCUUCUCCAAUGAAGGCCUGAUGCUUGGUGCAAUACUGGCCUGAUGCUUGGUGCAGUACUAGCCUGAUGCCGUGCAGUGUACAAUUUGUUUGAAAUUUAAAGCCAACAUCAUUAUGGCCCGAUGCCGUGUGUGCAUGUGUGUGUGUGUCUAUAUAUAUAUCCUAAAUGGUGGCCUGAUGUCGUGUGUGUAUGUAUAGAUCCUAAAUGGUAGGCCAUUGUUUAGUGGUCAUCCAACUUUAUGAUUUCCAUUGUUGCUGCAUCCUUUCUUGGGGCAGGUAAGCAGAGAGAUUUGAUGUGACUGAAAUACGGUGAUAUUAUCAGAAUCCAUUCGGUGGAAUAGUCUUGGCAAAAUAAAUAAAUAAAAAUUGUAGUGAUGUGUUUGUCGAGCUCAACGGGGUUCACUUUGUUUCUGCUUACCUUCAUUCUAAGCUUCUCAACCUCGGCUCAGUGUGUAUAUAAAUAUAUAUAUAUAUGCAGGCCGAGCUGCCAAGAAAAAUUCUUCUCGACCUCGGUGUAGUUUUUCUCAGCCUAAGCCCGCUUUACCCUCGACCCCAAUUUUUUUUUCUACUCCUUCCCAAGUUCUUCUCGAACUUCUGACAAAGUUGCCGAGCCUGGUAUGGAGUUGUGGCAGUCGAGGAAGGUCGCAGCGUUGGCAGAACAUACAUGUUAUUACCGAGGAACAAAGUUUCUUUUUCGGCGAUUCGACGGGAUUUUGUUGGUUACAAACAAUUAAUUUCCUUAACCAUUCGGCUUAUGAGCCGAAACUUAAGGAAACUGGGGGCAAUGUUUGGACCCGAUUUUAUACCAUCGGCCUAAGCGAUCGAGGUUGUUGAGUGAGCAUGGUUCUUAAUAUUAAGAGAUAAUAUUAUGGUUUUUAAUCAUAAUAAUUAUCUUUUAAUAAAUUAUCUCAAUUUUCUUGUACAAAAUAAAUGGGAUACAAAUCAUAACCUCAACGUAGAGGCAAGCAGAACAGUCUGAGUUAAUGUGGAUUUUUUAGCAGUGUACUAUGUGAAUUAGAGCAGCUUGGCUUGGACUCUUCACGUGGCAUAACAGGGAUCUGCAAGUUUUGGAUAAUGGUGAAUAGAAAACCUAAGUAGGUUAGGUUGUUUGAUGGAUGUUGUCAGACGGAUUGGCUUUUGGAUGGGUGAUGGGUUAGGUUUUUAUUAGCUUUGAAAAGUCAACCAUUUGAAGAUAGGCUUUAAGCCUAUGCCAUAGACCAAUUUGAGUUUUAGUCGGUUUUUGCUUAUUAUCCAGGCCGUGCCAAUUAGAAAAUAUGGUCCUAUAAAUACAGAGGCAAUGACAACUCAUGAAGGGCCGCCAACUCAACAUACAAACUGCUAUGCGCAAACCCUCGCUCUACGCGAAACCUCUCAAACAUCUUGAGAUUUUUUAUUUUCUUUUUCGCCAACACAUCUUCAGUAACAGCACUGUGAAGUCAACCGGCAAAUAUUUUCAGUUUGGAUAAACAACACUGUUGCCGUAGAAUCAACCUACCGCGGAGCACCUUCAGUUUGGAUAAACAGCACUGUAUCGAGGCUGACUGGUUAUCUAUCCAAGUCUUGGUCAAGAAGGAUUUUCGAAUCCUUAUUGGCAAAGGUCAUCUCAUUAGCCUUUUCGGCGAAGUGAGGUGUUAUAAGUUAUUACAUUCGGCACAUUAAAAGUUGAAUUUGAUAUUAAAUUUUGCAGAACUAGUAGCCUUGUCUUCAAGUCGAAGGCCGAGAGUGUUUCUUCCUCGGUCGCAGUCGCGAGAUUCAGAAGUCAACAACGCACCCAACGCAACAUCAACAAAUUUUACUCCUCGGCCGACGAGUUAGCACGCCCGCAUACAACCGAAGGACAUAGUUAACUCAUUAGUUAUUCGGUCUGCGCGCCACGUAGGCUUGGUAGUUUUUAAAAUCAACAAUACUGUAUUUGGGCAUCACGUGCAAAAAAGGGCAUCCAUUCACAUCGAUAGAGUCGAGCAUUUAUAUGCAUAUUUUGUGUAUUCAAAAAUGGCAGCUCCGCACAGGGAACUGAGGGAAGAAAGGGCCCGUUCGGAGUACUCUGAACUCAGUGAUUGAUUUUGAGUUUUGAUCACGUGGGUAAAAUAAGAGUCUUCAUAUCUGUGGUCAGUAGUCUAGAGCUGAGACGGCUCUCUUGACCAUAAUAUGGAUACUGCAUGUUGGACUAGAAAGUAGUACUAAAUUAUAAUUAUUUGGAUUGAGAAAUGAUAGAUGUUAAUAGAAUGUUCGAUUAUGCAUGGGUGCACCAUGCACCUAUAUAAGAAGAAUAGGACUUAAAUGAGAAAUUUUUUAAUUUUCUCUGAGCUUCUGUUUCUUCCACCAUAGCUUCCGCAACUCUGUUAUGAUUCAUCUGUCAUUUCUCACGUCUCACGCAAAGACUUCUUCUAGACUAAAUACAUGUACUCCCUCAUUUUACAUUUAUAGAUCUGAAAAAUGACUUAACCCUUUUCACACUGCUCACUAUCUCGAUUUUAGUCGCAUGCUAAGUAUUGGCACUGUUCUAAAACUCAGCCUAAACAGCCGCCUGGUUACUUAACCCUUUUCACACUAAUCUCUAGCUUGAUUUUAGUCACGCACUAAAUAUUUUAUAUAUACUAAAACCCGGUGAAAAAACACUGUUCAUCAACAGUGCACGGGCUGAGAUGCCCUUUGCUUCCUUUGUGUUCUGAUUUUUUCUGACCAUUUUACCCUUUUACUAACAGUGCACGGGCGGUGCUGUAUUGCUUUGGGUCUCUUUCUCUUCUCAUUUUUUCAUUGCUUUUCUUUACCCACGUGUCCACCAUUCCCUUGCCACGUGUAUCCUGGAAUGGUACGCCUUGGAUCUCUGGAAUUUUCUUUCGGUUUCCAUUUCCUUCGUUCUAUUAUACUUGUUAGCACUAUUCGCAAAUAGUCUUUUACCACAUUGAUGGAAUGGUGUUGAGUCUUUACAUGAUGAUGUGGGUUCAAACCUCGUCGAUAGCUAAUCUAACAAAAUUUAUUGCUUGACAAAAAAAAAAAAUAUUGGCACUAGUCUAAAAAUCGGUCUAGGCGGCGGAAGACUGAUGCGAUUUAGGUCAUAACGUAGAGGAAAAUCGGGUAAGGGCUAGGCGCCCAUUGUUUUAAAAAAAAAAAAUUAAGUUAAAGGGUUUUCUGGGUAACCUACACAAAAACCCAUAGUAUUUCUCUAGUUGUUUUGUGUUUCUCAUCCCCUUGUCUCUCUACACAGAAGCGUUCUCUCUCUCCUCACAAACGGGUGUGAUGAUGCCAUGAUGACUUAAGUUUUAACUUUUCCAAAUUCUCAAUGUAAAUAUAUAUAUAUAUAUAUAUAUAUAUAGUGUAUGUGGGUACCUAUUUAUAUAUUAUAUGAUAAAUUGGACUAAAUCCAUAUAAUCUGCCUAGUUCACCUAGUCUCUCCCUUACUCGCCUAGUUACCUUGGCACUAAAUCUCAGCCUGCCAACCGACUGCUUAACGUCUUUUAAAACGUUACGUACUGAAAUUUUGCAUUUCCACUAUAAUAGUCUAAUUGAGGAAGUCAAGAAGGCUAAAAUAUGCUUAUUUUAUAUCUGGUUGCACGAAAAAGGCUUUAAAUGUAAACGUAUACAAGUAGACAUUAUUCCAACGCUCCAAGCCGCCUCAAGAUCUCAAGUGGCAUUAAACAUAUAAACAAUAAUAUGUCGGGGAAAAAAAUCCACAUGACAGUAAUAAAGUGUCACCUCUUAUUGACUUAAUUUCAUCAAUCUAUUCAACGAAUAAAGAAGACGAAACUUCCUCCAAUUUGGGUUUAUAAGAGAAUAAUUUAUGUCUAUAAUCUAUAUAAAUGCAUGCAGCAUCAUUCCCUCAUAUUGUAACUUGAUAGCUCUUUCUGCUACUUUGCUAAAAUCCGAUUCAGUUUAAGAGCACACAUCAAAUUUCCUGCUGCAUCAACCAUAUAUCAUGAAGUUCUUGCUUCCUUGCUCAAAGUGUUUCUCUUCACCUGGAAUCAUCGAUGAUAAUAGCACACACGGUAAAUAGAAAUUUAAAAUAGAAUUUCUGCUUUCUGUAGAACCGCGCUCUCAUUUUAUGGAUAUCUUUUGCUACCUAUCAUACUUCGUUUUUAUUUUUCCUCAUUGGUUGAUAAUAAAAAAAUUGAUUUUUACACACUCAUUUUCUUCUCAUGUGCACCCGUGUUGAUUUUUGGGCUUUGGAUUGAAUGAUGUAUAAAAAUAUUAAGGGAAGAAUUAAACAAAUGUGAGCAAAAAAAGAAUUUAAACAAAUGUGUGCAGAAGAAGAAAAUGAGUGUGUAUAAAUUAUUUUCCGCUCAUAAAACAUGAGAAUACGGAAGCCUGUUUGUUGAAGCACAUCAUAGUUCAAUUUGCCCUUUCAUUUUUCACUUUUGGGUUUCUUUGUAACCAGCAUUGAUGAUGUGAAUUGUAUUGCAUAUGCUAAUGAGAUAUUAACCUGUCCCACUUUAUCUAAUUUAUACUCUACGUUAAUUAGUAUUUUGAUAGAAGCGUGGAUCGUUCUUGGCUAUCUACUUACUAAAACAGGUGUACAAUUUCUUCAAAAUGUCCGCAACUUCAAAUACAAAGAAUUGAAAGUCGCCACCAACGAUUUCCAUCCAUCCAACAAAAUUGGUGAAGGCGGAUUUGGUUCUGUUUUUAAGGUAAUUUCUGCGUAUACGUUGAUUUUUUUUACUGUUGGAGUACUAAGAAAAGGCUGCUUGCAUUCUGAAUUUUUAUUAAUUUUCAAGUGCUUAUAAUUAAUUUUGGCUAAAUAGUAAGAACUCCUGUGGUUGAAUUACUGUAAAAGGGAAAACUUAAUGACGGAGUGGCCGUGGCCGUGAAAGUUCUUUCAGCUGAAUCAAAGCAAGGAGAUAGGGAGUUCAUGUCUGAGCUAGCUUCACUCUCCAGUAUUCGCCAUCAAAAUCUGGUCAAGAUGCGCGGUGGUUGUGUGGAAGGCCGCCGUAGAAUUCUUGUUUAUGAUUACAUGGAGCACAAUAGCCUCGCUCACAUCUUGCUAGGUAAACACAUAAAUUAACCUAGCUCCUUAUUAGUUUUCAUGCAUGAUGACCUUCCUUAUUUUCACCUUAUAUAUAAGAGUAGUUCCACCGUUGGAAACCCUCCUCCAGGCUAUUAACUAUGCUAUCCACCCAGUGAACAGUAAUUGCAUUCAAUGAACAGUAAUCGCUUUUUGCAUCUCCACCCCUAUACUGAAUAGCCCUGUCAAUUGGUAAUAAAAUAUUACUAUUUUUUCCUCACCCAUCCCCAUCACCCUUCCCCGUUUUCCCCUCAUUUGACCGAUUCUUCCUCUCUCUCCCUCUCUGUCUCUUUGUCUCUCUCUUUUCUUUCUAUCUCCCUCAUCCUUUUUCUUUCUUUCUCUCCCUCCUUUCCAGCUCACUCUUGUGAGCUCUCUUCCUUCUUCGUCUUCAAACCUUCCAAAUCAAGCUCAAAAAUAAUAUUUCUGGAAUCCCUGGAACUCAAGGAACCCAACCAUGGCCUUGCAUGUGGCAUCAGUGCAUGGUGCUAGGUCCUACCAUUGAAGCCGAGAGCUUGAGCUCUCAAUCCGUUUACCUCUCUGUCCUUCAUUCUCUCUCCUCGUCCUCCUUUUUUGUCUCUCCUGUUUGUUGCUCCAUCUCCCACCAGAUCCACCGCACGGGUGGUCAGAAUGUUGCAGGCCUUUGAAUCAGAGUCGGUGUCGUCGAUUUUAGUUGGAGAGAGAGUGAUUGUUUGAGACAAAAUAGAGGAGGAUGGGAAGCAAACGGAGACAAAGAAAGAGGAGAUGAAGGGACGCCAACGUCGGUGAGAAGAUCGGAAAGGGUGGCGUCAAUGCCGAUGGGUGCCUUAAUAAUGUGGCUUCUGUCACCCUGACGUCAGCCCACGUCAGAUAGCCUUCGGGCGCUCGGGCCGGCACGAAUCCACGGGCCUGGAGCUCGGGCCUGCUCGGGCUCGCUCGCCAGCCAACGUUGGACUUCCUCCCUCCGGCAAUCAAGCCCUGUUUUGCAGCCUGUCCCUCUAGCAGUUGCUCCCGCUGGAGCUGCUCUAAUAGCAGUAAACAUUAUGUUAAAAAUCAAAGGACGAGAAAAUAACAAAAAAGCGGAUUGAAACUAUGAUUCUUAUUUCAUUUACACAAAAGGAAAAAGAAGAUUAUAUAAAUUGUUAAACAAGGUUACAUAACAAAAAAUAACUAAUUAAAUUUUUGCAAAACAUAAUUCUUUUUUUUUCUCUUCUGAAAAUUAACAUUCAUUAAUCCGAAAAGAGGUUAUAGGUCAACUCAAAGAAAGACAAAAUAACCCAGAUGACACUUAGAUACACAAAAGCCUAGCCCAAUAAACAAAUAAACAAAAACUAAAACCCUAAUUCCUAUCCUCCAAGUGCAGAAAGCAACGCCUGCCUCCGAGUUGUCGCCACUGCUGAUGUCGUCACCGCCACUGCUGAUGUCGUCACCGCCACAAAAGUUUUGCUAGCAGACACCAUGACAACAACACUAAAGGAAACGAUCGAGUGGUCAAUUCGACCAAGACAUAGCAGCACACAAAUAAAAAACUCACAACCAAAAACACAUCACAACCAGAUUUCAUCAUCGAAAGCCCUAAACCAAGAGAUAGUCACUGGAUCCAAAUUUCCUUCACCAACCCUUGCAAAUAUAUACAAACACAGUAACACAUGAACCAAGGUAUGCAAAAUACCUUUACUUUGGCUAAAGCCGCAAAACACUAGACCUUGAGGGGAUACCAACCCAGUUGGGGGAGGGGAAGUAAGGGAUAGAAAUGGAUCUUGCAUUCAUUUUCGGUUCAAAGAUCGCAGAUCGAAGCAAAGAAUGGGGUGGGGAUAGAUUAUGAGGAAGGGAGGUAGGGGAAAGGGUGAGGGAAGAUGAAGGUUUGGGUUUGGAAAGGCGCGACCAAAAGAGAGGGAGGGAAGGAGGGAGGAGGCAUGAAGCCCAAAUCUGAGACAAAUUCAGAAAAAAAAUUGAGACAAAACUCAAAAGAAAAUUGAAACAAAAGAGAAGGGAAAGAAUGAGAAGGAGGGACGGAGGAGAAAACAAAAGCCAAAAGCUAGGUCGGUGGCUAGGGCUUUUCUUGUGUUUAGAAAACCAGAGAAAUGAUAUUUGUAGUUACUGUUGUGUUUCCUACCAAACAUAGUUUUUAUUGAGUUACAAGAGAUGUAUUAUAUAAAAACCUAAUUCUGAACAAAUAGGAAACCAGUAAUAACCACUAAGAAAGUAAUCAUAUCCUUACCUCACUGGAAAAGCCUAAUUAAUAUAUAAAUUAUCAAACGGCUAACUAAACUUGUCCAACAUCCUAUCAAACAAUAUUAAAUAUAUUAUGUUAUCAGGUUAAUAGACUCGUUGGUUCAUAAAUAAUGUGAAAUCAUAUCUAAACGAUGGUUCAAAUUGUCAACUUCACAACAUAGCAUGCUAAACAUAUCCUCCUUUUUUUUUUUUUUUUUUUUUAUGAAAGUGCGUAUGUAUGGAUAUAUAGUACAUAUGUGAUUAAUCAUCAGUUGAUUGUUGAUUAGGUGAGGAGAAAAUUAGAUCGAAAUUAGGUUGGAGGGCACGACGAGAAAUUUGUCUUGGGAUUGCUAGGGGCCUUGUUCACAUUCAUGAGGAGGUGAAACCACAUAUUGUGCACAGAGAUAUCAAAGCCAGCAAUAUACUUUUGGAGAAGAACUUUCAUCCAAGAAUUUCAGAUUUUGGGUUAUCAAAACUAUUUCCACAGAACAUUUCUCACAUUAGUACACGAGUGGCUGGAACAUUGUAAGUAGAAUAUAUUGUCCAAGGGCUGAAAUGCUAGAACUGGUUUCAAUAGAAAUUGCAUAUAUGAUUUGGUUUGUAUUGACAAUACUAAUGGUGCAAACUUCUUGUUGAUGACAAAGAGGUUAUUUGGCUCCGGAGUAUGCAAUCACUGGACAUUUAACGCGAAAAUCAGACGUAUACAGUUUCGGAGUGUUGAUUUUGCAAAUAGUCAGUGGACGAUCGAUAGUUGACUUUGAUAUGGAACUUGGAGAACACUAUCUUGUCGAAAAGGUAUGAUCUUAUAUAUAUGAUAAUUAUAUACAAAUUCUAUCAACUAUAAUGCUAGUGAUAUGCCACUACAACAAAAAUGGCCACUGCGCAUGAUGAAUUAUUUGUGCCCUUUGAGGCCAAAAAGCACCAACAAUUGUGCUCAUAGACCAAUAGCAACAAUGCAGCAACUAAAUUUGUAUCUGUGCCCUCUAUGGGCGUCACCAUUUGCCAAAGGGCACAAUAUGGUCUUUACUGCCCAAAAAGUUCAGCACAAAUAAGGGUUUUCUGUGCCUCUUUUCUGACACCCAUGUCAGAUGACUUUUUCGUUAGCACAAGUUUGUUAUUGUGCCCCAUAGGAUAAAUAUAUUUAAAAAAAAAAUCAAAUAGUAAUACCAUCAAUAAGAAAUUAUUCAUACAGAUAAUGAAAAUAAUUCCUAAUACAUUUUUUAUUCCAUGAAAAACUAUUAACUAAAUCUAAGAACCUAACAAAUACCAUUACUCUCGAGUUCCUCGCAUGCCAGACAACCCUUAACCACCGCAAACAACCUUCAGCUCCUGCUCCAGCCUCUGAAAAUGAACAUGAGUAAUAAAUCUAUCGAGUAGUAAAAGCAGCGAUGCUGAUGCAUUGCUAUUUUCUUUUCAAAGACUAUGUAGCAAAGUUUCGACAGAAACGCCAACCAAAAUACAUAAAUGUUUUUCAAUCAUUGCCUAAAUACACAUACCGUAAACUUUAACGAUUUCUUAUGUAAGAGAGUAGCUAAAUAGCAAGUUGUUAUACUAGUCCUAAUUAUAAUAGUAGAAAGAUAUACUCUUCGCAUCAUAAUGCAACAACCAGCCAAAUUGAGGAAAAGGUCAAAGAAUAAGUAAAAAAACAAAUAACCCGGCAAGGACAAGCUAAUAAAUAAGUUUUAUGAAAUCUAACCUGCUAAUAAUCAAGUAGUUUUCAGCUUUUGAUAAUGUCUUUCGUGCUUCCACUCGGUAGGGAACUAUACAACAAUAUGAAAAAUCAUUAUAAUUUAUCAAUCUAUUAUAAGUAGGAAGAGAGGAAAGGUAACUUAUCAAUUCUAAUACCAAAAAAAAAAAAAA